GCGUUGAUUUUUUGCACGCGGAAGGUAAAGGUGCUUGAGUUGGUUUCAUCUCUUUGAUGAUUUUCUAGGAAAGCCUGAGCACCAUAAAAGUUACAAUAACUAGAUAAAUCUCAUUCAUCUCAAGUAUCCCCUUCUCUUUCCUUGAUAUAUUAUCAAGCGCUCGCUUCUUUCUCUUCUUUUUUACUCACAAAUUACAAGUCUACUGUUAGUUCCUUGAGAGAAACACAAACAGAUGGAGUGUAUAAUGACUAUCUUGCAGAUGUGCUGCAGAUCGUUAACAUUUUCUUCUCCGUCAUCUGCUGCAGCUGCUGAUGAUGAUGAUGAUGGUAUUGAAGCUAAUAUCCCCCCUCGUCGGGAGAAGUAUGAUGUGUUUAUCAGUUUCAGAGGUGAGGACACCCGUGAUGGUAUUACCAGCCAUCUUCAUGCUGCCUUACUUCAGAAGAAAAUUGAAACCUACAUAGAUUACAGACUUCAGAAAGGAGAAGAAAUCGGACCUGCCCUUCUAGAGGCAAUUGAGAAAUCCACACUUUCGGUGAUCAUUUUCUCACAAAACUAUGCUUCUUCCACAUGGUGUUUGGAUGAGCUCGUGCAUAUACUCGAAUGCAAGAAAAGAUAUGGCCAUAUGGUUAUACCCGUAUUCUACGGCAUCAAUCCAUCUCAUGUACGAAAGCAACACGGGAGUUAUGCAGGUGCAUUUGCUCAACUUGAAAAACGAUGCAAGGACAAUAUUGAUAAGAUGCACAAGUGGAGGCAUGCUUUGAAGACUGCAGCCGAUCUGUCUGGGUUUGAUUAUUCAAGCAAACGCGGGUAAGUAACACAUUCUUUAACUUGUAUAAAAUUAUAAAUUUUCUUUAAACUUGUUACAAUUUGAUUUGUACUCAGAUUUUGGUAAAGCUAGCAUUACUCUUAAACUUGGGGAGGGGUGGCACUGUAGUUUAGCUGCAGUGCAAUUGAGGGUAGAUUUUGGUUUUAGCAAGACUUCAUGUCUGCGCAUUGCGGUAGGUCAAAAAAUUUGUCAUGUAAUUAAAAUCAGAUCCUAAAGAAGAGUGGAAUAUUUUUUUUUUUUAAUUUAGAGAACAACAUUACAUCAAAGUAAUAUAAGCCACUAGGAAUAGCCUAGUGGUGAGGGUGUGGGUAAGGGGUGGGGUAGUUCUAGGUUCCAGGUUCGAAACCUGGUGUGUGUGUUUGUGCUUGUAUUUGUGUGGGUGGUGGAGGGUAACCAAAAAAAAAAAAAAAAAAAAAAAAAAAAAAGUCAAAGUAAUAUGUAAUGUAAAUAACAGAACAAAAUAGAACAUUUUAAUAGACGGUGUAAGCACAAAAUAUAAUGAAUUUGCAUAAACGAAAGGGAGGAAAAAGUAAACCAACGGCAAUAACUGGGUUUUCAUUUUUUGUCACUGUAGUUAUCAUAUUUGAAGCAAGCAACCAAACAGCAUAUGAUAAUUCCAAUUCAAUCCACCAUCACAAUCCCUGACCUGAAACUAAAUCUCACGCCAACCCAAACACACAGCCCAAAAUUUUUUACUCAGUUAGUCUCCAAUCUAAUUACAACUCUAGAGUAAGUACUUCCUAAAGAAUAUGAACAUAGGGAUACAGAAUCCACAUGUGACAUAGGGACGUAGGGGACAUCUUAACAUACGUACAAGAUAUGAAAUAAAAUACUAGAACCAAUACCUCAAAAUAAAUAUCAUAAUGGGCUCUCCUCACAAAAUAUAUACAAAUUUGUACUCUCAAAAGACACAACUCUCACUAGGGCAAAGACAUGCCCAUAGGCGCUUAAAAUAUAAGUCCCAAAAGAAAUAAUACAAGGAAGAAUAAAGGGGUAACCUAAUCGCUCCUAAGUCUUUGAUCUCUGCAUUGCUAGCCUCACUGGCUCCUUGCAAUCUACACAGGCUUGUGUCAUCAUGCCGGAGUCCGCACUAACUAGAGGUGGUUUAGUAUGAGAUUCCAACCCAAAAAUGAGAUCCCAAAUCCCAAACCAAAAUUUUUUGGGACGAGAAUUUGAAAACCAAUUUCGGAACAACAUUUCGGUAUGGAUCAGGAUUGGAUUUUGAGUUUUGGGCUUUUGGGUUGAAAUUUGAGAUUUUUGGGUUGUGGGCUAAAACUUGGGCUUUUGGCCUGAAAUUUUGUUGCCCAAUUUCAUAUCAAUUGAAAUUUAGACAUUUUACCUCUUACCAAUUUGAAAUUUCAUAUCCAUUGAAAUACCAAUUCAUUCCUACCAAGUCAAAUUGACGUUCCAAAGUUCCAAACUAUUUAAUUUCACAUUUCUAUUUCUAAUAUUAGUCUGCUAUCAAACUACUUAAAUUCAACAUUCAACAUGCAUGCAACCAAAAUAAAUAAAUAAAUAUAUCUAUAUUUUCGGUAAAUGAGGAGAGGAGAGAAGGAGAAGGAAAUGAGGAGAGGAGAAAAGGGGGAAGGGAGAAGCAUCGGCGCAAGGAAGAGAUGGAGGGUUGAUAUUGUGGAAAUGUUUUAUUACUGUCGGUUAAAACCGACAGAAAUAUUUUUUAAAAAUAAAAACUGACAGAAACUUCUCAUUAAUGUCGGUUAUAACUGACAGAAACAAAAUGGAUGCAAAAAUCCCCCCAAAAUUCCCUCUGAAAAUUUUAAACUUUCCCCUAAAUUUUAAAAUCCCCCCCCCCCAAAAUUUUGUUACGAUUUUAAAUAAUAAAAUAAUAAUUGUUUGGUUUAAUAAAUAAUAUGUAUUUAAAUAGAAUAUGUUUUUAAAAAUUAAAUAAAUAAUUGUAUGAUUUAAUAGAUAAUUGUAUGGUUUAAAAAUUAAAUAAAUAAUUGUAUGGUUUAAUAUAUAAUUUUUACAUUUUUGGUUGAAUAGAUAAUAAUCCAUGUAAAAUAUGUGAUAAAGAAACAAAAAGAGAAUUGUACAAUGAAAAUGUCUUCACACAAACUAAAUAUUGGUUAAACCAAUACUUGAAAAACAUAAAUAAAAAUUUAGCACAAAUUACUCUUCCCACUUCAAAAUUUUGGCAAAUUUAUGCAUUCUACGAAACUAGUUUAAAAUAUUUACACUAGUGGAAACCACAAAAUCUUAUUUUAUACUUAAUAGAAGUAUAAUUUUUAUUCUAUGAGUUUGUUUAAUCUACCGUUUUGAUGCAAUAUGCAUUCUAUGAAUUUUUUUUCAACGAUCCAACCGUCAAAUUUAUUUGCACACACUUCGAGAUUGCAUACGUAAAAAAUCGUAAAAAAACAAACAUUCAAAGAUUAGGUAAUUGAACAAAAGUUUUCGACGGUUAUAAAAGAAAAAUAAUAAUUUAACGGUUAUUUUAGCUCCGAUUUUGAUGAUUUUUUUGCAGCUACACUCCUCAACCCUAUAAGAAUAUAAUAAAUAAAUUUGAUCUUCAAUUUAAAAUAUUUACACUAGUGGAUACUGACACACCCUAACCCGAAGACUAGGACGUGCUGGCCGUCACGUGAGCGUGACGUAACCAUAAACGCAAGCGGAAACGAUUAAAUAAUAAAAUACGAGUCAACGAAAACCACUAAUUUCAGUUAUUAACAACCUAGCAUUCUAUAUGCAUAAGAGUGUACUAAACACACAUAAACAGAGCAUAAGCGUCUAGGUGCAGUCAAGUAGGACCAUAACUAAUUUACAACACCCUCGGGUGAAUCCUACAUUUAUUUAGUCUGUCAGAACGCCGAAAGUAGUCCCUCGUAGGCCACCAUCAACUAUCAACUAGAACCUGGAGGGGCGGCGAAAACAACAGAAAACGUGAGUGGGCGAAAAUAAAGCUUUUCCAAAUCAUUUCAUAAAUCCACAUUUAUAACCCCUUUUUGAAAACCUGUAUACUUUCCCAGAAAAUAGUAUAUAGCAUAUAUAAAUCUCAACCAUCUCGAUCAUCAAUCUUAUAACAGAUUCAAUAAAGAAUGUACCAUGCCAAAUUCAACAUUUUAGUAUGAAUGCAUUGACAUAAUAUAAAUCAGGUAAAAGAAAGUAAUCAAUCGGAGGCCCUCUAAUGGCCCUGAACGAUUGAACCUAGAGCUCAAAAUCUAUCAACUCUGCCGGAGUCACCUCUGUGACCUGUCCGACCUUCUGCACAUAAGUCGGAACCACCUAAUGUAGUCUGUACGACUUAAUGGUUAAUAUUACGCUCUAGUGCUUUUCUCAUCAAUCAUCUGUACACAUAAUCUAAGGUCACCCACCAGUCGCAAUCUCACUAACACUCUACGACUGGCACGUCGUCACCCACUCCGCGUGGACUGUGCGACCAGCAUCUACUUGGAUCCAAGGCGAGCGUGCGAUUGCGAAUGCACUAAACCAUGGUAAGCACUCAAAUAUAUGAUAUCAUCAUCAUCAUCAAACAGUAACAGUAAUACUCACCUGAUAUACUCACAUACAUCUUUAUGCAUCUUACAUAUGCAUCAUACAACAGUUCAUAAUAUUCAUAAUUCUAUGCAUGGCAAUCAAAUCAUUUCAUUUCAAUUUCUUUUCAUUUAAUUUGGGGAAAUCGAGUAUAUAGGUAUAUAUAUAAAAUAAAUGCCCCUCACUGGUAUGUCGCCGGGUCGUAACCCCCUUGACGCCCCUGGGAAAGUGCUCGUCCUCGUUAUAAGUCCCAAUAACCUAAAAUGGUCAAUAACGCACAUUUAACACACCUAAACCAAACUAAGUAAUUAAUUCUUCAUACGAUGCUCAAAAUAUUGGAAUAUACCACAGUGACCUACACAAUCUCAGGAUCAUCCCCAUAUUUUUAAAAUAAUUUUUUCGGCCUCACGCGAAAUUGCACGCGGACGUGCAACACUUGUGCCCGGAAUAUUUAUUCGGUACCGUUCAACCUUCAGUAUCCGACCGUCGCCGGCGACCGGAAACUGGCGUAAUUUUUCAAAUCCACUAUUCUCCUUCGUUUUUCGUCCAUUUUUCAUGUAAUUUAUAACAAAAUGAAGCCCUAAACACCUACUAUCACGUUGGAUUAAUUUUAGGGCCUAAAAACUACGAGAUCAAACUUUUCAAAAAUUCAAGAAAUCGGCCAAACUUACAACUCGUGAUCCUGACGUCCAAUUCAUGCCAACGAAGCACUCCGAGCUUCCUUGGGACUUCCUUAAGAAUAUAUAACAUAUCCCAUUCAAACUUAACAUCCUUCCUGGUUAACUUCGUUAAUGGCAAGGCAAUCAUAGAAAAGUCUUGAACAAACCGUCUAUAAUAACCUGCCAAGCCAAGAAAACUCCGCACCUCAGCUGGAGAAUUAACUCUAGCUUCACUUCUUUCGAAGCUCUGAUACCAAUUGUCACAUCCCCGCCCGGGGCGGAUCACUUCCCGGGCCUGCUCCACCACCGUAGCACGAUAUUGUCCGCUUUGGGCCCCGACCACGCCCUCACGGUUUUGUUUCUGGGAACUCAUGAGCAACUUCCCAGGAUGGGUGGCCCACUGGGAAGUUGCUCAUGAGUUCCCAGAAACAAAACCGUGAGGGCGUGGUCGGGGCCCAAAGCGGACAAUAUCGUGCUACGGUGGUGGAGCGGGCCCGGGAAGUGAUCCGCCCCGGGCCGGGAUGUGACAGAUACUACAAAAUCUUAUUUUAUACUUAAUUAAGCAUAAUAUUAACUCAAAUGUUUGUUUAAUCUACCGUUUUGACCAAGGUUCUAAAAAACGCUAGGCGCUAGUCGGGCGGCGGGCUAGGGCCUGGCGCCUAGGCGGCUAGGCGGGGCCUAGGCGGACGCCUAGGCGGACUAGGCGGAUUUAAGUAAAUUUGUUAUAUAUCAUAUAAAUUAAUUCAAUUUAUUAUAUAAUAUGUAAUUAACAUUGAAUAAUAUGUUAAUUUUUUUUAAAGAAAAAUAUACAUGUCUAAAAUUUUAGACUUUUUUUUUAGUUUUGUAUCAUUAUCUUAGCCAUUAAUUUUUGUUGGGCCUUUUAUUUUAAUUAACAAAAUGCAAGAUUGGGCUUGUUUUAAAUUUUGAAUAGCAUCCUAACAAAAAACCCAAAGGCCGGCUAACCCAUUUAUCGUAUUAGAAUAUAAAAUUAAGAGCACUUGUAUUUAUGGGUGAAAUGGUCAUCCCAGUCACCAACUCACCUUUAGAAAACAAAACCCUAACUACGACUGCUCGCUUCUAAAACCAUGGCCGCCGUCAGCAUCUCUGCAAUUGCAGAUGCACUCUCUAUCUCUCUCUCCCUCAUCUCGUAUACCAUCGUCACACUAAGACUCGGUUAGACAAGACAGCCAGACCCGGGAAGACAAGACAGCGAGACGCAGAGCGCCCAGAUUGCCCAACGUUGGACUGCUUCUGGGUAGGAAUUCGUAUUUUCCAAGACUGCCCAGACCGUCCAACUUCUGUCUUGCCCGCCUAGCGUUCGUCUUCCCGCCUAUGCAUCUGCCUUACGCCACCUAAUUGCCUUGCCGAUUUAAUUAACGAUUUCGGUAUAAUCGUGGCGGAACACUGCCGUCUAGCGCCUCGGCGCCGCCUAGGCGGCCACCUAGAGCGCGUUUUAGAACACUGGUUUUGACGCAACAUGCAUUCUACGAAAUGUUUUUCAACGAUUCAACCGUCAAAAUUAUUUGUACACACUCCGAGAUUGCAUACAUAAAAAAUCGUAAAAAACAAACAUUCAGAGAUUAGGCAACGAAAUAAAAGUUUUUGACGGUUAUAAAAGAAAAAUCACAAUUUAACGGUUAUUUUAGCUUCGAUUUUGAUGAUUUUUUACUGCUACACUCCUUAACCCUAUAAGAAUGUAAUCAAUAAAUUUGAUCUUCAAUUUAAAAUAUUUACACUAGUGGAUACCACAAAAUCUUAUUUUAUACUUAAUAGAAGUAUAAUAUUAACUCUAAGUGUUUGUUUAAUCUACCGUUUUGAUGCAAUAUGCAUUCUACGAAACUUUUUUCAACAAUCCAACCGUCAAAAUUAUUUGUACAUACUCCAAGAUUGCAUACGUAAAAAAUCGUAAAAAACAAACAUUCAGAUAUUACAUAACGGAACAAAAGUUUUUGAUGAUUAUAAACGAAAAAUCAUAAAUUUAACGGUUAUUUUAGCUCUGAUUUUGAUGAUUUUUUACAGCUACACUCCUCGACCCUAUAAGAAUGUAAUGAAUAAAUUCGAUCUUUAAUUUAAAAUAUUUACACUGGUAGAUAACACAAAAUCUUAUUUUAUACUUAAUAGAAGUAUAAUAUUUACUCUAAGUGUUUGUUUAAUCUACCGUUUUGACACUAUGCAUUAUACGAAACUUUUUUCAACGAUCCAACCGUCAAAAUUAUUUGUACACACUCCGAGAUUGCAUACGUAAAAAAUCGUAAAAACCAAACAUUCAGAGAUUAGGUAACGGAACAAAAUUUUUCGACGGUUAUAAAAGAAAAAUCACAAUUUAACGGUUAUUUCAGCUCCGAUUUUGAUGAUUUUUUUACAGCUACACUCCUCAACCCUAUAAGAAUAUAAUGCAUAAAUUUGAUCUUCAAUUUAAAUAUUUACACUAGUGGAUACAAGAACUUAUUUUAUACUUAAUUGAAGCAUAAUAUUAAUUCAAGUGUUUGUUUAAUCUACCGUUUUGAAGCAACAUGCAUUCUACAAAACUUUUUUCAACGAUUCAACCGUCAAAAUUAUUUGUACACAGUUCGAGAUUGCAUACGUAAAAAUCGUAAAAAACAAACAUUUAGAUAUUACGUAACAGAACAAAAGUUUUCGAAAGUUAUAAACGAAAAUCACAAUUUAACGGUUAUUUUAGCUCCGAUUUUAAUGAUUUUUUACAGCUACACUCCUCGACCCUAUAAGAAUGUAAUGAAUAAAUUUGAUCUUUAAUUUAAAAUAUUUACACUAGUGGUUACCACAAAAUCUUAUUUUAUACUUAAUAAAAGUAUAAUAUUAACUCUAAGUGUUUGUUUAAUAUACCGUUUUGACGCAAUAUGCAUUCUACGAAACUUUUUUCAACGAUCCAACCGUCAAAAUUAUUUGUACACACUCUGAGAUUGCAUACGUAAAAAAUCGUAAAAAAACAAACAUUUAGAGAUUAGGUAACGGAACAAAAGCUUUCGACGAUUAUAAAAGAAAAAUCACUAUUUAACGGUUAUUUUAGCUCCGAUUUUGAUGAUUUUUUACAGCUACACUCCUCAACCCUAUAAGAAUGUAAUGAAUAAAUUUGAUCUUCAAGUUAAAAUAUUUACACUGGUGGAUACCACAAAAUCUUAUUUUAUACUUAAUAGAAGUAUAAUAUUAACUCUAAGUGUUUGUUUAAUCUACCGUUUUGAUGCAACAUGCAUUCUACGAAUUUUUUUUCAACGAUCUAACCUUCAAAAUUAUUUGUACACACUUCGAGAUUGCAUACAUAAAAAAUCGUAAAAAAAAACAUUCAGAUAUUACAUAACGGAACAAAAGUUUUCGACGAUUAUAAAAAAAAAAUCACAAUUUAACGAUUAUUUUAGCUCCGAUUUUGAUGAUUUUUUACAGCUACACUCCUCGACCCUAUAAGAAUGUAAUGAAUAAAUUCGAUCUUUAAUUUAAAAUAUUUACUGACACACCCCGACCGAAGUCAAGGCAUGAUGGCCGUCACGUGAGCGUGACGUAGCCAUGUGCGCUGUGCGGAAGCGAUAUUUUAUAAGGAAAGUACGAAUAAAUUAAACCAACUACGAUAGGUUCUAAUUUGAGUUUAAGUGUGAAUACACAACCAGAGCACAAGGUCUAAGUGCAGUCAAACAUAAGAUGUACAUAUUUAACAACACUCGAAGUUGGUCCUACAUGAGUGGUGGUUUGUCAGAACUUUCAGCUGGACACUUCGAGAUUCACCGAUAUACGCUACCUAGAACCUGGAGGGGCGCAAAACAAAGUUGAGUGGGUCAGCAAAACAAACUUAUUCAAAACCUUCUUUUUUUUCUUUUGAAUGUACUAACCCCUCGCCGUAAAACAAGUAUAAUUUUCCAGCAAUAAAGUAUAUAAUCAUAUACGUAAUAUAUAUCAAAUCAUGCUGAACAAUAUGAAUGUAUGUCAUGCCAAAUAUCAUAACUGAAUGCUUAACAUCCUAUGUGAAUCUGAUGGGAUAACAUAUAAUCAAUUCAACGCUCGGCUAUAAACAUAAUUCAUAAUCAUCUCAUCACAAUCAACUCAGCCCUCAGCUGCAUAUAUAGCUCAUAAUCAUCUCAUCACAUCAUUUAUAAACAUGUAUAUCCUGCACACAUUCAAUACCACCUCACGUGGUCUGCAAUUCAUCAUCGUAUAUAAUAUAAUAUGCUCUAGUGCUACAAUCACGUGAAGCUGUGCGAUAAAUUGCGGGUCACCUACAAGUCGAACCCACAUAAGUGGUCUAUACGACAGGCUGUACACCUAACUUGGAUCCAAGGCGAGCAUGCGGUGCGGGAGGUGAACAUCACGUGAAAGACUGUGCCUCUAUCUCUGGGCGGGAGCACUAAUAUACGUGUGCAAGUAAAUGAGCUUUCAAUCACAUCUCAAUCGAAUCAUAUAAUUCAUCAUAUUCCAAUCUUAUCUCAUGAUCGUUAUAAGCAUAAUAUGUCAAUUGUAUCUCAAUUCUAUCUCAAAUCAUAUCACAAUUAUAUCUCAAACAUAUCUCAAUCUCAUUCCAAACAUAUCUCAAUCACAUUUCAUACGUAUAUCCACUGUAUUUCGUAUGUAUUUCAAACGUAUAUUAUACGUAUUUCAAAUGUAUAUUAUACGUAUUUCAAAUGUAUUUUGUACGUAUUUCAAAUGUAUAUUGUACGUAUUUCAAAUGUAUAUUAUACGUAUAUCAAUCGUAUUUCAAACGUAUAUACUUACGUACUUCAAAUGUAUUUCAUAUGUAUAUCAAUCAUAUUUCAAAUGUAUUUCAUAUGUAUAUCAAUCAUAUUUCAAAUGUAUAUACUUACGUGUAGCUUACCUGGGCCUCCUCAGCACCAUGCAACAAUAUGCAUAAUUAUAAUAAUGCACAUACUAAAAUAUGAUGCAUACAUGAUAAGUUGCUUAAUUCGUAUUUCUUUUAAAUACGUUUUCUGGGAAAUACGUCAAGUAUACGUAUAUAUAUACUAAAAAAUAACUGCCCACUCACUGAUAAGUAGCUGGUUCAUAACCCCCUCGCCUAUUUUGGUUACGUUCUUCGUCCGUAUAAUUUUUACCUAUACAAAAAUAAUUAUAAAACAUCAUUUAAACGCACAUACACAAACAUACGUCAAUAACUUUCUCAUACGUUGCUCAAUUUGGGUAUGUGAAUAUACCACGGUGAUCUACACGACGUCACGAACACGUGACAAUUUUCAGAACUUGAUUUGGGUCUCUCACGCGCCCUCACGCGCCACCUGUACGCGCUGCCCACACGCGCGUCUUCUUCCUCGCGUCGCCGGACUGGUUUCGCCGGAGGUGGUGUUGCCAGAAUUUCUGGGUAAACUUCAAAGUGUCAUAACUUCUUCAUUUCUUAACCAUUUUCGACGUACUUUAUAUCAAAAUGAAGGUAUUGACGAGACGAACACAUCCAUAUCUGCCUUGACCCCUAACGCGGCGUGGAUUCACCGGAAAAAGCCCCGAAAGCUCCGGCCAAACUUUGAUCUCGUCGUUCUCCGUGUUCUUACGUCCAAACACUUCCAACGAACUACUCCAAACCUCCUAAGGACCUCAAGAAGCUUCCUAUAAGCUUGAAAAGUCCUAAAAAUCAACCAAUAAAAAGUUGAUGAAUAGUACCUAAACCGGAGUUCGUAUUUUCGACGUGAAAACGUUAUAGUUCUUACCUGAAAUUGGUAUGGUUGGACUCGUAUCGUCGAAACGAAGAAGAUGGUGAUUUUUCUUCGUCGAUCUAUGAAGUUUUGAUGAACUUGUUGUUUGGUCCGUGGGUUUUGAGAGAAGGAGAGAGAGAGCUUGAGAGCUUGACGGGAGAGAAUGAGAGUUGAGUUUGAGGGAGCUGAGGGAAAAUAAAAGAGAGUGAUUGAGGGAACAAAGUGGAGGGUUUCACGGAAAAGAAAAAGAAAAGUAAGGGAAAAUGAAUGAUUUCUGUAAGCCCUAGGGGUGGGCACGGUUUGGUUUAGUGCGGUUUUGAGUGAAACCAAAACCAAAACCGCAAGUUUUUGCGGUUUGGUUUGGUGCGGUUUUGAAGCUAAAACCGAAAUGAAACCAAACCAUUUGGUUCGGUUUGGUUUGGUUUUAAACGGUUUUGGUUUGGUUUCGUUGUUUGAAAAAACUAUUAAAGUGCUAAAAACUACAUUGUAUGCUCUCUUUGUUACUGUCACAAGAAAGUAUGAAUAGCCAAACACUACUUCAUAAGCUAAACUAAAAGUAAAACAGUUUGGCAUCAUUAAUGAUUGUAGUUAGAAUUUUCUUAAACAUAACCAGUUAAGGAGACAAAGGAAGUUUUCAGCACAAAAAAAAUAAUUCAUACCGCAACAAAAUAUUUCAACUUGAUGAUGACAAUAUUAAAAUUUAACUUAAAAUAAAGUUCAACAUUAAAAAUCAAAAUACCAUAAGGUUUAGGACACUUACUUUGCAUCAUUCAAGUUUCAAACUUCUGCCUUUCCCCUUCCUUUUGCACACUUACUAGCCGAAGGUUUAGGAGGUCUUUGAACUUGUGAGCGGGCUUGAGAAGCCGAUACUUGUGAAGAAUUUGCACGUUGUAAAUUUGAAAACAAUGGAUGGGAAGCCAUUGAUCCUUGUGCACUAGAACUUUUUGAUUGACUUGGAGUUGGAGCUUGUUGUGAUUGUGGAUUAAGAGUAAGAGAGGCGAGAGUUGAGGUUGAUUUGGCCACCUCUACAUAAUACAAAACAUAAACAAUAUAAAUCACAUUAGUUGUUAGAAACUUUAAAAAACAUACAAAAGAACAAAAUAUAUUGAAAAAGAAAACUACGAAAGUUCUUUAACUUGAAAUGAUAUACUUACCCGAUUCAAUACUUUCAUAGAACUCAAUGUGCUCAACCGAAGGUGCAUCAUCCUCCAAAGUAAUAAUGCUAUCGCCCCUCAACCAAUUUUGCAUGCAUAUAAAGGCCUCUACCGAUUUAGGAGUUAAAGAACUCCUAAAAUCUGAAAUUACUCGACCCCCGGUGCUAAAAGCACUCUCCGAUGCCACGGUAGAGACUUGAAUAGCAAAAAUAUCUUUUGCAAUGGCGGCCAAGAUAGGAUACUUAGUACCAUUCAUCUUCCACCAUAAGAGAAUGUUAAAAUGCUUCGUGGACUCCUCUUUUGUAAUUUGCACCAAAGGAUCCAACAAAUACGAGUCCACCUCAUCUCUCACCACUUUCUCAUCACUAUCUUCAACAAAAUGCAUCCAUUCAUCAACAAGAUCAUCUUCCAUUGACACCACAUCGGAUGAAGUAGAAGAAUAUUGUGCUUGUGAAGGGCCUUUCUUCAUGUGUUUUCCACCUUCAACAUUAGGAGCAUAUGCAUCAUAAAGGGCAUGCAAUAGAUCUUUUACUUCAUUAGCUUUCAAUAAUGCCUCAAAAUCGGAAAGUUUCUUUUUAAAGAGUUGUGUGACAUGCCUCAACUUGAACCUUGGAUCCAAAACAAGUCCAAUCAUAAUUAGAGGGUUCAAUUCAUGGUAUGAGUCAAAAUAUUUUUCAUAUUUUGAUCUCAUGUCGGAAGCCAUGGCCUUCAAUAAUUGCUCCGAAGGUAGACCGACUUGCAUGUUGGCUCGGGACUCUAAAUUAUUUAUAGCGGUCUCUAUUUUUAUGACAUCAUGGAGGCCGGUAUGAACUGUGGGAUGUGUAGAAGCACUAACCCUCAAAGUCACAUCAUAGAACACCCGUAAAAACUUGACAAAAGCUUCCGCCUUGAGCCAAUCUUCUUCCGUAGGUGGUCCAACCAUUUUCCUCCCUUUAAUUUGGCAAGCAAUAAACACCCCAUCUUCAUCUUUUUCAUCUUCAACUUCCUUAAAGUAAGCCACAAAGGGACUUUUUACAUCCUCCGCCAUAGUGGCAAAGGCCUUCUUAAACUUCAAAGCUACAUCCAACAUAACAAAUGUAGAAUUCCACCGAGUAGGACAAUCAAGGCAAACCGUUGCUUUGCACGUCAACUUCACCAAAUUCACGGCUUGCCUAAAAAACUGCAAUCUUUGUGGAGAGCUCCUCACAAACCUCACACAAUUUCGUAUUGCUAAAAGACCAUUCUUUAGCCUCUUCAUCCCAUGACUCACAAUUAUGUUGGUUAUGUGAGCGAUGCAUCGUACAUGUAAAUACUUGCCACCUAAAAUAGCUUGUGAAUUUUCCCACCUAUUCAUUUUUACCAUAAGUUGAUCCAAAGCAACUUUAUUUGCGGAAGCAUUGUCCACUGUGAUUGUCAUAACUCUAUCUAUCCCCCAUUCCAACAAGCAAUUUUCAAUUAACUUUGCAAUUGUGGUUCCAUAGUGGUUAGGAAUAACACAAAAGUUUAUGAUCCUCUUGUGCAUAUUCCAUUCAUCAUCAAUGAAGUGUGCAGUAAGAACCAUAUAAUUGAUAUUUUGUGUGCUUGUCCAAGUGUCGGUGGUGAGACAGAUUCUGUGCCCACUUAAGUUUUUCUUCAAAGAAGUCUUCCAUUCUUCAUACAUGUUGAGAAAAGUUCUAACAAGUGUUCUUCUAGAAGGCACAUUAAACAAUGGAAUACCAACAUCCAAAAAAGCCGAAACCCCAUCUUAUCAACGGUACUAAAUGGCAUCUCAUCUAUGACUACCAUCUUGACACAUGCUUCUAAUACAUUAACUUGUGAAAAGCCAACAACAACCACAUUGUUAUCUUUACUUUUAUCCUCAAAACACUUUUUGCUUUUUACAUUUAUUCCCCUGAUAAAAUCUACAAUAUUUUUCAAUGUGGUGUUUCAUAGUUGAGGUGCCAUUUACUCUCGGUUCAGCUGCAUAGUCACCAUCAUUGCUCUUUUUCGAACAAUAAUUACACUUAGCUCUCCUAAGUUGUUUAUCCACCCAAACUUCCUCCCCCUUAUCAUUGAUUGUUUUCACUUUUUUCGUCACAUAGUAUGUUGUAAAAUGCUCCCAAACCCAACUACGCUUUCUUGAAUCAGAGUUACUUACUUGUGCAUCAUCUUCACCUUCAGAUUCAUUUCCAUCAUUUUUUGGGUCACCUUCAACAUUUUCUUGAUUUUCUGGAUCAAUUUCUAUUGUCUCAUCCUCCGGCUUCUCAGGGGAGUCACCCGUUGAAGAGAGAGCAACCGAACUAUGUUUGCUAGAUUCUUCAAAUCUUGACUGAAACAUAAAAGAAAAGUAAGCAGCAACAACAAUUAACAAUUAUCAGUAGUGUUUGGACUCCCUAUUGGACAACAUAUGAGUAACAGGUUUGGUUCGUUUUGUGAUCCAAAUCCAAUUUUUUUUCCAUUGAACACGUCAUGCUUAGUUUCAACAUGUUAAAUAGUUAUGAAUCACUUAUCCUGCUUGGCCUAUGUUGUAUUGUUUGAUAACUUUUUUUUUAUCGUAUGGGUAGAUGUUUCCACAAGGAAGGAUGCAAUUUGAGUACAUGAUCAAACCAAGGAUUAUAGAGCAGAUACUUUUAGUACAAUUCCGUUAAGUAGUGCCUCUCUUCAUUCAGGCCUGCAUUGAGUCUAAACUUGUAGGACAACUCAAUCACAGCUACAAAUAUUAACCACUGUACAUAUAAAUUACAAAGAAAACUCAUAUAUUGUAUAAGAACAAACCUCGCAACUUUCGAAAUUAUAUGUUGCAUACGAUUAACCGAUCCCCACGUUAGAAACUUCGUUACUACUAAAUAUGCCACGUUAAGUAGAACAGAUGAAUCAUAUAAUCAUAUACAUAAAAUCACCCAGGAAAAAGUAAAAUUAUAGUUAAAAUUAAGUGAAAAGGAAUGCAAGGAAGAAAGAAAAGAUGGAGUUGCUCUGAGCUCCGAGUCUGUGCAUUUCUUUUCCAACCCCAAAAAUACAGACUCUAGGUAAAAAUACAGAAUUUUCUACGAAAUUUUGAAUCAUUCACGACGUUAUAAAUCAUAGUUCUUACCAAAUCCCCUUUUGAUUCAAAACCCAACCCUAAAAUUAAUCUCAAAUCUAUAAGUAAAUUUAACUAAAACAAGUUAUAAAUCAUAGUUCUUACCAUAUUAGAACUCUGAAAUUUAGAAGCUAGGAGCUGGAGAGCCUAGAAUGAGGCCGAAGGGGAGAGAGAGACAGCGCCUGGAGACUAGAAGUGGAAGAGGAAGAAUGCACGGAUGAAUAAAAACUUGAGAAAGAAAAGUCUUUGGUCUUGUUAGUCCACGGACUAGAGACUAGAAGAAAGAAUAAAAGGUUAUUUUAUGUGGCCAUGUUAUGAUGUGGUUGAGUCCAUACUAAAUGUAUGGACUCAAUGAAAAUAACCAAUUAAAAUUUAACAUUUAAUAAAGGUAUGCGGUUUCGGUUUCGGUUCGGUUUUGGAGGGCCGAAACCGAAACCAAACCGUUUUCCCCCUAUUCGGUUCGGUUUCAAACCGAAACCGUUUUGAAACGGCAAAACCAAACCGUUCGGUUUGGUUUGGUUUGGUUCGGGUUUCAGUUGCGGUUUUCGGUUUCAAGUGCCCACCCCUAGUAAGCCCCGUGAGGGCAUAGGAUUCCAAGCUUAAUCAUUCAUACAUAUACCACCAAAAACAUCCCUAUCCGUCCAUUAUUACCCAAAAUAUCCAUGAUUAUCCAACUAAAAAAAAUUAGGGUAAUUAAACACACUUAUGAAAACGUUAAUUCGGGACGGGCUGUCACAAGCAAGUGGUAGUCUCAACCCACCUUUUAGCAGGGAGAUUGCCUUGACUCUGCAUAACCCGAAAAGUCUUCUCUACAUGCUCAUGCCAACGCUCGGCCCCUUCAUGUCCUUCAUUACCCAUAAAAGUAGGUAAUUUCAAAUUAUACACUGCCUCUAAGGGAGUCUUCGGAGGAGGGCGAAGUGAAGCUUGAAUGGCAUUAGUUAUAGCUUCCCCUAAUUGAGAGAUAUCGGGAAAACCAGGCUCAGAAUAAGAACGUGGAUGGUUGCCUGAAGAAGUAGCAGACUGGAAGAAUUUUAAGGAUUCGUUCUAUAAAAGGUUUAUUCCUCCAACAUAUCUUGACCAGAAGAAGCAAGAAUUAGUCAGUUUGAGGCAAAGAAAGUUGUCUGUUAAUGAGUACUAUCGGAAAUUUACUGAUUUGUCUCAAUAUGAUUCUGAUACUGCUGCUAAUCCUGUUGAGAUUCUUAGACGUUUCAAAAGGGGUACUAAAAAGAAGUGGCGUUCUAUGACUACCAUUGCAAACUGUACCACUUAUCAGGAAUUUUAUGAGGUUUUGAGGGUUGAGAACUCAGAAAAUUUACCCAGUGACAGUGAAGAAGAAGAAAGAGAUAAGAAUCAAAGGCGAAAUGAUAAAGGUAAAGGUCAGUUUUCUCAAGGACCUAAGAAAGCACAAAGUUUCAAAAGAAAUGGUAUGGGUUUGAGUUCUUCUAGCGGAGGUUUCGGCUUCUCAAAUCAGCGGCGAGGAGGUAGAUUCUCUGGAGGCCCUAAAUUUCAGGGACAGAGAGAUUCUGGUGGUUCUGGAGGUUCAGGCGUUCCUCUUUGCCGAAGGUGCAAUAAUCGACACGUUGGAGGAUGUCGUCAAGGUAACAGUGGGUGUUUUAAUUGUGGUCAGAUGAGGCAUAUAGCUAAGUAUUGUCCUUAGAGCCAACAGAGAGCUCUACAGCCUUUUGUGCCACAUCCAGCUCCGACUCAACAGUUUUCAGGACUUAGUGGUUUCACUCAGAUGGGUCGUGGUAGCGCUUAUCAUCUUCAAGGGGAUUCAGUUACUUAUCUUUCGAGACAUUAUCAAUACCCUCAGGACCCUUACCAGCAGAAUCGUUUUGGUCAAUAUUCAGAAGGUUAUAUGCCUUAUCAGCAGAACAACCUUGGUCAGCAGUUUUCAGCUGGUGGAUCACAGUGGCAGCCAGGAGGACAACCACAACAAAUGGAUAUUGGUAUUAGUAGUGCUGGAUCGUCUAGGCCGCACAUUCAGUUUGGUCAAGGACGUGGUUCACAGGGCAGAGGUGUUCAUGCUAGCAGAGGUCGAGGAGGAAGACAGCAAGCCCAAUGACGUAUCCACAACAUUUCUCUACAGGAUGCUCAGAAUAAUCUUGACUUGAUUAUGGGUACGUUAAAUAUUCUUGGUUAUCGUGCUAAAGUGUUGAUUGAUUGUGGUGCUACACAUUCAGUAAUUUCUCAUACAUUUGCUCAAUCGACUCAACCUCGAUCUACACAUCUAGGGUUUGAGUUAGAAUUUGCUAUGCCUAGAGGGGAAAAAUGUUGCGUAGAUUAUGUAUAUCCAGGGUGUCCAGUGAUGGUCGAGAAUGUAGUCAUGCCAGCUAAUCUUGUCCCGUUAGAUAUUGUGGAUUUCGAUGUGAUAUUAGGCGCAGAUUGGUUGCAUUUCAAUCGUGCCCAAAUUGAUUGUUAUUGGAAAACAGUGACUUUCCAUCGCCCUGGAUUACCUAAAGUUACGUUCGUAGGUGAGUCUAGUGGAUUGAGGCAUGAAGUUAUUUCAGCUGUGAGAGCUGAAAAAUUAUUAUCGAAAGGUUGUCAAGGAUAUUUGGCGCAUGUGAUAUUAGAUGAUGUUGCUCUUAGUAGUUUGGAAGAAGUGGGAGUAGUCAGGCAUUUCCCUGACGUAUUUCCGAAUGAUUUACCUGGAUUGUCGCCUGAUAGAGAUGUCGAGUUCAGUAUUGACUUGCUUCCAGGUACAAAUCCUAUUUCCUUAACUCCUUAUCGUAUGGCUCCUACUGAGUUAAGAGAAUUGAAGAUUCAAUUACAAGAAUUGGUUGAUAAAGGUUUUAUUCAACCUAGUACUUCACCCUGGGGAGCUCCAGUUUUGUUUGUAAGAAAGAAAGACGGAACUUUGAGGUUAUGCAUCGAUUACAGGCAAUUGAAUCAGGUAACGAUUAAAAACCGUUAUCCAUUGCCGCGUAUCGACGAUCUAUUUGAUCAACUUCGAGGUGCCUGUGUAUUCUCAAAGAUCGACUUAAGGUCAGGUUACUACCAGUUGAAGAUUAAGAGUGACGAUGUCUACAAAACUGCUUUUAGAACUCAUUAUGGUCAUUAUGAGUUCCUUGUGAUGCCGUUUGGAUUGACGAAUGCACCUGCAGUUUUUAUGGGUUUGAUGAAUAAAGUAUUCUAGCAAUAUUUGGAUAGAUUUGUCAUUGUAUUUAUUGAUGACAUUCUGGUGCAUUCCAAGUCUGAAGUAGAUCAUGUUCAACAUCUUACUCUGGUGUUGGAGAAAUUGAGAGAGCACCGUUUGUAUGCUAAGUUUAGCAAGUGCCAAUUUUGGUUAAGUGAAGUGGCAUUUUUGGGACAUGUCAUAUCAGAUCAGGGUAUUUUGGUAGACCCUCAAAAAAUUUCAGCUGUGGAAAAUUGGGAACAUCCACGAACAGUUACAGAGGUACGGAGUUUCCUUGGCUUAGCAAGUUACUAUCGACGGUUUGUGAAGGAUUUUUCAGUUAUCGCUUUACCACUUACAAGGUUAACCAGAAAGGAAGUCAAGUUUGAGUGGGAUAGUAAGUGUGAGCAGAGUUUUCAGCAACUUAAGCAUUGUCUCACUCAUACAUCUGUUUUGGCACUUCCUGAUGACAGCGGUAAUUUCGAGAUUUAUAGCAAUGCUUCAUUGAAUGGCCUGGGAUGUGUUUUAAUGCAGCAUGGUAGGGUGAUUGCUUAUGCUUUACGUUAGUUAAAGCCUCAUGAAAAGAAUUACCCUACUCAUGAUUUGGAAUUAGCAGCUAUUAUAUUUGCCUUGAAGAUUUGGAGACACUACCUUUAUGGUGAAAAAUGUAAGAUCUUUACGGAUCACAAGAGUCUUCAGUACAUUUUCAUCCAGAAAGAGCUUAAUCUUAGACAACGAAGGUGGUUAGAGCUGCUUAGCGAUUAUGAUUGCACUAUCGAGUAUCAUCCUGGUCGUGCUAAUGUGGUGGCUGAUGCUUUGAGUAGGAAAUCUCAAGGUCGAGUUAACGCAUUGUAUGCUUCUCGUGUUCCUCUUCUUGCAGAUUUGAGGUCCACUGGAGUGCAAUUGGGAUUUGAAGAACAAGAGGAAAUGGUGGUCGGACGAGAAGAAGCUUUACUUGCUAGUUUUCAAGUUAGGCCUAUUUUAAUGGAUCGUAUACUCGAAGCCCAAGGAAUUGACGAAGAAGUUCAGAGUUUAAUCUUGGCAGUUUUUCAAGGAAAGAAAAAUGACCUCAAUGUUCGAGAAUCUGAUGGCAUGCUUAUGUAGGAUAAGCGGAUGUACGUGCCAAAUAAUGAGGAAUUGAAGAAAUAGAUUCUUGAUGAAGCGCAUAUUUCAGCAUAUGCAAUGCAUCCAGGGGGUACUAAGAUGUAUCAUACCAUUAAGCCAUUUUACUAUUGGCCAGGUAUGAAAAGAGAAAUUGCAGAGUAUGUCAGUAGGUGUGCAGUUUGUCAGCAUGUUAAAGCUGAAAGGAAGAAACCGUUUGGUUUAAUGCAACCACUUCCCGUUCCACAGUGGAAAUGGGAGAAUAUCACUAUGGAUUUUGUGUACAAGCUUCCUCGUACACGGAACGGUUAUGAUGGCGUUUGGGUGAUUGUAGAUCGACUUACUAAGUCAGCGCAUUUUAUUCCAGUGAGGGAAAAGUAUUCUCUGAACAAGUUGGCUGAGCUGUUUAUCACUAAGAUUGUGAAGUACCAUGGGAUUCCAGUAAGUAUUGUUUUAGAUCGAGAUCCUAGAUUCACUUCUAAGUUAUGGACAGCUUUUCAGGAAGCUCUUGGUAUGAAAUUGCUAUAUAGUAUGGCGUAUCAUCCCCAGAUAGAUGGUCAAUCAGAGAGGACAAUACAGACUUUGGAAGAUAUGUUAAGAUCUUCUGUAAUGCAGUUUGGCGAUGAUUGGCAUGCAAAGUUGGAUUUAAUGGAAUUUGCUUAUAAUAACAGUUACCAUUCUAGCAUCGGGAUGGCACCGUUUGAAGCUUUAUAUGAAAAAUCGUGUCGUACUCCUUUGUGUUGGUCAGAGGUUGGUGAAAGAGUUUUGGUGGGCCCUGAGAUAGUGGAGGAGACUAAUCAGAAUGUUCAAGUAAUUAAGUCUAAUUUGAAAGUGGCCCAGGAUCGGCAGAAGAGCUUAGCAGACAGGCAUGCUACUGAUCGAGUGUAUAAGGUUAAUGAUUGGGUAUUUUUGAAGCUAUCGCCGUGGAAAAGAGUAGUAAGGUUCGGGAAAAAGGGUAAGCUGAGCCCUAGGUACAUCAGACCUUACCAGAUCACCGAGCGAGUUGGUGAGGUUGCUUACAGACUUGAGUUGCCUUCGGAACUAUCUAAAGUGCAUAACGUAUUUCAUGUUUCGAUGCUUCGUCAUUAUGUUGCAGAUCCAUCGCAUGUGAUUCCAAUUCAAUCUUUGGAGAUUAGCCCGAAUUUGACUUAUGAUGAAUAACCAGUAACUAUCUUGGAUUGGAAAGAGAAAGUUCUGAGAAAUAAGACGGUGCAGUUGGUAAAAGUCUUGUGGAGGAACCACUCGGUGGAAGAGGCUACUUGGGAAACAGAGGAUCGGAUGAGAGAGAUGUAUCCGAGAUUGUUUUAUGACUAUUAGUGUUGUAUUUUGAUUAUGUAAAUUUCGGGGACGAAAUUUCUAUAAGGAGGGUAGGUUGUGACAGCCCAUCCCGAAUUAACGUUUUCAUAAGUGUGUUUAAUUACCCUAAUUUUUUUUAGUUGGAUAAUCAUGGAUAUUUUGGGUAAUAAUGGACGGAUAGGGAUGUUUUCGGCGGUAUAUGUAUGAAUGAUUAAGCUUGGAAUCCUAUGCCCUCACGGGCUUACAGAAAUCAUUCCUUUUCCCUUACUUUUCUUUUUCUUUUCUGUGAAACCCUCCACUUUGUUCCCUCAAUCACCCUCUCUUUUAUUUUCCCUCAGCUCCCUCAAACUCAACUCUCAUUCUCUCCCGUCAAUUUCUCAAGCUCUCUUUCUCUCCUUCUCUCGAAACCCACGGACUAAACAACAAGUUCAUCAAAACUUCAUAGAUCGACGAAACAAUCACCAUCUUCUUCGUUUCGACGAUACGAGUCCAACCAUACCAAUUUCAGGUAAGAACUAUAACGUUUUCACGUCGAAAAUACGAACUCCGGUUUAGGUACUAUUCAUCAACUUUUUAUUGGUUGAUUUUUAGGACUUUUCAAGCUUAUAGGAAGCUUCUUGAGGUCCUUAGGAGGCUUGGAGUAGUUCGUUGGAAGUGUUUGGACGUAAGAACACGGAGAACGACAAGUUCAAAGUUUGGCCGGAGCUUUCGGGGCUUUUUCCGGUGAAUCCACGCCGAGUUAGGGGUCAAGGAAGGUAUGGAUGUGUUCAUCUCGUCAAUACCUUCAUUUUGAUAUAAAGUACGUCGAAAAUGGUUAAGAAAUGAAGAAGUUAUGACACUUUGAAGUUUACCCAGAAAUUCCGGCAAAACACCCACCUCCGGCGAAACCAGUCCGCCGACGCGAGGAAGAAGACGCGCGUGUGGGCAGCGCGUAUAGGUGGCGUGUGAGGGCGUGUGAGAGACCCAAAUCAAGUUCUGAAAAUUGUCACGUGUUCGUGACAUCGUGUAGAUCACCGUGGUAUAUUCACAUACCCAAAUUGAGCAACGUAUGAGAAAGUUAUUGACGUAUGUUUGUGUAUGUGCGUUUAAAUGAUGUUUUAUAAUUAUUUUUGUAUAGGUGAAAAUUAUACGGACGAAGAACGUAACCAAAAUAGGCGAGGGGUUUACGAACCGGCUACUUAUCAGUGAGUGGGCAGUUAUUUUUCAGUAUAUAUAUACGUAUACUUGACGUAUUUCCCAGAAAACGUAUUUUAAAAGAAAUACGAAUUAAGCAACUUAUCAUGUAUGCAUCAUAUUUUAGUAUGUGCAUUAUUAUAAUUAUGCAUAUUGUUGCAUGGUGCUGAGGAGGCCCAGGUAAGCUACCUUUAAGUAUAUACAUUUGAAAUAUGUAAGUAUAUACAUUUGAAAUACGAUUGAUAUACAUAUGAAAUACAUUUGAAGUACGUAAGUAUAUACGUUUGAAAUAUGAUUGAUAUACGUAUAAUAUACAUUUGAACUACGUAUAAUAUACAUUUGAAAUACGCACGAAAUACAUUUGAAAUACGUAUAAUAUACAUUUGAAAUACAUAUAAUAUACGUUUGAAAUACGUACGAAAUACGUUUGAAAUACGUAUAAUAUACAUUUGAUAUACGUUUGAAAUACAUAUGAAAUACAGUGGAUAUACGUAUGAAAUGUGAUUGAGAUAUGUUUGAAAUGUGAUUAAGAUAUAAUUGUGAUAUGAUUUGAGAUACAAUUAAGAUAUUAUGCUUAUAACAAUCAUGAGAUAAGAUUGGAAUAUGAUGAAUUAUAUGAUUCGAUUGAGAUGUGAUUGAAAGCUCAUUUACUUGCACACGUAUAUUAGUGCUCCCGCCCAGAGAUAGGGGCACAGUCUUUCACGUGAUGUUCACCUCCCGCAUCGCAUGCUCGCCUUGGAUCCAAGUUAGGUGUACAACAUGUCGUAUAGACCACUUAUGUGGGUUCGACUUGUAGGUGACCCGCGAUUUAUCGCACAGCUUCACGUGAUUAUAGCACUAGAGCAUAUUAUAUUAUAUACGAUGAUGAAUUGUAGACCACGUGAGGUGGUAUUGAAUGUGUGCAGGAUAUACAUGUUUAUACAUGAUGUGAUGAGAUGAUUAUGAGCUAUAUAUGUAGUUGAGGGCUGAGUUGAUUGUGAUGAGAUGAUUAUGAAUUAUGUUUAUAGCCGAGCGUUGAAUUGAUUAUAUGUUAUCCCAUCAGAUUCACAUAGGAUGUUAAGCAUUCAGUUAUGAUAUUUGGCAUGACAUACAUUCAUAUUGUUCAGCAUGAUUUGAUAUAUAUUACGUAUAUGAUUAUAUACUUUAUUGCUGGAAAAUUAUACUUGUUUUACGGCGAGGGGUUAGUACAUUCAAAAGAAAAAAAGAAGGUUUUGAAUAAGUUUGUUUUGCUGACCCACUCAACUUUGUUUUGCGCCCCUCCAAGUUCUAGGUAGCGUAUAUCGGUGAAUCUCGAGGUGUCCAGCUGAAAGUUCUGACAAACCACCACUCAUGUAGGACCAACUUCGAGUGUUGUUAAAUAUGUACAUCUUAUGUUUGACUGCACUUAGACCUUGUGCUUUGGUUGUGUAUUCACACUUAAACUCAAAUUAGAACCUAUCGUAUUUGGUUUUAAUUUAUUCGUACUUUCCUUAUAAAAUAUCACUUCCACACAGCGCACAUGGCUACGUCACGCUCACGUGACGGCCAGCAUGCCUUGACUUCGGUCGGAGUGUGUCAUUUACACUAGUGGAUACCACAAAAUCUUAUUUUAUACUUAAUAGAAUUAUAAUAUUAACUCUAAGUGUUUGUUUAAUUGACCGUUUUGACACAAUAUGCAUUCUACGAAACUUUUUUCAAUGAUCCAACCGUCAAAAUUAUUUGUACACACUCUGAGAUUGCAUACGUAAAAAAUCAUAAAAAACAAACAUUCAAAGAUUAGGCAACGGAAUAAAAGUUUUCGACGGUUAUAAAAGAAAAAUCACAAUUUAGCGGUUAUUUUAGCUUCGAUUUUGAUGAUUUUUUACAGCUACACUCCUUAACCCUAUAAGAAUGUAAUGAAUAAAUUUGAUCUUUAAUUUAAAAUAUUUACACUAGUGGAUACCACAAAAUCUGAUUUUAUACUUAAUAGAAGUAUAAUAUUAACUCUAAGUGUUUGUUUAAUUGACCGUUUUGACACAAUAUGCAUUCUAUGAAACUUUUUUCAAUGAUCCAACCGUCAAAAUUAUUUGUACACACUCUGAGAUUGCAUACGUAAAAAAUCAUAAAAAACAAACAUUCAAAGAUUAGGCAACGGAAUAAAAGUUUUCGACGGUUAUAAAAGAAAAAUCACAAUUUAGCGGUUAUUUUAGCUUUGAUUUUGAUGAUUUUUUACAGCUACACUCCUUAACCCUAUAAGAAUGUAAUGAAUAAAUUUGAUCUUUAAUUUAAAAUAUUUACACUAGUGGAUACUACAAAAUCUUAUUUUAUACUUAAUAGAAGUAUAAUAUUAACUCUAAGUGUUUGUUUAAUCUACAGUUUUGAUGCAAUAUGCAUUCUAUUAAACUUUUUUCAACAAUCCAACCGUCAAACUUAUUUUUACACAUUCCGAGAUUGUAUACAUAAAAAAUCGUAAAAAACAAACAUUCAGAGAUUAGGUAACGAAACAAAAUUUUUCGAUGGUUAUAAACAAAAAAUCACAAUUGAACGGUUAUUUUAGCUCCAAUUUUGAUGAUUUUUUUACAGCUACACUCCUCGACCUUAUAAGAAUGCAUUGAACGAAUUCGAUCUUCAAUUUAAAAUAUUUACACUAGUGGAUAAUUUGUUAUACUUAAUGGAAGUAUAACUCUUAAGUGUUUGUUAAAUAUAUCAAUUUGAUAGGAUAUGCAUUCUACGAAACUAGUUUCAACGAUCCAACCGUCAAAUAUGUUUGUAUGUACUCCGAGAUAGCAUGUGUACAAAAUCGCAAAAAAAAAAAACAUUCAGAGAUUAGGUAGCAAGACCAUGAGUGAAAAAAAUAUUAAACUAUUUGUUUAUUUAUUUAUUUAUUUUUAAUCAAUGUAACAUUUUAAAAUAAUAAAAUAGUCAAUUUAUGUCGAUUAUAACCGACAUCAUUAACUUAGAAACUGCCAGAAUAUGUUAAAAAUAUUAAAAAAAAAAGAAUUAAAAAAUAUUGAGGGUUAUAAUAAUUUCAGACGAUUAAAUCCGCUAGGAAUUUAUAUCGAAUAUAUCGGACAGAAAGUAACUUUAAUCUGACAAUAAAUAAAUUAUGUGUCGAAUAUCUUUUAUCUGUCAAAAUAACUUAUUAACCGUCAGAUCGUCCGACACCUAAAAUUAGUAUCGUAGUAGUGAAAACGCGUAAGGCCGGGAAAGGGGGCCCAUUGGCUUACCGUGUGUUUGCCACUGCCAUUCUGUGACCUGUGAGUAGUCAGCUUGCUUUAAUAAAAGGUAUGAACUGAUGGUGAUGUUUCCUUCAUCUGUCUUUCUUCAUGUGUGAACGCGUUGAUUUUUUAUACGCGGAAGGUAAAGGUGCUUGAGUUGGUUUCAUCUCUUUGAUGAUUUUCUAGGAAAGCCUGAGGACCAUAAAAUUUUCAAGAACUGAAUAAAUCUCAUCCAUCUCAAGUAUCCCCUUCUCUUUCUUUGAUAUAUUAUCAAGCGCUCGCUUCUUUCUCUUCUUUUUUACUCACAAGUUACAAGUCUACUGUUAGUUCCUUGAGAGAAACACAAACAGAUGGAGUGUAUAAUGACUAUCUUGCAGAUGUGCUGCAGAUCGUUAACAUUUUCUUCUCCGUCAUCUGCUGCAGCUGCUGCUGCUGAUGAUAAUGAUGAUGACUGUGUUGAAGCGAAUAUCCCCCCUCGUCGGGAGAAGUAUGAUGUGUUUAUCAAUUUCAGAGGCGAGGACACCCGCGAUGGUAUUACCAGCCAUCUUCAUGCUGCCUUACUUCAGAAGAAAAUUGAAACCUACAUAGAUAACAGACUUCAAAAAGGAGAAGAAAUCGGACCUGCCCUUCAAGAGGCAAUCGAGAAAUCCACACUUUCGGUGAUCAUUUUCUCACAAAACUAUGCUUCUUCCACAUGGUGUUUGGAUGAACUCGUGCAUAUACUCGAAUGCAAGAAAAUAUAUGGUCAUAUGGUUAUACCCGUAUUCUACGACAUCAAUCCAUCUGAUGUACGAAAGCAACACGGGAGUUAUGCGGGUGCAUUUGCUCAACUUGAAAAACGUUUCAAGGACAAUAUUGAUAAGGUGCACAAGUGGAGGGAUGCUUUGAAGACCGCAGCCGAUUUGUCUGGGUUUGAUUAUUCAAACAAACGCGGGUAAGUAACUCAUUUCUCUAACUUGUAUAAAAUUAUAAAUUUUCUUUAAACUUGUGACAAUUUGAUUUGUCCUAAGAUUUGGUAAAGCAUUACUCUAUUUUAAACUUGGGGAUUGGUGGCACUGUAGCUUAGCUACAAUGCAAUUGAGAGGGGAGAUUUUGGUUUUAGCAAGACUUCAUGGCCACACACUGCUGCAGGUCGAAAAAUUUGUCAUGUAAUUAAAAUCAGAUCCUAAAGGAGAGUGGAAUUUUUUUUGUAAUUUAGAGAACAACAUCACAUCAAAGUAAGUAGCAUGUAAUAUAAAUAAUGGAACAAAAUAGAACAUUUUAAUAGACGGCGUAAUCACAAAAUAUAAUGUCUUCAAUUUUUAUAAGAAACGGAUGUAGCAUAGUUCAGUUAGCUUUUUGAACUUAUUUACAACUCUAUUUACACAUAUUUCCAACAACUCUAUCAGCACAUAUAUGUACAAUCAUAUUUACAAUUCUAUUUACACAUAUACUAAUCAGCCUUUUCGAACUUCCUUGAUCAACACAUACAAUUUUUUUUUGCCCUGAUAGGUCUGCUUCUAUGUUCCAAAUUGAAAAAAUAGAAGUUGUUAGUGUAAAUCAAUGAUAUUUUAGUGAAGAUGAUGGAACAAAAGUGUAAUUAUUGAGGAGAGAUUUUCUUAAUUGCUAAAAGUAGUUGAAUACUCUCUCAAGUGCGUUUAAUAAUAUACAUUAAAAACAAAUAUAUGUUGAUGUACAAAUUUAAGUGUACCGUGAGGAGAAAAAUAAAAUUUCUUAUGCUCAUAAAUAAUUAAAACUGACAUAUGUUAAAGCGUACAUAUAAGAAGAAAGUGGACCUUUUUAAUUGUUCAUAUCACAUUUUCCACUAAGCUGACCACAAUAAACUUUUCUAUCACAAUUCUUUGCAUGCAAGUAUGAAUAAAGGUUAACUAAUGUGAUUAUUUUCAUCCUAUUGUAAAUGGAAAUAUAAACAUUCAUUUUGCUGAAUUGUACACUUGAGAGAAAAAUAUGCAUAAAUGUAGAAAAAGAUUUAUAAGAUCUUAAAAAGUGUAGACAAUGAGUAGCAAUUACCCUUCCCACUUAACUUGUGAACGAAAAGGAGGAAAAAGUAAACCAAUGACUGGGUAUUCAUUUUUUGUGUCACUGUUCUUAUUAUAUUUGAAGCAAGCAACCAAACAGCAUAUGAUUAUUCCAAUUUCGAUCCAACCAUCACAAUCCCCAACCUGAGGGAUUUUAAUGAAUUUAUAAAUCCAUGGAUUUUGAUGGAAUUUAAUUUGUAGAGAUGUCAUGUAAAAUUUUAAUUAACUAUCUAAAAUUCUGAUUGAAUGCAUAUUGAAUUUUAGAGGAUUACUUAAAAUCCUAAUUGAAUAUUCAUAAAUUCAUUAAAAGAAUUAAAAUUAAAAUUAAAAUUUCAAUUGAAUACACCCCCUAAAUCUCACGAUUACCCAAAACACAACGCUAAAAACUUUACUCAGUGAGUCUCCAAUCUAAUUACAACUCUGGAGUAAGUACUUCCUGAAGAAUAUGAACUUAUAGAUAUAAAUAUAUCCAAUAAAGCAGCAUAUGUAGUGAAAUUUAGGAUCAUUUGAUUGAACAGCCAAAACAUUCGAUCUUACACAAAUGAAUACUGCUGCAACCUAUAACCCAUUCAAAAAUUACUAUUGGAAAAGCAGCCAAACUAAUGAAAAGGAGAUAAAAAGGAAAAUACUAAUAUUCACCUCACACGAAACGAGGAGAGAAAAAUGAAAAUACUAAAUACUGAACUAACACAAAAACAAAACGGGAAAACACACAGAUUGCAGACCCUUCCCAUUUGGCAACUGAAAAUGUGUCAUGCCAAUUAUAAUAAAAGUAUACUUGAAAGACGAAAGUGUAAGCAUGCACCAAUAAUUCGAUUUGAACGACGUUGGAUUUAGCAUUCAUCUAUAGACGUCGUCUAGGUCAAAUUUCUUUCCUAAAAUAAUCAUUUCAAAGUGUAUUUCCUCAAUGAGGAACAAUUACAAAGAGAAAAUAAUGUCUGCUUUUUAUUAAGACGCUUGUAAAAUUAGUUAUAGAAUUAGUUAUAGAGUCGUUGUCCAAGAUUUUCAUGUUUUAUAUCAACAAACACUAAAAUUGGGUUACUUGGUAUAUCGACGGUGAUAGAGAUAAUACAUAAGGUUGGAAUGCAUAGGAUGGUGACACUUGUAAUAAGAUUAGAGAAGUUAAUUAUGGUUGUUAGGAUGUAUAGAUGUGAAGAUUCUUGUAUAAAUGCCCUUAUGAUGUAAUAGCUUGGAUGCUAAGAAAACAAAUAACAAGAAUUAGUUUCUCUCUCUUUCUCUCUUCAAGUUUCUCUCGGAUUCUCUCUCUUUCUCUCUCUAGAUUUUCCGCAUUCAAGCUUCUUCUUCUUGGUUAACAUGGUAUCAAUCGCCAUUAUUGCUGCUGCAUUUCUCGAUCCUUGACUCAGCUUCCACUCUUCAACUUCAUCUUCUCCGAUCGUCUUCUGGGAAGCUGUGAUCACUUCCGACGAGCUCCGAUCAGCCUCUUUUGCAAGAUUUUAGGGUUUCACGGAGCUUCUUCUGCAAGAUUCUAGGUUUUCAAGAAAGUGUUCGUCGUGCUAGCUUCUCUUCUACUCGCAGUUCUUGGUUUGAUCUCUGCAAAAAUGGUAACUGCUUCUCAACUUCAGCUUGUUCAGUCACCGAUAACUGCUCUAAUUUCUACAAUUUCUACGCCAGUCAAUGUGAAACUUGAUGAUUCAAAUUAUCUUAAUUCUCAUUUUCAAAUGCAAUUAUUGCUGGAAAGUAAUGGUAUUAUAGGAUUUGUUGAUGGCUCAACCCCUUGUCCUGCACGAUUUAGGUCGAAUUCUGGUGAAUCAGGUGUAAAUUCUGGUAAUUCAUCAACUAUCACAGAAACUGAUGAAUAUACUCUGGAAAUUGCAUGAUCGUGCACUUAUGUAGCUCAUUAUUGCCACAUUGUCUCCAAUUGCUAUGUCAUGUGCCAUUGGUAGCUCUAGUUCCAGGGGAUUAUGGACUAGACUUAAGGAACAAUUCUCCACUGUGUCAAAGACUAGUAUCUUUCAGAUGAAGUCUAACCUCAAACCAUCAAGAAAGGUUCCGAUUAUGUGACACAGUAUUUGCAAAAAAUUUAAGAAGCUCGUGACUAUUUGUCAACCGCUGGUGUGUUUCUUGAUGAUGAAGAUAUUAUUAUCUUGGCUCUCAAUGGCCUACCUCCAGAGUACAAUACAUUUCGUAAUGUUGUGAGAGGUAGAGAAAAUGUCAUGACAAUUAAAGAGUUUCGGUCUCAAUUACUUGCUGAAGAAACAAUUGUAGACAAUCACAUUAAUGGUUCAUUUCUCUCUGCCAUGGUUGCUAAUACUUCUGCAGCUAUGCAUAAAGGUUCCAACAUACCUCAUUAGUCUUUUACCUCUGGUGGUGGUCCAUCAUAUCAUCAUAAUGGGGGUCAGCCAUAUGUUGUGUCUGGAGGGUUCAAGUCUUUUAACGACAAGAACAAAAGGCAAAAACAAAUUUAAUACAGCACAACGAUAUUACAAUCUUCGGUUAGUGUAUCCUACACAAACUCAUGUCUUACCUACACCUACUCCUAGUGUUCUUGGACCAUCUCCAAACCAGUUUGCAAGUCCCUCAUCACCUCCAUUGCAGACGUGCCAAUUAUGUAAUGCUACAGGUCACAUUGCCCCUUAUUGUUUUAAUAAAUCUUCUGACAGACAAUAAUGUCAAAUAUGUGGUAAAUUUAAUCAUACCACAUGGUAUUGCUUUUACAAUGAAAAGGGACCUCAGUUUGCUUCAAGGGCAUGUGCUUCAAUGCAGGGCAACUCCUAUCAUGGCCCUCAUGUGAUGUCUAAUUCUCAGCCAUCUUCUUCACAUUCACAACUGGGUCUGUAACAUCUACUUCUCAGUCACCACAAGUGUGGUUGACAGAUUCAGGAGCUACUAAUCAUAUGACAGCUGAUCUUAACAACCUGUUUCUAGCUUCACCUUAUCCCAAUAAUGAAGUUGUUCAAACUACUAAUGGUGAAGGUUUGAGAGUUUCUCACAUUAGCAUUUCUAUACUUACAACUCCUGUCAAUUCUAUCAAGUUGAAUUCCAUUCUUUAUGUUCCUAAAUUGACACAACUUACUGUCAGUUCAUAGGAUUUGUUUGGAUAACAAUUGCUAGCUAAUCUUUGAUGCAUUUUGUUUCUGGAUUUAGGACAAGGCCACAGGGAGAAUUCUGUACAAAGGGCGUUGCAGUAAUGGACUCUAUCCCAUUCAGUCACUCUCCACUCGUUCUCAUAUACACCAGUCUUCUCAAUCUCCAUCUGUUGUUUAUCUUGGUCAGCUUGUUGGUUCUAGCUUAUGGCAUAAUAGGUCAUGACAUCCAUCCAAUCAUAUAGUUUCAUUACUACUUAAACAAGCUAAUAUCACAUGUAAUAAAGACACAACUUCUGCUGUGUCAAAGUUGUCUCGAGGGAAAAACUACAAAGUAACCAUUUUCUUCUUCCCAUAAUAAGUCUGUCAUACCCUUUGAAAUUGUACACAGUGACCUUUAGGGUCCUGCACCAUGUACUUCGAUUGAUGGCUAUAAAUACUAUGUUACCCUUAUUGAUGAAUGCACUCACUUAUGUUGGUUGUUUCCUUUAUCUCACAAAUCAGACUUUUAUGAUGUGUUUGUUACAUUUUGUGCAUUUGUUUCAACUUCUGUGAAAAUCUUGUAGAGUGAUGGGGGGGGGUGACACUUAUAAUAAGAUUAGAGAAGUUAGUUAUGGUUGCUAGGAUGUGUAGUUGUGAAGAUUCUUGUAUAAAUACCCUUAUGAUGUAAUAGUUUGGAUGCUAAGAAAACAAAUAACAAGAGUUAGUUUCUCUCUCUCUCUCUCUCUCUCUCUUCAAGUUUCUCUUGGAUUCUCUCUCUUUCUCUCUCUAGAAAUAUAUGGUGUUAUAACUUUUAGUGUAUUUUUUUAUUUACAUGAGAAUUUUUUCGACCCGCCUUUAAGACUAACUAUUGCUUUUUUUUUUCUUUCUCUCUACAUAAUCAUACAUAUAUAUGCUAGGACGGAGGCAAAUCUAAUUAAGAAUGUUGUCGAUCAUAUUUGGACAAAAUUGAAUUGUGAACCAUCAUGUGAUUUAGAGGCCUGGUUGGAAUUGAAAGCCGCAUCGAGCAAAUUGAAUCGCGAUUGGGCAUUCAUUCAGAGGACGCUUGCAUCACUAUAGGUAUUUGGGGCAUGGAUGGUAUUGGCAAGACCACCCUUGCUGAAACUGUAUUUCACAGACUCUCUUCUAAUUUCGAAGGUUCUUGUUUUCUACAAAAUGUCAGGGAGAAAUCAGAAAAACCAGAUGGACUAGAUCGUUUGCAAAAUCAACUUCUGAGUGAGAUAUUCAAGGAAGAAUGCCUAUCCAUAGGAUCACCUGGUGUUCAAAAUAGGCUCAUCCGCACAAAGGUCCUCAUUGUUCUUGAUGAUGUGAGUAGCUCAAAGCAAAUGCAACGUUUAGCUGGCGAUCAUCUUCGGUAUGGCACUGGAAGUAGAAUCAUUAUCACAAGUAGAGAUAGGGGCACACUUAGACAAACUGUUGAAGAGGAUAAUAUCUAUGAGGUUGAGCUAUUAAAACCAGAUGACGCUCUUCAGCUCUUCUGUUUGCAUGCUUUCAAGAAUAACACUACUCGUAGAACAGAUUAUAAGGAGUUGGCAAAAAAGACUGGGGGUUAUGCCAGAGGCGUUCCUUUAGCUCUUACAAUUCUAGGGUCUUUGUUCUUCAAUUGCAAGAGCAAAGAAGACUGGGAAGAUGAAUUCAACAAAUUGAAACAAUUUCCCAAUGAAGAUAUCCAGAAAGUGUUGAGAAUAAGUUAUUAUAGAUUGGAAGAAAAUGAGAAGCAGAUAUUUCUGGAUAUAGCAUGUUUUCAUAAAGGGAAGGAAGUGAAGGAGGUAAAACGAAUGUUAGCUGUUCGUGGAUUCUUUGCGACAGUCGGAAUUAGAAUUCUCAUUGAUACGUCUCUCAUAUCAAUUUAUUCAGAUAAAUGGAAAGGGGAAAUCAUAGAGAUGCACGAUUCACUACAAGAAAUGGGAAGGACAAUUGUUCAAGAACAAUGUAUUAAAGAUCCCGGUAAACGAAAUAGGGUUUUCAUAGAUGAGGAUGUCUAUCGUGUGCUGAAGAGUAACACGGUAAGAGCCAAAUGCAUUCAAUUUUUUUUCUUUUCUUUUUUAGGAAAAAAUAAAUAACAAACUUUAGAUGAUAACAAAACAAAGUAAAACUCAUUUAUAAUAAAGAAGUCAGAUUCUUAAAAAAUUAACUUGAUUGAAUUUUUAUUGCAAAAAUGUUAUUCUUACUAUCUAUCUAUACUAUCAUUUGUACCUUCUCUCUUAUAGAGAUGAAACUCACAUGCAUUGGCGGGUUCUACCUCUAUUUGAAAGAUGAUACAACUAGGUGGUAAGAAUAACACUACUAUUUUUAUUUUGCUAGGAAGUCUGUAAUUUUUAAUAUAUUAUUACAUCAUCACCAUCGUAAGUACUCUAGACUAUUCUAUAACUUUGUUGAAUUCUUUUUCCAAAUAAGCAUUACAUCUUAACAUCGUUGAAAAUAUAUACAUUUAAACUUUGUUCUUAUUGUCAGGGAACUCCAAUUGUUGAAGCUAUAUUGCUUAACUGGCAUAACAGUGAAGUGCGACCAUUGAAACGUGCAGACUUCAAACUGAUGUCAAACCUAGUAGCGCUAAGUGUGCAUUCUCGAAUAUUUGACUGCAAAUCCACCGCUUCUCUAGACCUUCCUGGUUCUCUUCGUUACCUUUACUGGAAUAGAUAUCCACUGGAAUCUUUGCCGUCAAAUUUUUCACCGGAAAAUCUAGUUGAGCUUCAUAUGCCAUGUAGCGAAGUUAAGAAGCUUUGGAAAGAAGACCAGGUAUAUUAUAUGCCUAUUUUAAUUCUUGUAUAAAAUUAGGUGUAGAAAUUAUAUUAAAUCUUGAUAUUUCUCUCUACUCUUGUUACAGAGACUUGUGAACUUAGAAGUGAUCGAUUUGCAGUACUCUACAAAUCUCACUGAAGUUCCAAAUCUCUCUGGGAGUCUAAAAAUUGUGCACAUAGAUCUCUCUGGUUGUGGAAGUUUGGCUGAAAUUCCAGGGUAUUUUCAAGAUCUUGGCAAGCUUACUCAUCUUCAUCUUGCACUCUGCACUAGUCUCAAGUAUCUUCCAGAGAUGCCAGGAAAUAUUAAAUACUUAGAUUUAUUGGGCAGUGGUAUAAAGGAGUUGCCCCAAUCAGUUUGGUCUCACGAAAAAAUUUCUUACUUGAAUAUAAGUCAUUGCAGAUACCUUGAGAAACUUCCAAGCAACAAGUGUAAACUGAAAAUCUCUGGUUCUUUUAAUCUAGAUUGGCACACAUCUCUUGGCGAGUUUUCUGAGCUUCCCAGGGAUAUAAGUAAAUUAUCAUUGGUUGGUUGCAAGAGACUUGUGAGUCUACCAACCAACAUUUGGAAAUUGAAAUAUCUUGAGGAACUCAAUCUCUCCAACUGCUUUAAACUUGAAAACUUCCCAAAGAUUUUGGAGCCAAUGGAACAUUUGAAGUCCUUAAAUUUAAGUGGAACAUCAAUUAAAGAGCUACACUCAUCAAUCGAGUUUCUCCCUGCACUCAAAAGAAUUCAACUACAAGGUUGCAAAAGGUUUUCAAGUAUCCCAAAGAGCAUUUGUAAGUUGAAGUAUCUUGAGGUACUCGAUUUCUCUUUGUGCUCCGAACUUGUAAACUUCCCAGAGAUUUUGGAGCCAAUGGAACAUUUGAAGUCCUUAAAUUUAAGUGGAACAACGGUUAAAAAGCUACACUCAUCAAUCGAGUUUCUCCCUGCGCUCAAAAGAAUUCAACUACAAGGUUGCAAAAGGUUUUCAAGUAUCCCAAAAAACAUUUGUAAGUUGAAGAAUCUCGAGGUACUCGAUUUCUCUUUGUGCUCCGAACUUGUAAACUUCCCAGAGAUUUUGGAGCCAAUGGAACAUUUGAAGUCCUUAAAUUUAAGUGGAACAACGAUUAAAGAGCUACACUCAUCAAUCGAGUUUCUCCCUGCGCUCAAAAGAAUUCAACUACAAGGUUGCAAAAGGUUUUCAAGUAUCCCAAAAAGCAUUUGUAAGUUGAAGAAUCUUGAGGUACUCGAUUUCUCUUCGUGCGCUGAACUUGAAAACUUCCCAGAGAUCUUGGAGCCAAUGGAACAUUUAAAGUCCUUAAAUUUAAGUGGAACAUUGGUUAAAGAGCUACACUCAUCAAUCCAGUUUCUUCCUGCGCUCAUAAGAAUUUAACUACGAGGUUGCAAAAGGUUUUCAAGUAUCCCAAAGAGCAUUUGUAAGUUGAAAUAUCUAUGUCAUUUAAGAAAAUUUGGGAGAAGAAAAAAAGCCUCGUUGUAAGACCUAGAGAGCAGAAGCAAUCCUACUGGCUACUGCUGUGGUAUCAAAGAUCUGUGUGAUCAUUAUGUUUCAAAGAUCUUUUCAAAAUGAAUCUAAAAUUCUGGACUAACCUCUACAUGCUACAGAAAGGGUCUUUACAAACCUUAAAAAAAAGCACAAAAGACAACUUAUAGGUAGACACCAUAAAUUUACAGGUUCAGGCAGCUCAUCUAGCUUCCCAUACUUGCAAAAUCCAUCAAUAAGUCACGGGUCUCUUUAACCUGAUGUUAUUGGUUUAGUUUAAGAAAGAACUAAUUUAGCUGGCUAAAAUGACUAAAGUAGUGAACCUAUAAGUGGCCAUGUUUUAUCAUUUCUUAUAUUCCUGAUAGUUUAGCUGGCUAAAAAAACUAAAUAGUAGUGAACGUAUAAGUCCUUCGCGAGUUUUCUGAGCUUCCCAGGGAUAUAGGUAAAUUAUCAUUGGUUAAUUGCCAUAAACUUGUGAGUAGCAACAAAUAUUUGUAAGUUGAAAUAUCUCAGAGGAACUCGAUCUCUCCUAUUGCUUUAGACUUUAAAACUUCCCAAAGAUCUUGGAGCCAAUGGAACAUUUGAAGUCCUUAAAUUUAAGUAAAACAGCGGUUCAAGAGCUACACUCAUCAAUCCAGUUUCUCCCUACACUCCAAAUAAUUCAAUUACAUGAUUGCAAAAGGCUUUCAAGUAAUCCAAAGAGCAUUUGUAAGUUGAAAUGUCUCAAGCAUCUCGAUCUCUCUUCGUGCUCUGAACUUGAAAACUUCCCCGAGAUCUUGGAGCCAAUGAAAGAUUUGAAGUUCGUUUAAGUGGAAUAGCGGUUCAAGAGCUACACUCAUCAAUUGAGUUUCUCCCUGCGCUCCAAAUAAUUGAAUUACAUGAUUGCAAAAAGUUUUCCAAGUAUCCCAAAGAGCAUUUGUAAGUUGUAAUAUCUAAGUCAUUAAAUAGAAAAUUUGGGAGAAGAAAAAAAUUGUUGAUUUCAUUCUAGGUAAAAAAAAAAAAGAAAAAAAAAGUCCCGUUGUAAGACCUAGAGAGCAGAAGCAAUCCUACUGGCUGCUGCUGUGGUAUCAAAGAUCUUUGUGAUCAAUAUGUUACAAAGAUCUUUUCAAAAUUCUGGACUAACCUUAAAAAAAGCACAAAAGACAACUUAUAGGUAGAUACCGUAAAUUUACAGCUUGAGGCAGAGUAAGAUAGCUCAUCCACAACAAACCAAAAGGCACUUAUGCGGAAAAAAAAAAACUUCUGACUGAAAGAGUUUUCAAGUAACCAUUUAUCUUAUACGUCAUAAAGAAAAUUCGCUUUACAAGAAAUAGAAAGCAUCAUGAUAAGGAACUACCGGACACUGUGGUGACUCCUUAACAGACAAGUCCGCCAAACCAUUUAAUAUAAGAUACACAAACAAAAAAUCCGUUCAAGUAGUUGUACAUGAGUUCCAAUAUAAUCACAUUUUCUUAAUUCAAUCCUUUGAAUAGUCAAUAAUGGCUUGAAGGUCCAUGCACAGAUGCAACACUCAUAAAAUCAACAUGCAGAUUAUACAGAAACAAAUAGACUUGUUACUGUGCUUCCUUAAUUGUGUAUGUGCUCGCACAACACAAAAUGUCACAUUAAAUUCAACACUUUUCAAAAUUAAAACCAUUAACAUAGAAGAAGUAGUUCAAUGUUUUAUCUAUUCAAUAUUUCUUAAUUGCAAAUUAGAUGUUCUCCGUGCACAUUUCUUAGUUUGAGGUUUAUUUUGUUUGUACCAUACUUGACCAAUCUUGAAACUAUUGAGCACCGGUCAACGUUAUACCGUCAAGGAUCCAGAAGAGUUUCCCUCAAACUAGGAGGCCAAUCAUAGCGCGACAUGUGUCGACAUCAGAAGCCAAUUAUAGCGUGACACGUGUCAACAUCAGAAGCCAAUCACAACAUGACACGUGUCAAUGUCAAAACAAAGCUAGAAACUCUCUUCUAUAAAAGAAGAUCAUUCUCCCACAAUAUUUCCUAAUGUCAUUUGUACUAAAUCAUUCACUAGUACUCACUAAAGGAGAGCUUGAACCUAUGUACUUGUGUAAGCCCUUCACAAUUAAUGAGAACUCCUAUACUCUGUGGAUGUAGCCAAUCUGGGUGAAUCACAUACAUUUUGUGUUUGCUUCCCUGUCUCUAUCCAUUUACAUACUUAUCCACACUAGUGACCGGAGCAAUCUAGUGAAGGUCACAAACAUAACACUUUCUGUUGUACCAAAGUCCCCACUGAUUUUGUGCAUCAACAUUUGACACCGUCUGUGGGAACGACACUUAUUCCCACUCUCUUCAGCUUUGUUAAACUGGUUUCCACCAUUCAUACACUCUCUUUUGACCAGGCAUCCUUCUCCAACAUGGGGAGCGAAGGAAGCCAUAGCACGUAGAAUGACACCACUCUUGCACUUGGUGCAAGGCAAUGAAAGAAGGAAGGAGAUAGGGUUGCUCUUCAAGCCAAAGUCGAUGAGUUAGAAGCUCAGAACAACAAGAUAGCAAUGAAGAAUGAGGUCUUCCAGGAGCAGUAUGAGAAGCUCUUUGAGACGCUUCACGAAACUAGGCGUACUCAAACACAUGAGCUCCUUACCCCUAUGGACAUCAACCAUCAUCUGGGUGCCCCCCAACACGGAGGGUCACCUUCCUUCGACAUGGGUAUCCCUGAUGAGGAGCGAGUUAAUCAUCAAAACAUUGAUCAACAUGAGACUUCUCUCAACCCAGCUACUUCGACCUGAAGCAGGAGAAGUGGAGGAAGACACCUCCUUAUAGAAUGAGUGGAAGGAUCGAAAGCCAUCUUUCGCGAUUAUUGAGAUUUCCUAAAGCAACGUCGAGACAAUCCCAUCCAUGUAAGCUCGAAGAUCAAUGACCCAAAGGUCUCUAGAAGACUCGGUCCCCUCCCAUGUCCCAGGCUGGCUAUUUGGGGAAGGGGCAACAAGUCCUAGAGAAACACAAAGGUAUAGGGGACUCAGAGAUGUUCCGACAGACAUACCUUGGAAGUCAAUAUGGCGAGUCCAGGGAAAAAUCACAUGCUCUUGAUCAAACCUUCAUACUUCUAAGAGGAGAUGGAGAUUUAUGAAAGAAAGCUCCAGUGGUACAUGACUCCACUCAGGACCCUCUUGUCCUAUAGCUCUUUAAAGAAGUAAACAAGUUGAAGGCCGAACGACAAGCUGAGAUACAUGAUUGGAACCAACCUAGGCCUGGCCCUUUUACAAGGAGGAUCCUCGACACCCCCUCAAAGCAAAGACAAAGCAGAAGCUUGGCUUGGAACUUUAUACUGGAAAGGAGGACUCGAUUGAACACCUUACCCUCUUUGAGUCCACCAUGGCAUACUGGAUACACACAGACGAAAAGCGAUGUCUUCUCUUCCCCUCCACCCUCUCUGGCGGAACUCUAAACUGGUAUUGCCGUCUUUCACUUGAGACGGUAGACUUAUUUGAGGAAUUGAGGAAAUUGUUUGUUUCUCAAUACAUUUUCCAGAUCGAUCGCUUGCACUCUACGGAUGACUUGCACAUUAUUCGCCAGAAGCCAGACGAGUCAUUAUGUAUGUAUGCUGGCCGCUUCAGCCAUGAGUAUUCCCGUUGUGCCGAGGCAGAUGAUAAGACUGCCCUCAAAGCCUUCACGGCAGGCCUACGUGAUUGUUUCUUCAAGUACACGAUCAAUGCCAACACUUGGAAGACUUACUCUGAGGUGAUGGCACAUGCUUACAACCAUGCCUCCGCUGAGGCAAGGACAUAUCAAGGGAAACCCUCCACAGCCACCCCUUAUCAGCAAGUAGGGAGUGGAAGCCAUAUCCAACCAAAUGAGAAGAACUCAACCUUCCAAUCUGCAGCGGUGCUUCCCCCUGCCUUACUUAAUACUUCACCAAGUCAACAGACAUAUCAAUCUCAGGGCAAAAGGAAAGAUUUUCAUCCUCACCAGUCUCAUUUUAGUAAAGGAGUAAGAGACACUAUUGCGAUAACCAAGGGUAUCGCCAUGAUAAUGCCUGCUCCUAGGCAGUCAACACAGUGGGCCAAACACGUGUCAGGAUAGGCUCUACCCCGAGGUAUGAGACAUACACACCUUUGAACGGCACAUGCGUGGUCAGUUACCCCAGCAUAGCACACCUGAUACUGAAGCCAAUGCCGAGGCAGUCGGGUUACAAGCCCACGAAGAACACGGGCACAUUUUGCUGCUACCACGAGCAUAACAGCCAUGACGGCGAGAAGUGUAUCACUCUUCGUGAUUAUAUUGAAGCUUUGGCGCGUGAAGGAAAAAUUGAUCGAUUCCUCCUUCACUAUUCAAGGGGUAACCGUAACUAACACCAAAUGUAUGUGAUAUAUUCUAUAAGCGGCUGCACACCCAUAUCCGAAUCUUCCAAUAGGGCCAUGAAAAAUAGCGAACGAGCUUUAAGGCCUGGCCACCAAGUGUUUCACGUGGAAGAUAUCAGGGAAGGCAAGUAUCAAAAGUCUAACUGGGAUCCAAUAUGUUUCUACCCUGAGGAAGAAAGAGGUAUCAUCUACCCUCACAACGACCCACUGAUUGUGGAGGCUCACAUAGCCAACUUUGAAGUAAGACGAAUCCUAGUAGACAUGGGGGUUUCGGUCAAUAUCAUGUUUGCUGAAGCUUUCAGGGCACUUAAUGUAGCUGAACACUUGCUCGAUCGCUCGAUUUCUCCUCUGAUAAGCUUCUCCGGUGAUAUCGUGCAACUUAUAGGGAGCAUACACUUACCUUUCACCAUUGGUACAUGCCCUUACACAGCUACCAUUACCACUAACUUCCUGGUAGUUGAUUGCCCAACGAUAUACAAUGUCAUCUUUGGAUGCUCAUGCAUCAAUGAUCUCAAGGCCAUGGUAUCCACACAUAUGUUAUUGAUGAAAUUUCCAACCUCCUAUGGCAAUGGUUACAUCAGAGGAGAUCAAUUUAGUGCACGGUCAUGUUACAACACUUCGGUCAAGCAACAACACCUGCCUGUGCCCAAGGAAACCUUUUCUAUACAUGACCAAGUCAUAAAGACGAGCCCAGACGAAGCCAACUUGGAUCUUCACGGUGGCAACAGUCAACCCGACGAUCCUCGAGAUGACUCUUUCACCCAACAAACACAACCCGUUGAAGAGUUAGAGAAGGUUUCUAUAUCAAAAGAUUAUCCAGAUCGCAUGGUGAAGAUUGACACCACUUUGUCACCACCCAUUCGGUUGGCAUUGAUCUCUUUUUUGCAAGAGAACAUUGAGGUCUUCGCCUGGUCAUAUGAGGACAUGCCAGACAUCUCUCCCGAUAUCAUAUGUCAUCGCUUGAGUAUUGACCCCAAGACCAAGCCGGUGAGACAGAAGCAAAGAUCUUAUAACGCUGAAUGAUACGAAGCAAUGAAGGCAGAAGUUGAAAAGCUCAAAGGCAUAGGUUUCAUCCGCGAAGUUAAUUACCCAACAUGGGUAACAAAUGUGGUUAUUGUUAAGAAAAAUUCGACCAAAGAAAGUCUCUUGCUCCAAAAGGUCUUGUGGAUAAUGUGUGUCGACUACACUGACAUAAACAAAGGAUGCCCGAAUGAUAGCUUUCCUUUUCCUCUCAUUGACAGACUUAUAGACUCUACGGCAGGGUGUGAACUGCUGAGCUUUAUGGAUGUUUACUCAAGAUACAACCAAAUCCUCAUAAACCCUCCGGACCAAGAACACACAACCUUCACUACUGACAGGGAACUAUAUUGCUAUACAGUCAUGCCCUUUGGCCUAAAGAAUGCAGGAACGAUUUAUCAGAGACUAGUCAAUUCAAUGUUCGCCGAACAGAUUGGGAAGAGCAUGGAAGUUUACGUUGAUGAUAUGCUAGUCAAGAGCAAACAUGCUGACCAACACAUCGCUAACCUAUCUGAAACUUUCACCAUUCUGAAGUGGUAUCGAAUGAGGUUGAACCCUAAAAAAUGUACCUUCGGCGUAGGCUUUGGCAAAUUCUUAGGCUUCAUGAUAAGCCAACGAGGCAUUGAGGCAAAUCCUAAGAAAAUCAAAACAAUCCUCGACAUGAAGGAACCAGUAACUUCAAAAGACAUCCAAAGCCUUACUGGCAAGAUGGCAGCUUUAAUUAGGUUCAUCUCUAGGGCCACAGACAGAUGUGCACCUUUCUUCAAAGCACUUAAGGGAAGUAAGAAGUACAUUACAUGGACUGAUGAAUGUGCCAAGGCAUUCAAGAACCUCAAAGACUACAUGAGUAAAGCCUAUCUGCUCUCCAAAUCUAAGGUUGGUGACACUCUCAUUAUCUAUCUUUCGGUAUCGGCUUUAGCAGUAAGUUCCGUUCUCAUUCGAAAGAAUGGUAAUGUCGAACGACCUGUCUAUUACGCUAGCAAGGCUUUACAAGAUGCAGAGACAUGAUACUCCAACAUUGAGAAAUUGGCUCUAGCAUUGGUCAUGUUUGCUUGAAAACUUCGCCCUUAUUUCCAAGCACACUUCAUCAUCGUGCUUAUCAAUCAUCAUCUUUGACAAAUACUCCAAAGUCCUGACACUUCGAGGCGAAUGAUAAAAUGGGCGAUAGCAUUGGGUGAGUUUGACAUCGCCUACCAACCAAAGCCAGCUGAGAAAGGCCAAGCAGUGGCAGACUUCAUCGCCGACUUCACAUAUCAUGUUGACAUGGUUUCUUCGCCUAAAGAAAUGGUUUCAUUACCCUCAGAAGCUCAGAAAAUAGAACCAACAGCCCCUGCAUGGAGUCUAUAUGUUGAUAGCUCGUCCAACCAAUAGAGUUGUGGAGCAGGACUAGUCCUUACGACCCUGACAAAGUGGCGAUGGAGUAUGCUCUUCAUUUGAAAUUCAAGGUGUCAAACAAUGAGGCGUAAUAUGAAGCCCUCUUAGCAGGCUUACGUUUGGCCAAACACCUUGGGGUUAAACGAAUUGAUAUCUUCAAUGACUCCCAAUUGGUGGUUAACCAAGUCACCAACAACUUUGACGCUAAGGAUAGCUCUAUGGCAGCAUAUCUGGCACAAACACAAUUGUUGCUCAAGCACUUCCACUACCAGAUCACCCAAAUUCCUCGAGCGGCAAACAGUUAUGCAGAUGCUUUGGCUCGCCUCGCCUUAGCGGUGGAAGACAAGAUUGGGAGAAAAAUUCAGGUUGAAUUGUUGGCAGCACUAAGCACCAUGGCUGCGGAAGUGUGCAACUUACAAAGUCCGAUUUAUACAUUCCUUGCUCAUGACACCCUUCCAAAUGACAAAGUCCAAACUAAGCAGAUUUGAUACAAGGCUACCUGUUACUUGAUCAUUAAUGAACAACUCUACAAGCGGGGUUUUAACCUACCAUACUUAAGAUGCCUUACUACCGUAGAGGCGAAAAUUGUCCUUUGGGAAAUACAUGAAAGAGUCUGCGGAGAUCAUGCUGGAUCUCGAUCCCUAGCACACAAGGCUUUUCUCCAAGGAUAUUACUUACCAACACUCCACCAAGAUGCUAUCAGAAUAUCUCGCUUAUGUGAUAAGUGUCAACACUACGCAACUAUUCUUCACUCCCCUCCCUAGCCGCUCACUCCUAUGAUCAGCCCUUGGUCCUUCGCCCAAUUGGGACUUGAUUUGAUCGGCCUAAUGCCUGCAGGGAAGGGUAAGGUCUGCUAUGCAAUUGUUGCAGUUGACUACUUCACAAAGUGGGCUGAAGUAGAACCCUUGGCAACCAUUACUGAGGCAAAAAUAGAAGACUUCGUAUGGAAGAACAUCCUUUGUAGAUUCGGUAUUCCCAAUGUGAUAGUCACUGACAACGGGCGACAGUUCGACAACAAUAAGUUCAUGAUGUUUUGCUCUAAGUUCAAGAUCAACUUAUAUUUUUCCUCCCCAGCUCAUCCCCAGUCUAAUGGACAAGUCGAAGCCAUCAACAAAAUAAUCAAGUGAACUUUGAAAACUAGCUUGGAUAAGGAUAAAGGUUGUUAGCCAGAAUUUGUACCCCAAGUUCUUUGGUCAUACCGCACUUCGUAUCGAACAUCAACAGAAAAAACCUGAUUCUCACUUGCCUUUGGUACAGAGACAGUUGUCCCUGUUGAGCUUGAGCAAGCAAUGUUCCAAGUCCAGAACUACGUGCAAAGCGAAAAUGACAAACAACUUACCCUAAACUUAGAUCUAGUUGAGGAACACAUAAACCACGCUCACUUGAGGAAUGUCGUCUACAAGCAGUGUAUCUCCAACUACUAUGACUCAAGGGUCAAACCUCGUUUUUUCAAAGUGGGGGACUGGGUACUGAAGAAAAGAUUACUCUGCGACAAAGUCCUGAGUGAAGGAACACUUAGUCCAAACUGGGAUGGACCGUUUGAAGUUGUUGGCAUCAGUCACCCUGGCUCCUACAAGCUUAGAAGCUCCGAUGAUAAGACCUUUGGCCAUCCAUGAAACGCUGAUCACUCGAAGUACUAUUACAACUAAACUCACAUUGUACAAGUGUUAAGCUUCAGCCGUUUGGCAUCCUAUGUAACGAAGAUUAUUUGGAAUGAAUUCAAUAAAGAGGUGAUUUAGACAAAUCAGUCCUAAUCCUCUUACAUUCCUAGCAAUGAAGCACUCGGGUUCAAAGCUUCAACAUGAAUGUUUCCAACAUGAAACAAAGUCUAAGUAUACGUUAACAAGACUAUACAAAUAAACGAAUAGCUUCACAGUAUAUUCGUUCAAUCAUACAUUCCAACACAUUCAUACAUAAGCCAACUGUGCUUCGAAAGGGUUCAACAUACUUGGUGUCAUUCGACACUUGCUACAAUGUGCCUUGACACCUUGCCCUUAUUCUCACCAACCAGGUGAUGAAAUGUGAAGAAGGAACUCAUCUUCAUACCACCAACCAGGUGAUGAAAUGUACAACCCGUACUCUCUUUCAUGCCACCAACCAGGUGAUGAAAUGUACAACCCGUACUCUAAUAUCAUUUGGCAACUUGUCACUCAUGCCACCAACCAGGUGAAGAAGGAACUCAUCUUCAUGCCACCAAUCAGGUGAUGAAAUGUACAACCCGUACUCUCCUUCAUUCCAUUAACCAGGUGAUGAAAUGUACAACCCAUACUCUAAUAUCAUUUGGCAACUUGCCAUUUAUGCCACCAACCAGGUGAAGAAGGAACUCAUAUUCGUGCCACCAACCAGGUGAUGAAAUGUGAUGAAAGGUGAUGAAGGAACUCACAUUCGUACCACCAACCAAGUAAUGAAAGUAACUCACCAUUCAUUCCACAUACCAGAAGACGAGUGGUACAAUUUGUACAUGUGAACUCCUAACAUUCACAAAUAAUAAAAAACCUUCAAGCUUGACAACUCAACUAGGGGAGCACUUAUGCCCAACAAGAAUUAUAGUCACCAACAAAGUCUUAUUGCAAGCCAACAACAACUUCAGUGCAUGACAUACGAAGAUCAAGCUAUUCAGCCCGCUUGCAUCUACUUUAGACAUUUCUCAUUUGUAACAAUGCAACACUACAACUCGUAGAAAGCUUCACACACUCUUGAUCAAGACAGUGGGAAGCAAAACCAAUUUAUAGUGCCAACAAGAGCUUCAUCAAAUGAGUUUAACCAUAAUUCUCAAAAGUUUCACACUCUUGAUCAAGAUAGUGUGAAGCAAAACCAAUUUAUGGUGCCAACAAGAGUUUCAUCAAAGGAGUUCAACCACAAUUCUCAAAAGCUUCACACACUCUUGAUCAAGACAGUGUGAAGCAAAACCAAUUUAUGGUGCUAACAAGAGCUUCAUCAAUGGAGGGCAACCACAAUUCUUAAAAGCUUCUCACACUCUUGAUCAAGAUAGUGUGAAGCAAAACCAAUUUAUGGUGCCAAUAAAAGCUUCAUCAAAGGAGUUCAACCACAAUUCUAAAAAGCUUCACACAUUCUUGAUCAAGACAGUGUGAAGCAAAACCAAUUUAUGGUACCAACAAGAGCUUCAUCAAUGGAGGGCAACCACAAUUCUCAAAAGCUUCACACUCUUGAUCAAGACAGUGUGAAGCAAAACCAAUUUAUGGUGCCAACAAAAGCUUCAUCAAUGAAAGGCAACUACAACUCGUAGAAAGCUUCACACACUCUUGAUCAAGACUGUUCGAAGCAAAUUCAAUUUAUAUAGUUCAUCCAAACCUUCGACUACUACAAGGUAUGGCUUGCAUCACAAUCUCUUGCUCAACAGUGUGGAAGCAAAAUGUGUAUAUGUUGUCUCUCCCACAUUUUCAAAUUUCUAGUUUCCUUAAAAAAAAAAUUGGGAAAUUCAACAAAGCUUCAUCAAUGGAGGACAACUACAAAUUCUCAAAAGCUUCACACUAUCUUGAUCAAGAUAGUGUGAAGCAAAAUCAAUUCGUGGUACCCAACAAAGCUUCACCGCAAAAGCUUCACCAACAAAAGCUUCACCAAUAAAAGCUUCAUCAAUGGAGGACAACUACAAAUUCUCAAAAGCUUCACAUUAUCUUGAUCAAGAUAGUGUGAAGCAAAAUCAAUUCAUGGUACCCAACAAAAGCUUCAACUCCAAAGCUUCACCUACAAAGCUUCAACUCCAAAGCUUCACCUACAAAAUCUUCAACACAAAAGCUUUACCUGCAAAGCUUCAACUCCAAAGCUUCACCUACAUAUCUUCAACACAAAAGCUUCACCUACAAAGCUUCAACUCCAAAGUUUCACCUACAAAAUCUUCAACAAAAAAGCUUUACCUGCAAAGCUUUAACUCCAAAGCUUCACCCUCAAAAGCUUCACCCACAAAAGCUUCAAAGUUUCACCCACAAAAGCUUCACCCACCACAAAAGCUUCACCUACAAAAGCUUCACCAACAAAAGCUUCACCCACAAAAGCUUCACCUACAAAAGUUUCACCCACAAAAGCUUCACCAACAAAAGCUUCACCUACCACAAAAGCUUCACCCAUAAAAACAUCACUAACAAAAGCUUCACCCAUAAAAGUUUCACCAACAAAAGCUUCACCCAUAAAAGCUUCAUCAACAAAAGCUUCACCCACCACAAAAGCUUCACCCACAAAAGCUUCACCUACAAAGCUUAAACACAAAAGUUUUACCUACAAAAGCUUCACACUAUCUUGAUCAAGAUAGUGUGAAGCAAAAUCAAUUCAUGGUACCCAACAAAGCUUCAACUUCAAAGCUUCACCUUCAAAGCUUCAACACCAAAGCUUCACCUACAAAGCUUCAACACCAAAGCUUCACCUACAAAGCUUAAUAUAUAUAUAUAUUUUUUUUUUUUCGAAAAUUCGGAAAUUCGAAAGAAAAAAAAUUGCCUAGGCCUCCUCUUGUUUGGGCCUAACAACUUUCAUAACAAAUAUAUAUGAAGGAGGAGUUUUGGGCUACCACUUAGAAAGGAAAUGCCUCGUUCGUCAACUCCCUUGACCGGACAUUGAGGGACUCCUACCAUAUGUUACUGCACCUUGAUACUCGGAAGUCUCACGACCACUCAGUGACUUGGAUUUUUGAAGUCUCCAACCGAGAAGUUUUCCUCACUUGGGAAAUUAAGGGAGCACUACCUCAACAUACAUGCUUCACUCACAAAACUUCAACAUACAAGCUUCAACAAAAGAAAAAAUUCAAAGAACUUAGUGAAGAAGCCUUGGUGUAUUUAACACAAUACGUUGAAAUGAAGCAAAACUUGUUUAUUAAUAUCUCUAAUAAGUUACAAGUAUGUACAUAUACAUGAAUCAAAAUAAACAAACAAGAGGGAGCCUUCACAAAGGUUGCUCAGGAGAAGUCUUAGCAGUUGGCAGAGCCCCAAAAAGAGGAGGCACCAGAGGGUGAUUAUUCGGAGCCUCAGUACUGGGCAGAACCCCAGAAGGAGGAGGCACCAAAGGUUGAUCAUUUGGACCUUCAUUACGAGAUACAGCCCUAAAAGACGAAGGCAAUAAAUGCAUUUGGAACAAACCCACAAACCUCUGAUGAUCAAGUAAAAUCUGACCAUCAGAUUCUUGCAGCUGGUCGAGCUUCCUCUUCAUGUUUGUAGCAUAGUCAUGUGCGAGCCUGUGCAACUGUUUAUUCUCAUGCUUGAGCCAUCUGAUCUCCUGUUUGAGACUUGGCGGGUUCGAGCAAAUAGGCAUUGAGCCAUAUUAGACACAAAACCUGCACACUGAACACUAAGAGCCAGAGAAUCCUUAACAACCAACUCAUCAGAUUGUUUGGAAAAUAGUCUGUUAUCUUUGGGAGUGAGAAGGUUCCUGGCCACCACCGCAGCGGUCAUAUCAUUCUUCAUCAUAGAGUCCCCAACGGUAAGAGGACCAAUAGGGGAUAAGAAGGAUUGGCGCCAUAUGUUGUCUUGAGAAGGCAUGACUGCCUUUUCACCAAAGUUCAAGUCAAAACGAUGGUCGGAUGGGCCAGACAUUCUCAGAAAUGAUGAAGGAGAAAUGAGGUGCAAUAAAUCUCUGAAGUACAAAAAUAAGGGGAAAAUUCAUGCAAGCAAUAACUCUCUGAACGUACUUCUUGCACACAUUGGUGCCCCUAUAAAAGAAAGGGCAACAAGGUUGUUGGUUCAAAAAUCGAAGAGGCAUCACUCUCCAGAUUUUGAGAAGCAGAUUUUCCUGAGUAAAAUAUGUCGACAAUCCCCACAUGCAACAUCAGCUCCUCGGGUACCACAGAUAACUUUGCCAAAGAUCUCUGACAAAGUUUAGACACAUAAAUUUUGAAGGUCUAGCUACCCUACCAUUACCCACAAGGGUAAAGGAACAACACCACUGCUUGAUAACUGGAAAGUCCCUAUAUGUGUCAACCUCCGUGCUCCGUGGCAAGGUUGACUGGUAAAAAUGCCCAACCUUUACUCACAUUUGAGAAAACAUUCCCAACAAGAUUGCUUGCUCAAAUAUCGAAGAGGCACCGAUCUCCGAAUCUCAAGAGCCAAACUCCCAACAGGAUUACUUGCUCAAAAAUCGAAAAGGCACCGCCUUCCGAAUCUCGAGAGUCAGACUCCCAACAGGAUUACUUACUCAAAAAUCGAAGAGGCAUCGCUCUCCGAAUCUCGAGAGCCAGACUCCUAAUAGGAUUACUUGCUCAAAAAAAACUUUUUUGCUUUGUAACGGCAAUCUAAACUUUCAAUUUGUUGAUUGGAUACUUGAAGUGUUUAUGUUUAUGAAACUAAACCCUGCAUGCAGUCUGACAUGUGUAUGAGGAAACAGAAUGAAACUAACAUCACUCCUCUCAAUUAUGUUCUAAGAGAACAUAUUUAGGACACACCUAGGUGUUUAUUCCUUCCAAUAAUGUGCUCAUAUGACACAAUUGGGAGAAAUAUUGAGCACCAUGACGCUAGGUUAAUUCCAGUUCCUCCUAUAGAUGUCAGAUUGCAUUUAGGGUUCAAUCUAAGAAUCAUAAGACGCUUCAAGUCUCCACCAACAUAUAGGAAGUUUUAGAUUGCCGUUACAAAUCAAAGAGAGUUUUCCAUAAUUCAAGCCUAGAACACCCUCUAUAAGAACCUAUCUCAUUUCUUCCAUGUGUCAUCACAUAGUCCUAAGAGUUACAGCAAAAUAGCACCAAGAUAUACUCUCUUAAGACUUGUAGCUCUUAAGAUUUGUUAUGACACAUGGAAGAAAUGAGAAAGGCUCUUAUAGAGGGUAUCCUAAGACUUGAAAUUAUAGAAAACUCAUUUAGCUUUGUAACGACAAUCUGAAACUUUCAAUACGUUGGCUGGAGACUUGGAAGUGUCUUCUGUUUCUGAAACUGAAACCUGCAUGCAGUCUGACAUGUGUAUGAGGAAAUGGAAUGAACCUAGCAUCAUGAGUGAUUACUCCUCUCAAUGAGCACAUAUUUAGGACACAAUUGGGUUCUUAUUCCUACCAAUAAUGUGCCCAUAUGGCACACUUGGGUGUCAUAAUAAACACCCAUGAGGCUAUGCUUUUCCAAUUCCUCCUACAAAUGUUGGAUUGCAUGCAGGGUUCAAUCUGAGAAACAUAAGAUGCUUCAAUUAUCCAACCAACGGUUUGAAAGUUUUAAAUUGUAGUUACAAAGCAAAGAGAGUUUUCUGUAAUUUCAAGUCUAAGGACACCCUCUUUCAGAACCUAUCUCAUUUCUUCCACGUGACUGUCAUCACAUAAUCUUAAGAGCCAGAACAAAAGAGCACCAAGAAACACUCUGUGAUAAGAUGUAUUUGAUCAUAAUUCGAGCCACCAAUUUUUAGCUACUUGGAUGUACAAGUUGUCAUUAUUCUGGAACAAUCUCUUCUACAAUGGCAGAGAUCCGAAGUUCGAAACUGUGCGGAUAUGGACUACACUAUCCUCAUGUGAAUAUUCAUCACUUUAAAUUAUCUGAAUUCGGUAUCCGUUUCUAGCUCAUGGAAUGCAGCUGCUACAAUCCAACCCAUGGGAAAAAGUUGGACCUGAUUGUGCUCAAGAUUAUUUUGUUACUUGGACAUGCCAACAAGCCUUUGAGUAGUACGUAAGAAGAAAGGCCAGAAUAGAUGGAAAGAAGAAGAAAAGGCAUGCUCAAACAAAUAAACAAUGAGCAUACAUGGCAGAUAAGUCUCCUCUUUAAGCCAACUUAGGUUUUCAGAGGUGAAACAAAGUUUAUGUGCUCGAGUAUAUUCGUCUUAUUGGUUUCACGGUGAUGAUCCGCGCGCUCAUUUAUUUUUAUAAAAGGGGUGUAGUCAAAUUAGGAUUUGAUAGUUUUAAUGGAUUUUGAAAUCUGAGUGUGUUCAAUUAGGAUUUUAAACGAAGAUUUUAAAAGAUUUUGAAAUUAUGGUGUAGUCAAAUUUUGAUUUUAGAGGAUUUUAAAAAUACAUUGAAAUCCAAGGAUAGCCGAUUUUAAAUAAGUCUUCAAAUGUCUAGCUGUAGUGAAAAUACCAAAGAUUUGCUAGGAUUUUAAUGAGUGAUGGAUUUUGAUGGAUAAGAGGGUGUGUGGUAUAAAUACCAAAUGCCAUCAAGAAUUCAACCCUCACCCCUAGAUUUCUUUUCACUUUGUCGUGUCUUCGUUCAGCUCUUGAAGUCUAAGCGCUUCAACCACACUCUCUAGGUUUCAAUUUCUAUCAUUUUGCUCUUGUACUCGUGUCUUUUAGAAUUGUUCCGAUCAAGCUGAAAUGCUCCAACUAUCUUCCAUGGCGUGCGUUGUUUGCUCCGAUUCUCCGUCGCUACAAACUCAUUGGCGUCAUUGAUGGCACAAAACCGUGUCCUUCUCCUCUGCUUCCAUAUCAUUCAAUCAAUCCGGCCUUUGAACUUUGGUAUGAAAAAGAUUGCAAUCUCCUCAUUUGGUUAAAUUCUACGCUUUCUGAAGAAGUUAUUCCAUUUACUGUUAGGGUUUCAUCCUCUCGCAAUCUGUGGAUUAAAUUGGAGCUGUGAUUGGUGGUGUUUCUGAUGCACAUAUUCACCAAUUGGGAUCUCGUCUUCAAUCUCUUCAGAAAGGAUCUUUGUCAAUUUCUGAAUAUCUCCAACAAAUCAAAGAGAUUUCUUAUUCAUUUACUGUUGUUAAAGCUCCUGUUACCGAUCGUGACUUCAUUGCAGCUACCCUUGUUGGAUUACCAGAUGAAUUUGAGACGUUUAUUGAUUCUAUCAUGCUUCGUCUUUCUACCACAACACUUGAUGAAUUGCACGGUUUACUUCUCACCAAGGAAUUUUCCUUGUCUUGAAGAAAGAAACUUGCUUCCUCCAAUGUCACAUAACCAUUUCAAGCCUUUUCAAUUCAAGCUCAGGCCUCUCAAGCUCUUAUUCUUCCUGCACUGCAAGUCUUGGCUGCUCAGUAUUCUCAAUCACAGAACUUUGUGAAGCACAAUCGUGGUAAUCGGGGCAAUAACUAUAACAAUCGAGGCCAUAGUUACAACAAUUGUGGCAGUCAUGGUUCCAAUUUUAAUUCUAGAGGUAACAAUUUCAAUCACCGUGGCAAUUCUCAUGGCUCUCACAAUUAUAAUCCAUAUGGUUAUCGUAUACCAUGUAAAUAUGUAGUUCUACUAGUCAUAAGGCUAUCGAUUGUUAUGAUCUUAUGAAUCCUGAUAUUGUUGGUAAAGUACCUUCUGCAAAGUUGGCUGAGAUGUGUGUUCAUCAUUCAAUGAAGCCUAAUACUCCAUCAUGGUUAAUUGAUUCUGAUGCCACUUCUCAUAUUACAAAUGACAUCUCCAACAUUCAAUCUCCCAUCUCAUAUCAUGGAGAAGACAAAGUAUACAUUGGUGAUGGUAAAGGUCUAUCCAUUGAUCAUAUUGGUUCAUUUUUGUUGCAUAAUCCUUACUCUAGGGGUGGGUUCAAAAAACCGAAAAUUGAAAACCAAACUGAACCGAAGCCGAAAAAAAUCGAACCGAAAUUGCCAAACUUGACUGCAGGCUUUGUGUUGUUAUAAAUGUACUAGCAAGUUAUUUAUAGUUUCUAAUAUUUAAUUCUUUAUAAAAUUUCUUAACUUUACAAACCCUAGCCAUCUCACUCCCAUUUCAGCUUUCACCUUUUCUCAAACCUUCGCUCUCCCCAUCUGCUGCUUCAUCUCUACCUUUGCUUCCUCAGUCUCUCUCUCUCUCUCAUUCCCUUCUUCCUCCAAAUCACUCUCUCUUUCCAGUCUUCACCUAUCCUCCUCGUGGAUUCCUUCUUCCAAACCAUGAUUUUCACUCGCCCCUUUCGAAUCAGAACCCCCUCCAAAUUGGAAGAUUCUAAUCCGAGUUUUCUAUUCUCUCACAGGUAAUUUUUGAAUCAAAAUGAAUAUGAUUUAUAUUGUGAUUUUUUUAAUUAAAAUGGGUUUUUGUUUUAAUUAUUUUGUAGGGUUUUUCUUUUAAUUAUUUUCCCAUGGCUGAUGAGAAGUUUGGGACUAAAAACAAACCCCCAAGUAAAAAUCUCUCAUGGCUGCUAUUUAGUUCUAUUUGGUUUAUUUUCAUGGAAAAAUCAAAGAACUAACACAUGCAUGUGUUUUCUCUACAAAAGCUCUCGAAUCCACCACAAGAAAGACUCAUCGACACCCAAUAAUGUCAGAUCCAUGGCCGAUCGUCCCAGUUCAUAUUCAUUUGAUGCAGAAGUUUUUGCAUCUUCAGUGCUCAUUCGUUGCAGAUUUUGUGCCAAAUUAAAAAAAAAAUCUUGGAAAAAAUCGAACCGAACUGAAACUGAACCGAAAAAAAAUUUAACUGAAUCGAAAUUUCGAUUUGGUUUCGGUUUUGGCUAAAAACCGAAGUGUUUCAAACCGAACCCAGCCCCACCUUACUCUACAUUUCAGUUGCACAAUGUUUUACAUGUGCCUCAAAUGCAACACAAUCUUCUUUUUGCUUAUCAGUUUAUUAAAGAUAAUAAAUGUUCAUUGACUCUUAAUAUUGAUGGAUCCUAUGUCAAGGAUUGUACUACAAGGAGGAUGCUUCUGCAAGGACCUGUUAAGGAUGGUUUCUUCCUACUACAAGGCUCCCCUACACUCUGUCAUUCUUCAGUAUCUUCUCCUACUGCAUUACUCAGUAAUAAAGCCUCUGUCAAAGUGUGGCAUAGCAGACUUGGCCACCCUUCUUCUUCCAUUUUCAGAAGGGUACUCUCCAAUAGUAAACUUGCACUUCAAGGAAAAUCUACAGUGGAUUUCUUCUGCAAGGACUGUGUUUUAGCCAAGAAUCAUAAACUUCCUUUUAGUAGUACUAGUUCAUUUUCUUCCAAAUGUUUGGAUUUGUUGCAUUAUGACUUAUGGGGACCCUCACCUGUGUUGUCUGUGAGUGGUUAUAAAUACUAUCUGUCAUUGUUGAUGAUUUCAGUAGGAAUUGUUGAUUUUUUUCCUUGAAAUCAAAGGCAGAUGUGUACUCCACUUUUGUAAACUUUCAAUGCUAUGUAAAAAAUGUUCUUGGCAAUAAAAUCAAAAUUGUUUGAUCUAACUCAAGGGGUGAAUUCAUUGGUAAUUAGUUUCAAUCUUAUCUUAAGUCUCAUCGUAUUUUACAACAAUUCAGUUAUCCUCAUACCCCUGAACAAAAUGGUUGUGUUGAGCGCAAACACAGACAUUUAGUUCAAACUGCAAGGACUUUGUUAGUUCAAUCUCAUGUCCCUCAUCAAUAUAAGUUGAAGCAUUCUCAACUGUUGUCUAUUUGAUUAAUAGACUCCAUAUUUCUGGUAAUCUAAAGUCUCCUUGGGAAUUUCUAUUUCAGAUUCAUCCAGAUUAUUCAAGGCUCAAAGUAUUUGGAUGUAGCUGCUUUCUAUGGCUCAAACCUUACAUCUUAUCCAAAUUGGAUAGUAAAAGUAAACAUUGUGUUUUCUUGAGGUACAGGUGCUUGGAUCUACUCACUCAACGCAUUUACAUUUCAAAGCAUGUCAUUUUCAAUAAAGCAGAAUUUCCCUAUCAUAAGAUUAUAACUAUUGCAUCUAUUACUUCAUUAACUUCAUCAUUAUUUUCACCUAUUAGUCUUGGGUUUACCAUUCCUCAUUUUGCUCCAUCUUAAGCACCAAUUUCUCAAGUGUCUACUUCUCUUACAAGUAAUCCUCUUAAUGAUGCAUCUCCACUACUUGAAGAUCUUGCAUUAUCAUAAAUGUAGUUUCUUCAAUUGUUCCAGUUCCCCAGGUUGUUACCAAUAUACAUCCAAUGGUAACUCAGUCUAAAGCAGGAGUCUUUAAACCAAAAGCUUACUCAGCAACUAAGCGUCCAUUGCCAUCUUCAAUUGAUCAUGUUUCAACUAUAUAUAUUCAAGUAUCCAAGUUUGCACACUAGAGAACUGAUAUGCAAGAGGAAUUUAAUGCUUUGCAAUCCACAUGUACAUGGUCAUUGGUGCCUUCUACUUCUAAUCAAAAUGUUGUUGGUUGUAACUGGGUCUUUAGAGUCAAGAAACAUCCAGAUGGUAGCAUUGAUAGAUAUAAAGCCCAGCUUGGAGCCAAGGGCUUUCAUAAGCAAGAAGGAUUAGAUUACAAAGGAACUUUUAGCCCAGUAGCUAAACCAGUAACAACUCAGAUUCUUUUGUCUCUUGCUGUGCAAUAUGACUGGUUUUUUAAUCAACUUGAUAUUAGUAAUGCCUUUCUCCAUGGUGAUUUCAAAGAGGAUGUCUUUAUGACUCAACUUCCUGGAUUCUGUGAUCCUAAUUUUCCCAAGCAUGUAUGUAAACUCAAAAAGUCUUUAUAACCUCAAACAAGCUCCUAGAGGUUGGUUUGACAAGUUGUUAAACACUUUGAAGUCUUUUGGUUUGCAACACUCCAUUUCAGAUGCUUCUUUCUUUGUUCUUAAAGCUCAUGUCUUGGUCAUUGUUGUGGUCUAUGUAGAUAACAUUCUAGUGACUGGACCAAACUCAGAUGUUUGCAAACUCUUUAUUUAGAAGCUUAGUUUAGUAUUUCCAGUCAAGGAUCUUGGCCCUUUGCAUUAUUUUCUUGGUCUUGAAGUUCAGAUGACUUAUGAUGGUUUAUUUCUUCACCAAAGCAAAUAUUUGCUUAAUUUGCUUCAGAAAACGAAAAUGGAAGGUGCUAAACCAUGUACAACCCCUCUGUGUAGCAUCAAACUUGAUCAUACUGGACCACUUCUCUCAGAUCCUACAGAGUAUAGGUUUAUAGUUGGUGCAUUACAAUAUUUGACAUGGACUCGGCCUGAUUUAUCCUUUGCAGUUAAUCAAGUAUGUCAGUUCAUACAUGCUACAAGGGAAACUCAUUUGCAGGCAACUAAAAGAAUCUUAAGGUUUCUCAAAGGUUCUUUCACAUAAGGAUUAUGGUUAAAAAAUGGUUCAAUUCAUCUCUCUGCCUUCUCAUAUGUUGAGUGGGAUGGCUGUCCAUUUGACUGAAGAUCUAAAAGUGGUUAUUGCAUUUUGCUAAGAUCCAAUUUGAUUAAUUGGAGUACCAAGAAGUAAUCCACUGUUGCUUGUAGUUCCACAGAAGCUGAAUAUAGGUCAUUAGCUCACUAUUGAUGCACAAAAUCGGUGAAGACUUUGGUACAACAGAAAGUGUUAAGUUUGUAACCUUCGCUAGAUUGCUCCGGUCACUAGCAUGGAUAAGUAUGUAAAUGGAUAGAGACAGGGAAACAAACACAAGAUGUACGUGGUUCAUCUAGAUUGGCUACGUCCACAGAGUAGAGAAGUUCUCAUUAAUUGUGAAAGGUUUACACAAGUACAUAGGUUCAAGCUCUCCUUUAGUGAGUACUAGUGAAUGAUUUAGUACAAAUGACAUUAGGAAAUAUUGUGGGAGAAUGAUCUUCUUUUAUAGAAUAGGGUUUCUAGCUUUGUUUUGACAUUAACACGUGUCGUGUUAUAAUUGGCUUCUGAUGUUGACACGUGUCGCGCUAUGGUUGGCUUCUGAUAUCGACACGUGUCACGCUGUGAUUGGCCUCCUGGUUGGAAGGAAACUCUUCUGGGUCUUUGACGGUAUAACGUUGACCGGUACUCGGUAGUUUUGGGAUUGGUCAAGUAUGGUACAAACACUCACACUACUGCAGAAAUCACCUUGAUUUGCAAAGUUCUUAAUGAUAUUGGUCUACCACUUCUUAAAGUUCCUGAUUUAUGGUGUGAUCACAUCUCUGCCAUCUCAUUGGCAUCAAAUCUAGUAUUCCAUGCUUAAACUAAGCACGUAGAAAUUGAUUAUGAUUAUAUCAGAGAGCUCGUUCUUGCUCAUUUGAUCGAAGUCCAAUAUGUUUGCAGUCAGGAUCAACUUGCAGAUAUUCAUACUAAAGCUUUGACAAAACACAGAUUUCAAUAUUUGCAGUCCAAGCUUCCUUUAGGUUCUUUCAGCACCAAGUUAAGCUUAAGAGGGAGUAAAGAGUAAUCAAAUAAUAGGUGAAAUGUUUUUUCUCUUCUGUAUAGUUGUUACACUUGAUUAUGUAAUUGUUAGUAUUUGUAACAACCCGUUCCAGAAUUUAAUAAAAAAAAAGAAGGUAUUUUUGUAUUUUCACUAAGUUUGGGGAUAUUUUCCUUUUAAAAAUAGUUUUUGGGUCUUAAAUGAUGUGCCCAAGGGACCCACCCCUGAUUUGUCCUUUGGUUCCUUUCCCAUUUUCUUUAUUUUUCUGAUUUUUAUAACUCUCUCUCUCUUUCAGCUCUUUCCCCCUUUUCUCCCUUUCGAGCUCAUCUUUUUCUCUCUCGGACUCUUUCCCGAUUGACACCCAUACACACACCCAGUCACCAACCACAACCCAUACCACCUGAGCGUGGAGACGUUGAAACCCAGGACCUGAAGGCGUGAUACUCCAACAGUGGCAGUGCCACUGUGCAUCUUCAUCCCUAAACAAACUCCGACGAGUUUGUAUCACCUCUGACUUGGGUAAGCUUCGAUAACACUCUAAACCUCCCCAUUUUUAUCCUCAUAAUUCAUUUCUGAUCAUAUUUGUAUGUUUUGGUCGUCGAAACUACGAAGAAAAAUGUCGAGGAGACUUCCCCAAAUUCCGGCAAAGAACCAGUCACUUUCGAGCCAAUUUCCAGACAAACAACGGGGAGUUGGCCAACGUGCAAGGUAUCAAUCUCUUCAUCUCGCUGAGUGCUACAACUUUCAUUUUUGUUUUACUCAAUUUGGUUGAGUAUUGAAGAAGUUAUAUCCAUUUGAAUCUUACCCAGUUUUCAGCGACCUCCGCGGCUUUCGAGGCUUUUUUUUUCAGACAAAACAUGGUGAGAUAGAUGUCGUGCGAGGUACCAUUCUCUUUGUCUCUUCAGGAACUAUGAUUUUUGUUUUUGAAUCACUCAAUUUCAUUGAGUAUUGACAAAGUUAUGAGCGUUUAAAGUUUGUCUAAUUUCCGGCCGAAUUUCGGCCUUUUCCUUUGAUUAGAUCCAGUGACCUCCAUGCCAAGAAGCCAGGCCCUCGAGCCUUUUCUCAAAACACUAUGGGCCUUGGGCCCUUUAAGCACUAACCCAACCCUUUUUAGUUUUGUUUUUAAUUAAUUAAUUUAUUGGGAAUUUAAUGAAAAACUCAUGGUAUUGUUCACUUUAACGAAAAAUUACAUUUUUACACUAAAAAGUCAAUCAUAGUAUUACUCAUUUCACCCUUUAUUUUGUCCUUAUCGUUAAAACUCAAAGUUUUCAAACCAUUUUCAUUAUUUUUCCUUAAUUUAUUUCUUAAUUCCUUUUAAAAAAACCUAGGCCCGUGUGCCCUAAAGAUCCAAGCCUUUAAAGGUUUAAGGCCUUAGGGCCGUCUCUCUCUCCUUAGGCCUUUGGCCUUGGGGCCGGGCCCUAAACCAACUUCCCAAAACCCAUUUCAAAACCCCUUAGCCCAUUUACCUAAACCCAACCCAAUUUCCUAAUUAUAAAACCCAAUACCCAAACCCUUUUUAAUUAUAAAACCCCUUAAGCCCUUUUCCCCAAACUCAACCCACCUAUUAACAAAACCCUUAACCCUUUAAAUCCAAGACCCUCGGCCCAACCCAGAUUCGGACCCAAUGGAAUAUUCUGGAACAUUCUGAGGAAUAUUCCUGGAAUAUUUCCAUGUUGACUUUUGUUGACUUUUUGAAAAUUUAACCGGGACCCUUCUUAGGGUAAUUCAACGUCCUGAAUCCAUUUUUGACAUCCGUUUCCUCAAAUUCAAUUGAUAUCAUAUAGUUUUAUUAAUUGGGUAUGGGCAAUUAUUGUGGCGUUUCCGUCUUCGCUAGUUUGCGCGGCUCUUCAGCGGCGAAGUAACUGUGAGUGGACUCCUUCUAAAAAUGCAUGUUUUAAUAGUAGAAAUGCAUACAUGGAAAAGCAUGAUUUAACAAUUAUGUUCUAUGAAACACUUUGAGAUAACAUGCUUAUUGAGGCUAGUUUGAAUUAUUAUUAUUUUUCCUAUAACCCGUGUUCUUAUAGAAUAUCUGAUGGACGACGAUAUAAUAUUUAGAACACAUUUGGAACACCUCUUUAUAGUAUAGAUGAUGGAUGACUUUAUACUAUGAAGUUGUUUUUCAAUAUAUGUAUGUUCAAUGGUUUUGUACUUACCCAGUGGUCUCUAUUUCGCUACGGGAUGAGGGAUAGAUUCUGGUCCAUCUCAGGCGACGGUUAUGAUGUUGGCAUAAGGCUUGAAGUGUUUUUCCUCUGGCUAUUAGCAUAGGGAUGGGGAGCUAGCAUGGGGCCUGGGGGUAAUUUUCCUCUGGCUGUUUGCACAGAGACGGGGAGUCGGCAUGGGGCCUGGAGAUAUAUUGGACAUUCAUUAGUGAUUAUUAUAUAUAUAAGUUAUGAUUUAAGACAAUGCACGACAUGCUAGGUUUCGGAAAACCUAUUUUAUCAUGAUAUAUAUGUGUUUUCAUAAAACCUGGGAGCUAGUAUGUUGAUUACUGUUCUAUAUAUAUAUAUAUAUAUAUAUAUAUAUAUAUAUAUAUCAACUUGGUCCACUCAUAUUUGUUUUGCGCCCCCUUCACGACUUAGAAUCGAGGCAUACAAUCCCGGCGUCAAGACACUUCCACAUCGGCAUCUUCGAGUCCUCUCGGUGUAGGACCCAUUCUUUUAUUCAUUCAAUUUUAUAUUAUUUCUUUUAGUAUUCUAGUUAGUUGUAUACUCUGAACACGUUCUUUAAAUACAUAUUUGUUGAUGCACAAAAUCGGAAGUCUUCGAACAACGUAAAUCCGACCGUGAAUCUACAAGUAAUGUAAAUAACACAAGAUGUAUCGUGGUUCACCCCAAGGUUUGGGCUACAUCCACACUAAUUAUAUAUUUAUCUGAAGGGUGAGGGGAGUAAGGGAGCUCUGUAAUGUGAGAGCUUUGAGAGGAUGAAAGAGCCUUAAGAAAUGGCCUCAGAGUUGGCCUUCCUUAAUGAGGAGAGUGAUGGGUCCUUUUAUAGAAUAAGGGCUCCUCACUUAUUACAUAUUUGCCCCUUCCUUUAUUACAUAAUUACAUUUAAGUCACCCGAGUAUUUAUACGAGAUAUAAAUAUAGAGGCCCUAAAUAUGGUAUAAAUAGUAGUCCCCCAAGUCUUCAGUUAAGAUAGUCUUUUGGCUGAAGACUUGAAAUUCAGUCCAUAAGUGGGCCAAAAUAACUAAAUGUUGUCUUGAACUGAUACUUGAUAUGAGGCGGUGCUCAAAGUGAAAUGAUGCUCAACUAUAAGUAGCACAUGUUGUGAGGCUUGUUGGCUUGUGGCUUAUGUUGCCUUGGUUGGGUAGGCUUGUGGCGCUUGAAGGUGAGGGAGUCCCUUUUAUAUAAUAAGGGCUCGCUCCUCAAUACAUAAAAUGAUGGGCUAGAGUUGAUGCUCAAGGCGAGGCGGUUGCUCAGUAGGCGGCGAUGCUCUCUAAUGGUGGUGAGGGAUUCCCUUUUAUAGAAUAAGGGCUCGCUCCUCAAUACAUAAGUGAUGGGUUAUGAGUGAUGCUCGCGGCGAUGCAGUUGCUUAGCUGGCAGCGUUGCUCUAUAAUGAAGGUGAGGGAGUCCCUUUUAUAAAAUAAGGGCUCGCUCCUCAGUACAUGAAUAAUGAGUGCUCUCUAAUGAAAGUGAGGGGGUCCUUUUUAUAGAAUAAGGGCUCGCUCCUUUAUACAUAAAUAAUGGGCUAAGUCCCCCAACUAUUUUUCCUGAGGCCCAGUUGAGGUCCAAUAUAUGGUACCUAAUGUAGUCCCUCCAGUUUUCGGUCAAUAGAGUCUAUUGGCUGGAGACUUCAAAUUGAAUCCAUGUAUGGGUCGAAAUGGCGGUUGUUCGAAUGCGGUAUUUGUAUACUCUGCACUGAAGCUUUGUAAGUGAAGCUUUGAAGUUGGAACUCUGUAAAUGAAGCUUUUGAAGCUAGAGCUUUUGUAGAUGAAGCUUUUAAAGCUAGAGCUCUGUAAAUGAAGCUUUUGAAGCUGAUUGACAAGAGUGAUGCUCAUGAAUGUUUAUGUUGAUUGACAUGAGUGAUGCUCAUGGAUGUUGUCAUGCGUGAUGUUCAUGAAUGUUAACAUGAGUAAUGCUCAUGAAUGAUGGUCAUGAAUGUUUAUGUAAGAAUGUCAUGAGUGAUACUCAUGAAUGUUUAUGUAUGAAUGACAUGAGUAAUGCUCAUGUAUAAUUUGGAGUACUGGGGGUACUUUUGAUCACCUGGUUGGUGGCAUGAAGGAGAGUACGAGUUGUACAUUUCAUCACCUGGUUGAUGGCAUGAAUGGCUAGUUGCCAAAUGAUAUUAGAGUACGGGUUGUACAUUUCAUCACCUGGUUGGUGGUAAUAACGGCAGGUUGUCGAAUAAUUUUGGAGUAUUAGACGUACUUUUGAUCACCUUAUUGGUGGUAAUAACGGCAGGUUGAUUUUUGGAGUACUGGGCGUACUUUUGAUCACCUGGUUGGUGCUAUUUUGGGCAUAUGAGCCUUCGCCCUCACACAACAUUCCAGCCCAUUUAUUUUGGGCUUUGCCUUUUUUUUUUUACCCUCUGAUGGAGUUUAUACAGAUGUUUCCAAAAGAUAAGGAAAAUAAAUUACAUCAUUCUGGUAGGGUGUUUAUUCCUUGCUUUUGCAGUGUUCCCAUGUGUCUCCCUUUUGCUUUCCUCCUUUCCACCACACCUCUCCCACUCAGUCUUUUUUUCUUUUUCUAUUUUGCUUUGCUUUUGCUGUCUUUUAGAAAAUGGCAGGCAAUAAUAACAUAGUUAAUAAUAUAAAAUCCUUGCUGAUCUUUCCAAGAGCAAAAGCAGAGUCUUCCUGGCAAAGACAAUAAUGAAAGUGCAACGAAUUUAGCUAAAGCAUGUGGAGUACUGAUUGAUCCAUUACUCCUUUACUGAGUUGCUUACGUGAUCAUCGCUCCUCAAUUGAGGUAAGCCAUAUUCAUCAUCUUCAUGCCCUGUUGGUGUCUCUGUCUUUGCCUUUUUGAGGCAUUGGAUUCCCUUGCUUGGCAAACAAAAGAGAGAAAGAGAGACUGUCAUUGUCCUUUUUUUUUUGUCUGGCAUCUUUCUGUCAUGUUGUGGCUGUAAGCAUGGGCCUGCAAGGCUUGGAGUCGAAUAUAGUUGGCAAGCCCAUUUCAUUGGGGAAAGUUACAACCGAUCCUGAUGGACCAAUCACCCAUCGAAUAGAAUCUAGAGGAAGUGUGAAAGCAUUUGCAGCCCCCUCCUGAGCCAUAUCUUCUUGAAAACCUUCAACCUAGCAUCUUCCUCCAUUUCUUGGCCAAUCUAAUAGUCUUAGUAACUUUUGUGGUAGCCGUAAGGGAAAAUCUCUUUGCGUUUCUUAUUACUGAUCUGCCCAUGUUGUUGUUCGCCUUCCAACCUAGAUGCGACACCUCCGGCCCCAUUCCCGCUCACAAACGACGCCGUCUCGUACCUGCCAUUCAUUGUCCCCCAGCUCUCCCUGCUCAUCGCUCGGUCCAAAUACACCACCACCCGAUGUUCUAGUUUCCCAAUCUUAACGUGGAGUUCGUUGACGAUUUCCUGGAUUUCCUUCGAUUUGACUGAAGUAGGGGGUAAGUCGGUGGCGGUGGGCUUGGGCUUGGCCUUAUGAGGGAGCGAUAGAAGGAGAGGAGGAAGAAGAUCAUGACUAUUAGAGAACCAACAAGGAUUCCAUGAUGACUCAGAGACGGAGCCUGAAGAUUGAUGUAGGUUUCGAGAGCUGCGAGUUCACAAACGUCGCAUCGUACAACGAUAUUGUGAAUACUAAGAGAAUGGCUCAGACAGUUCACUGCUUGGGUUGUGGGUUCCAUCGCAUUGGGUCUUCGGAGUUUGAUUUUCCUGCCAUCGGACUGGUGUUGGGAGAAAAGGGGUUUGUGUUGGGAGAAAAGGAUUGGGAAAGUGUUUGAUAGUUUUUUUAUAGAUAAUACACACAGAGAGGGGGACGAAGUGUUUUCUUGGUUUAGAAAGAGAUGGAUUUUUUGGAUUUCUUUUUGUUUUGAUUCCUGGGUUUUGCAGAUCCACAACGGAAGUGGAAAAUUGAGAGAGAACCGACACAACUUUUCGUAUCGAUUCCCACAGAUGGCGCCAAAUGUUGAUGCACAAAACCGGAGGUCUUGGAACAACGUAAAUACGACAGUGAAUCUGCAAGUAAUGUAAAUAACACAAGAUAUAUAGUGGUUCACCCCAAGGUUUGGGCUACAUCCACACUAAUUAUAUAUUUAUCUGAAGGGUGAGGGGAGUAAGGGAGCUCUGUAAUGUGAGAGCUUUGAGAGGAUGAAAGAGCCUUAAGAAAUGGCCUCAGAGUUGGCCUUCCUUAAUGAGGAGAGUGAUGGGUCCUUUUAUAGAAUAAGGGCUCCUCACUUAUUACAUAUUUACCCCUUCCUUUAUUACAUAAUUACAUUUAAGCCCCCGAAUAUUUAUACGAGAUCUAAAUACGGAGGCCCUAUUGAUGCACAAAACCGGAGGUUUUGGAACAACGUAAAUCCGACCGUGAAUCUACAAGUAAUGUAAAUAACACAAGAUGUAUCGUGGUUCACUCUAAGGUUUGGGCUACGUCCACACUGAUUAUGUAUUUAUCUGAGGGGUGAGGGGAGUGAGGGAGCUCUGUAAUGUGAGAGCUUUGAGAGGAUGAAGGAGCCUUAAGAAAUGGCCUCAGAGUUGGCCUCCCUUAAUGAGGAGAGUGAGGGGUCCUUUUAUAGAAUAAGGGCUCCUCACUUAUUACAUAUUUGCCCAUUCCUUUAUUACAUAAUUACAUUUAAGUCCCCCGAGUAUUUAUAUGAGAUCUAAAUACGGAGGCCCUAAGUAUGGUAUAAACAAUAUUCAUUAUUUUUAAAUUUAUAAGUCUUAUUUAUUUCUUUUUCUUAGCAUUUGCAUUCAAUAAAUGGUUUUCGUCACCCUCGGGUGUCGGCCAACACGUGUCUAUCCUGGUGUUCGGGGAAUAUCGGGAUUGGGGCGUGUCAGUAUUACUGAGGGUAAAUAUGUAAAGUGUUAGUUUUGUUAACACUGUAAAUACCAAGUGUAUGACUAAUUAUUGUUUAAUGAGAAAUACAAGUAUUACGGUUAAAAGUUUUCUUUCUCUAUAAGCUUCCUUUGUAAGUCUCAAUAGUUAGGUGAUAUUGUGGAAGCCGAGAGGAUAUUUUAUGGAGUGGGAGUCCAAUUGCUUUAGGUAUGAUAUUCGAGUCUCCGAUGUCCUUCUUGGUGCAUAUAUGCAGAAUGGAAUUGACUGACCAAGCUGAGGCAUUGCAUCUGCACACAUUGGAGAGAGGCGGUCAACCAGAUUAUAAGACAUGGGAGUUCCUUAUGGAAGGAAGGUUGACAAGCCAUAACAUAACAAGGCCAUUGGAGCGAUGAAAAAGGGGUUUAGUAUGUUGCAAGAUUGUCAUUGGAGACCAUCGGACAAUACUGUAAUGGCCUUUGCUGAUUAUUUCGAAAAGCAUGGGAACAUUGAGGAUGCCAAUUGGUAUACCAGAUUGUGCACUGAAAUAAAUUCGUUUUAUGUUGUCACUAAAAAAUUAUGCACUAAAAGAAUUCCUUUUAGAUUGUGCACCCAAAGAAAUCCUAAGAAAUUCAUGAAGGAAGUCCUUACAAAUUUAUAGAAAUCUAAUAAAAAUACUUGUAAAUCUGCCAAAAUCUAUAUAGAAUUGUAAAGUCUAUUAAAAUCCUUUAAAAUCUAUCAUUUGAAGAAAAUCCAUUAAAAUGCUCUGAAAUCCAAAUUGACUUUAAUGCUAUGGACUUGGUGGGGUUAUUUUUUUCUUCCUUCAAAGAAUCUAUAGUUUGUGUGUAAGUCCAUUGUCUUUUUGAGCACGAUAUUUUGUUGCCUUAUUUUUCAAGGUGAUAAAAAAAGGAACACGAUACAACUAUACUUGGUGGUAAUGGUGGAUGCACAUAGGGACUAGGGUGGUACCAUGACUCACCAGAUUUUCGAAAAAUGCCAUUGAAGGUCCUCUAAGAAUAUUUUGAACGCAUGGUACGAGACUCCUUUGUGUCCAUAAAAUGUUCAAUAAAUUACUUGUUUCGCAUAUCUCAACGACACUUGGGAUCCCCUAAAUUAGGAUCCUCAGAUAAUACUGGAUCCACCAAUGGUUGGUGGUGUUCAAAGAAAAUGAAAAUGAGUGCCCAAUGACCAACUAUUUCCUUUCCUUUUCAAAGAAAAAACCAACUAUUUCUGAGAGAAAAAAGUUUAUUUGUCACCUUCCUUUGAAAACAGUCAUUGUUCAUUGUUAUUCACUAGUCAAUCAUAAUUUAACAUAUCUCCAUCAUUUAGUAUUACAAUGUAGUGAUUUUUUUCACUAGUAAGUAAAAAAUCUUAAUUUUCACUGUCAUAAAUAACAAAUUCGAUAUAAAUUAUCUCGAUAUAAAAGAAAUAUGUGUCUAAAUCAAGAAUAAAGAAUUACUUCUUUUAUAUGCCUAGCUUCCUUCUUUUUUUCUUUUUUUGUUGUCGAAAAACAAGAAAUGAAUUGAAUGAGAAAAGUCCAAUACAAUGACAUUAAACUAGCCUAAUAAGGUGGGGAUAACUGAGACCUACUCCAACCCUUGAAGUAAAACUCAAAUUUUAGGUUCAAAACUUUCUCAAAUUGCUCCAACCUUUGGGGCAAAUAUGAGUUUUAACCCAAAACUCAUUUAUGGGGCAAAUUUAGCACACGAUUCCCCCUAGGUUAGUGGGGUUGACCCAUCAUAUAUGUGUGGUUUUUUUUUAGUUUUAUAUUUAUAAAUUCAUUGAAUCCAACGACUAAGAUCUAAUAUGAUCAAAUACAACGGUAAAAGAAAAGAUCUAAUGUUCCAAAUUUAAAUCCAACGGCUAAAGUAAUUAAAAAAUAUAUUUUAGGUGUUUCAUAUUCUUUCAUAGUGGUCCAUGAGUUUCAUUGGGUCGGUUUAGUGAUUUUCAAUAUUUAACAUAAUCUAAAUAUUUUAAGUUAAAAUGGUCAUAAAAUUAAAAUAGGAUAGCCUACAUAAUUUUUAUUCUUAAAGUUACUUUAAGAAAUAAAUUCAUUCUUAACAAUGUCAGGCUAAAAAUUUAGCCCAUAAGGGUUAGAGAAGAAAAACUGUUUCCGAGUUAAAACCUAACGACUAAGAUCUAAUAUGAUCAAAUCUACAAGUAAAAGAAAAGAUCUAAUGGUUCAAAUUUAAAUCCAACAACUAAAGUAAUUAAAAAAAUUAUUAUAGGUGUUUCAUAUUCUUUCAUAAUGUUCAAUGAGAGUUUCAUGGGGUCGGUUUAGUAAUUUUUCAAUAUUUAGGAUAAUCUACAUAAUUUUUUUUUAAAUUUACUUUGACAAAAAAAAAUCAUCCUAAAUUCAUUUUUUAAUAAUAUCAGGCUAAAAAUUUAGUUCAUAAGGGUUGGAGGAGAAAAUUUGUUUCUGGGUUAAAACCUAAAUUUUUCGGCUUAAAAAUUUUUGGUUUUAACCUCAAGGGUUGGAGAUAGUCUAAGGUGGGGAUAACCAAUGGCCAUUCAACAAAAAGGCAGAAGAAAAAAUCCUAAUCUUCAACCGCAAAGGCUAACCGCUGUCACCUUUAUCAGCUCGCCAGCGAUCACAAAGGUAGCCACCCGAAAAAGAUUAAUUUCGCAUUGUAUUCAAUGAAAGUAUCCCAGUGCAAAACAAUUCAACGUGCAAUAAAAACCGCCACGAAGAAGAGCCAACAAAUCCGGACCACAAACACAAGCCCCUGCAAGUUGAACAAAAAGCCAAAACAAAUGGUAAGGGAUGGGGCUAAAGGGGCAUCUAAACACCGUCGCUUUGAUAAAAGCCGCGACAAACUUGGGCCCUGAUUUGAUGCAUGAAUAUUAAAUCUUCAAAGCUGAAACUCAACCCUUUAUUGUUAUGCUGAUUUAAGAACUAAAUAGUCAAAAUGGGGAGAUGAGAUUGGAUUAAGUGUAAGGAUAUAAUUUUUUUAUUUUAAUCUUGUAAAGAAUUAUCAAUUUCUUGUUAUAAGAGGAAUUUCACAUAUUUUCACCCAGUUUCACUUUUCUUUUAUUUAAUUUAAUUUUUAGCUGACGAGCCGGAUUUGGAUUAGAGAUUUUUCCUACUGACCCCAGUUCGGGCGUCACAAAAGUAGCCUUCGCCUCUAGUCGUCAUCUAGCCUAUGGAUAGAGGGCCCCACAAGUUAACUAAAAUAUAAAUUCAUGAUUACAUCAAUAAAUAGUUGGGUGCUAUUAUUUUUGUCUUGAAAGACAUAAUUAAUAUUAUUAUAUACUCCCUAGUGCUUAGCCCACAUCAAUUAAUUUGUCAAAAUGUUGUUCAGCCUUAACAAUUAUUUUACCUGUAGGUGAUUAAGUGCGUAAUUUUAUGACUAACUUUCAAAUAUAACUUAUUGUUGCCGACUGAUUGAGCAACGCUCAAACUUAUAACAGAGUUUCAGAAACUAAUUUAUUGUAAGCAAUUGAUUGAUUGACUCGCUCAAACUUAUGACGCAUGUGUACCCUUCUUCAAAUACUGCGUGAAUGAUACACAAAUUUCAAUACUUAUUAAUGGGAUCAUAUAUAUUAUAAAUCAGUUUGUAAAUAUUAUUUUUGAAAAAAAAAUCAACAUGAGCUAUGAAAUCUGUUGCUGGCUAUUGGCCCAUUUUCGUGAUUAUUGAAUUUGUUGAGAUACUUAAGCCUUAUGUAACGCUCCUGAGAGAAAAACAAAAGCCAUGUGUUGUGUCCUGGCACCUUGUCACCAGUGUUUAUGAUUGAUUAUUGCAAGUUGGGGCAUGAAGCUGCUACAUAAUUUCUCAUUACAAAUUGAAUAAUAUUAUGUCCAUCAAUGUUUCGUCAACCCUUGCGGGCAGCCCUUGGACCUUUCUGUUUGUCUUGCCUUUCCUCCACCGACCGCCUUGAAAAAAAGGUGUGAACUGAUGACGAUGCUCCCUUAAUUUGUCUUCCUUCUUGUGUGAACGCGUUGAAUUUUUGUACGCGGAAGGUAAAGGUCCUUGAGUUUAGAAAAUGUGAUUUUAAUCUUGGUUAAGAUUAUAGUUAGAAAAAUGUCUUAUGCAAAAUUAAAUAUUGAUUAUAGUUCCUGAUUAUACAUCCAUGUCAAUAUAUAUUAUCCAUGUCAGCUUUUAUUUUUAUGGGUGGUUUUAUUGAUUCUAUUUUCCCAACAUUGCCCUUAUGCGAUGAUGGACAAUAACAAAUUUUAAAUGCUGAGGUAUGAGUGUGCAGUUCUUGCUAAAUAUCCGCAAUAAACAAACGAACUAACUGAAUAUAAAACUUUACUAAAUGGAAUCAAGGUUCUAAAAAACGCUAGGCGCUAGUCGGGCGGCGGGCUAGCGCCUAGCGCCUAGGCGGCCUAGACGGAUUUAGGUAAAUUUAUUGUAUAUCUUGUAAAUAAGUGCAUAUUGACGCCUAAAAAAAACUAUACUUGUAUGGAUAAUAAAAUAAUGAUAAAAUGCAAAUUAGGUACACUAUUUCCAUAAGUAUUGGAUGAACUUGUAGUAAAUCCAUCAUUUGCAAAUUAGAUACACCAUUUCCAUAAGUAUACCACCAUGAAACCAAAAAAAGAAAAAAGCACGCAAUUAAUAAAAAAUAAAAAAUAAAAAAAAUCUCCUAGGACCGCCUAGCCCGCCUAACCCGCCUAGCCGCCCAGCCCGCCUAGGCCCAACCCGAUUUUUCCUCCCGAUUUGCCUAAAAACGCCUCGGUUGCUAAGCGCCCAGCGCCUAAGCCGUUUUUUAGAACACUGAAUGGAAUUGCCAAGAAGGCUACAUGAACCAAAAAACUACAUUUUGAUUGACUUAUUUUCUCUAAAUAACAAAGUUCUCUAUUUAUAAUAAACUAACCUUAAUCCCUAAUAAGCAAGAAAACGAAAACCUAAUUCUAAUUGGCUAAGCCCAAAUCUAAACUCUCUCUCUAUCACUUGCUAAAGAUCUAAACUCUCUGGGCAUGUACAGACCGAGGUGAGGUCCGAUUCAAGUGAAAUUUCUCCUGCAUGACUCCGCCAUUCACGACCUAGGUAAGAUUCGAGUCCAUCAUUUCCCUUCAUAUCGAUCAGAUAGCUUGAUUUCUGAGUUACCAUGUGAAAAAUAAACGUGUUUUGGUGCAGAACCACUGUUCUAAAAAUCCUCACCUAGCGCCACCUAAGCGCUAGGCGGUUGGCCACCGUCCCGAUUAAUGCCUAGGCGUUUGAAAAUUAAGAAAUGGCACCUAGACCUGUUGAGGCACCCACCUAGCCCGCCCAAACUCGCCUAGACACUUGCCUAGGUUGCAACUCACUUAGAUAGAAAAUAGAUAACUUUGCUUUUGCAUUUUAUUGUUUUCAAUAAAUGUAAGAGGCUUAUUAAACACUUAAAUAAACACACUUUAUAUGUUUAUUGCCCAUAUUUUUAUUAUGUUCCAAUACUUCAUAAUAUAUAUGUCAUUUUAUUUUCUAAUUUAUGAUGAAAUUAUAUAUAUUUUAAGUAUAAACAGAUACUUAUUUACACUAAAUACAACAGAUUUACUUAAAUCCGCCUAGCCGCCUAGGUGCUAAGCUCCAACCCGCUGCCCAACUACCAUGUUGGGGAUGAACUUCUCCAGAUUUUCAAGCGACUUUUGAGUCGUUUCCGGCCACGGUCGAGGAAACCAAAGGUAUAUUUUGAUUCCUUGUUCUCCGAGCUUCGAUUUGAUAAAUGGGAAGGCUAUAUUUAGUUAAGUAUUUGGGUUGGUCAGAGUUCCGGUUGCCGUUUCCCCAGAAUCUGGCGGUUGCAAUGGCAACCUGCAGGAGAAUAAGAAGAAGAAAAAAAGAAAAAAAAAGGGGCUUAUCUGGAUCCAUGGGCCUAAGUCCAAAUCCGACCCAAAACUUUAAGCUUAAGCCUUUGGGCCUUUGUCCCACCGGCCCAUUUUUGAAAUGGGCUCAGAAUAUUCUGAGAAUAUUCUUUGGAAUAUUCCUUGGGUUGACUUUUUCAGAAAUUUCUCGAAACCUUCCUAGGCUAAUUUCAACACCCUGAGUACGUUUUUGACAUCCAUUUAGUGAAAUUCCAAGGUUUAACAUGGUGACCACCGGGACGUCCUGGUUGACUUUUGUUUGGGUUGACCGUUAUAAAAAUUGUCUGUGACCUCUCUUAGCGUAAUUCGACGCGCUGAUUCCAAAUCCGCCGUCCGUUUCUCCAAAUUCAAUUUUUUUUAAUUGAGUUUUACUAAUGGGUCUCAAUAUUAUGCUUAGGUGCGAUUACUAUUAAAGACUCACUAUCCUAGUUCGAACGGUUGCAAUAUUGAAAGUAUCUGUGAGUGGGUCUUUGCUUUUAAAUAUUAUAUAUUUAUUUAGUUUCCAUUUAUACAUUUGAAAAAGGAUUUCCUAUGUAUGCCUAGAUUAGACUAAUGUUUAUAAGAAUUAGCGAAAUAACAGAAAUUACGAAAUUAUCCUAAAUCUUACGAGAUGCACAGGUAUGUGUACUUGAUGGGAUUUUAAUUACAGCCAUGAUUAAUAUUUUAUUUAUUAAUAUUAUGUCGAUGUGAAUUAUUGAUUUACGGUUGCAUGAUUAUAUUUACGUUAUUUGCUCAUCGUUGAUGCACCGGUGUUAGUACUUGCCUGGCCAGGGCCAAUGUUUCACUUGUAUGUGCACAUUGCACCGUACACUCACUUUGGAUAUAUUGUAGGUGCCAGUCAUGUCCUAGAUUGCUAUGGCAAUUAGGACUUGUAUGUACUGCACAUAGCGCCAGUUUUCACGUGAUUGUAGUACUAUAGCGUAAAUCAUUAUUACACCCUGUCAUGUUCAUGUCAGAAUACCUCUGCAUGAACUCGUGUGUCAGCAUGUGUCGAUGAGCACUCAAUAUGAUAUGUUUUCUUAUGCAAGAUUAUGUGAUUACGGACGCCAUGUGCGUACUUAUAAAAUUUGUGCCAUAUUGAUUUCUUAAGACUUUGCAGGCUACGGUAAGUAUUUUCUUACUAUACGUAGCAUUUAUAUUUUGGAAACUAUACUUGUUUUACGACAAGGGGUUAUUAUGUUUUCAAAAAGGUUUUUACAAAGCUUUGUUUUUAGGCCCAUUCAUCCUUGUUUUUUGCGCAUCCAGGUUGUAGUGCUGAGCUUUCGUAUUGACGAGAAUUCUUGGCAAAUCUUGGUGUUGGAGAUUACCUUCAAUGGUAAUUUUCAUCCAACUUUAUUGUACUUUACUUAUGCUUUGACAUCACGUGUGAAAUGGGUUCAUUCCCGCUCACAUGUGCACUCUUGUGUUUAGACACUUUUAGUUUUAAAUUUAUUCACCUUUUUCCACAUCACUUUAUGGCUUCAUGACCCUUCAUGUGUCGGCCAACAUAGCUCGAUUCAGAAUCUGUGGAUGCAAAUUUCUUCCUCCUUGAUCUUGGACAAAAUUGCACCUACAAAACAAAUCACACCUUAGGUCAAGGCCAAGAGCCUCACGCGUCCACAAUGAAUGAUGGGGGCUUUGGUCAAAGAAUCCCCGAUGCCAAAGUUAGAAUUUUGAGGGAAAAGUGUUUGAAGAAUUGUGUUGAAUUUUGCUAGAGAACUGGAAGUGAGUUUUGGAGAGAAUGUAAGGCCUUUUAUAGGGGUGUGGCCGGCCUCCUUGGGUGAGAAAGGACUGGCCACUUAGCUCUCUUUGUGGGCUAGGUUCUUGAUUUGUGUUUAAUUAGGUAUAAUUGAAUAAUUAACAAAUUAAUUAGCCAAUUAAUAGAAUAAUAGCCUAAUUGAUUAGCUAAUUAAUAUAAUAAAAAGGGAAAGAUUUGGGAGUUACCUUGUGGAGACAAUUUGAUGAGGAUGGAUGAAAUAGGUUUUGAAUUGUUACCUAUUUUAGGCACUUUUGACUUGGUUUAGGGAUGAUUGCUCGCUGCUCGCGCGUAGGAAUCCCAAUGUGCCUUAAGGGUAAUUUUGUCCCCUUUUACCCAAAAAUCCACGUGUCUCCUUGUGAUUAUUUUUGGCUCCACAAAUGCCUCCACACAUGCUGGGCUGCUCGCAGGAAAGGGUUGCAGGUGUAGAGAUCUUCUUACUUUAUGAAACUUAGGACUGUUUCCUAUUUUGAUGUAGAUUCCAUCUUUAAUAGAAAAUUAGAUCAUUCUAGGAAAGUGAAAUAAAUUUCUCUCAAAGCCUAUUUAAGUAUACCUUAAGUGGGUUAUUAAAUACACUUUGGAGAGUGAUUUAUUCUACCCUACAAGAGAGAGAGAGCUUAGAGGAUAUUUGUUCCCCCUCGUAUAACAAUCUUCUACAUCUUGCCCGUGCAAAUGAUCAUAUUUUGUUGCUUACUUCGUCUUCUUCUUGCUUCUAGGUAAGAAAAUUUUAUUUUUCUUGUCUUCAUAACUUUUUUUGAAAGUCUCGGGGCUUGAGAGUGACUCAACAGGGGUUGAGGUGGCUUGAAAUUUUUUUUGGAAAGACCAUGACAUUGUUGCCAUGGGUCAUGGUGUGUCAUUGGAUGGCUAGGCUCAACUCGGGCUGUGAGGAGGGAGAGGAUAUGAGGGCGUCAGUCCCCUGUCAGCUGAAUUUAGGCUGCGAGGCCUUUGGGCCGAGAGGGAUGGUGGGGGAGCCAGAGUGGGCUGGGCUCCCUUUUUUGCCUUUUUUUUAAAGGCUGGGCUUGGGCCCGUGCCUAAAGGAGAAAAGGAAGAAUGAAGCCGAGUGCCUCUUUUGGGCCGAGGGGCCUACUUGUGUUUUUUUUUUUUUUGAAGCAACCGUCUAAUGAAUUUUCCUUGCAACUUUGUAGAAUUUUUUCAAGCAUGUCUUCCUUGAACCUCAAGAAUGAUGAUUGUGUGCCGCCAUUGUAUCGUCAAGGUGGGUCUUUGAGCAAGGUUGGCUACUUCAAGGUUGUUCACAUCAAGAUUAGCUCCGACGACUUGUUUAGAGACUUCUUCGAAGCUUAUUGGCAUGCUAUUCCGUCGGGAGUGCGCGUGAAGUGUGUCAAAGAUGGUAGCAGCCAUGAGCCAUGUGAUGGGGCUUGGAGAGUCAUCAAGUUCCACCCCUACUAUUUUGUAUUGGGGUUUACCUUUCCUGUGCUGUGUUUUUUCCAAGAAGUACUUUGCUCCAUGAGAUGUGCCCCCGCUUAAUGUUCUCCGAAUGCGGUCCACGUGAUGGUGGGAUUCCACAAUUUAAACUAAUUAUUUGACUUAGAUCUAACCGUCAACACUUCUUUGACAUAAGUCACAUUGAGGGAGUUGGGCAGCUGCAAUUCCGCCAUAGACUUUUUGACAACUCGAGCAAGGGAGAUCAUGACUGGGCCAAUGAAACUUUGGAAGUGAGUGGAGAAUGGGAAUAUAACUCUUCCCCUGAGCUGCAUGUGCCAGGGUCUUCAUAUCUGGUAAGUAAGCUGCUUAACCUUUCGACUGCUUUGUACUUGUGCUAAUACUGCUUCUAUUUUUCUAAUUGCCUUCCGUUGCUUUUGUAGAUUCCGAGUUUGGCUCAACUUCUAAGACUUCUCCGGACAUGAGGAAAUUGCAUAUUGCUCUUGGUAUUCCCUCUAAGUAUCGUGAGUGGCGUUGGCUUCUUAGCCCUCUUCAUAGGGAGAAAGGUGGGUUGCCCCCGAGAGAAGAGAUAAAACGGAUCAAGGCUAAGGCGUUGGCUCGUUCUAUCACUCCGGUGGAGCCUACUGCAAAUAAAGGUGGGAAAAAGAUACCUUCCCUGCCUGCUUAGGAGACACCUGCUGAGAAGAAAUUGAAGGCUUCUUCCACUGCUCACAGAGGUUCACUGGCUGCUCAAGAGACGUCUGCUGAGAAGAAGUCAAAGAUUUCCUCCACUGCUCACGAGGAUUCACCGGCUGCUCCCAAACUUAUGAUUGAUUUGACCUCCUCCAAGGGCGAGAAAGAAGAGGUUGCUAGAUCUGUGCCGGUGACGCCUGCCGCUCUGAAGGUUACUAGUUCGAUUGCUGAUAUGAUUGCCCAGCAUAGAAGCUCAUCCGUGUCUUCGGUGCCGAAGUUUGUGCCAAAGCAUCCAUUUGGGGCUAAGUCUGGUUCACUUUUGGAGAUGCUUGCUAUUAUGAAGAAUAACAAGAUGCCCCUGCCUGUUAAAGUGGCGUCAAAACUUUUUCCCUCUGCUGCUGAAACCGACUCGUCUGCUUAGAAGAAGGAAAAUGCUUGAGAAAGCAGCUGUGAAAAAUCCACCAAGAUGGUUUCUGGGGAAAUUGCUGAGAUUUGUGCGCUUUUGAAGCCAGAUCUGCUUGAGGAUAUGGAUAUAUGUCCCAAGUUUGUUGAUGGUGUCAAGGAGAUUGUUCACCUCAGUCUCUUCAUGAAGCAUAUGUCGGAGUAUAGGAAGACUGUUUUGCUAGCCAUGAUGCAGAAAACAACGAUUCUGGCAGCCGAGUCUAUGUUCCUUGAUUAAGAGAAUACCAAGGCUACCAAGGAGGUGGCAAGAACUAUGGCAACCGAAGUUUACUCCUCGGCCGAGAAAGUCAAGAAAUUAGAAUCUGAGCUUGCUGCUUUGAAGAGGUCUAACAUCUAUGCCCCCACUUCUCCACAGUUUGAAACCACUCGCCAAAAGAUCGUGGAUUUGAAUACUAGGCUUGACGUGAUCCAAGUAAAGUAUGAAAUUGCAGAGAAGGAAAUCAGGUGUUACAUACCUCAAAUUCAAAAUCUUGAGCGCUCUAUCUCUGAAUUUCGCUCCGCUGCUUAUGCAAGGGAUAAAGAGCUGAUCGCUGCUUACAACCAAGUGAUCCACUUCAAAAAGGUCAUUGAUAGACUCAAGCCUCAAGUGUUAGAGCUUCAAGGUGCUUUAAAGCUCAACGAUAAUCUGAAGAAAAAAAUGGAGGAGCUACAGCGGAUUCGUGCUUGUCUGCUUAAGGAGAAUGAGCAGUUGAAGGGUGAAAAGGUUGGGUUCAAGGCUUCUUUUACUUAGAGUCAAGCUGGGUUAUGUGGACCAUCUCUUCGAGAGGCCGUUUGACUUUGAGUUUUCUGGUAAAGACUUCGAGACCUUCUCUAUUUCUCCGGAAGAUUUGCUCGCCUUCAUCUUUGAGUCUUCUAUUGGUGAAGGGGUCGGAGAGGUUGGUGCCCAAGUUGGGGCAGCUGGUGGGGAAGCAUCGGAUGGUACCGUGGCUGAGAGUGUUGCGGCUACUGAAGGUGUGACGACUGAGUAGUCAUGGGAUGUCCAAGCUACUGAAUAAUAGUCUUCUAAGUAGCCUUUAGGAUUUUCUUUUUUUUCCUUGUUGCUUUUGCUUGAACCUCUUUGAUCUUUGCUAGUUGUUUAUCAAUUUUGCUAGAAAAUUUAAUAAACUUGCUUCCCUUGCUUUUCUCCAUCUUCGCUUCUUUUGUUCAUACCUUUAACCUUUAGACUUUAUAGACCAAUGGUGAGCAUGCUACUUUUCUAUAAGCAGACAAGCUCGCGUAGCGUAUACAACUGUAGGUGUUGGUGUAGAACUUUGCAAAGUUAUUAACCAUAGGGUUGGCAACCGGAUGUCUUACUUACAGAAGCAGACAAGUCCGCGUAACCACUAGGUUGUUAACCUUGGCUUUUUCCAAUUUCAUAGGAUGCGUAGCAAGUAUCACAACACUUUAGGACUUGGUGUAGGUUGUUCCAUGCUUCGCAGAGGUGAAGUUUAUCGACUAUAUAGCAUGUCGGUAGUGGAUAGGAACUUCGUAUAUGCACGCUAGAUUGUUUAAUCUUUCACAAGAAUGUGCAGUUGUAUAAGUCUAAUGUGACUUUACUGCUUGAAGGGCAAGCCGUAGGCAGUCUUCUAAAAACCGUAGGCUACCUUAGUGCACUCGGUAAUAGCUUUAGUUUUCCAAGGCAUCCAUCUAUAGGGCGUAUUGGGUAAUGUGCCCCAUCUGCCUCUAGGGCCCGGUUCCCAACGAAUUAGGCCAAAAGACCCAUAAUCCUUCAGGUAACUAAGCCUUGAAAAAGACCAUUGUGGCUACUUUUAGGAAUCCCGGUGUAAGCCAUCGUGCAUCUAGUUAUACUAGGGUAGUCUAGCUCAUCCACGUCUGGAUAUUCGGAGUGUUAGUUUAUCCUCCCACUUUGGAAAGCAUGAUUGGUCUAUCGGGGGGUGCAAUUCUUGCGAUGAGUCCCUUAAAAGGGCGCGAUCUUCUUUUGAAAUGCAAGAGAGAUAAGUUGUUGUAGACAUAUAGUCGAGCCAGUUUGUAAAUUACUUCUUAAUUCCUCAUUAAAAAAAAUGAGUGAAACGAACGAAUAAUUUAGCUGUAAAAGACUGCAUAAUAAUUAGAUAGUCCUUGGUUUGCGAGGUGGUGCCCGUUUAGCUGAUUGAGUCUUCGGGUCUUGAUAUAGUGGGAGGUCAUACAUGGUACUUCCUCAGGUUAUAGGUGUUCCAUUGCUUUUCAAUCUCUUUGUCGUUCAUGGUGGCGAUAAUGUAACUAUCCUUGCCACCUACUCUGUUGAUCUUGUACGGACCUUCCCAUAUGGGAUCCAUCUUUUUGGAGCCUUCUUUACGGGCAGUGAUGAAGGCUCUUCUUAGGACUAGAUCUCCGAGUUGAAAUUGUCGAAUCUUUGCCCUUUUGUUAUAGCUGGAAAGAAGCUGGUGCUGGUAGGCUGCGAUGCGAGUGAUGGUCUGCUCUCACUUUUCCUCUACCAGAUAUAAGCUUGUGGCCAUCUCGUUACUGUUCCGCUCAACAUUUGGCAGUACAGUGUUAUUGCUUGGCACGAUAAUGUUGGGAGGAAUGGUUGCUUCCGAGCUAAAUGCCAAAGAGAAAGGAGUCUCACCGGUUGCUUGUCUUUUAGUGGUAAUAUGCCCAAAGACAUCCAGGGAAUUCGUCUAGCCAUUUUCCCUUCUUGUCAGUAAGGGAUUUCUUGAGGUAGUCAAGGAUUGUCUUGUUGGAUGCUUCAGCUUGCCCAUUGCCUUAAGGAUACCUCGGUGUGGACAUGUGUUGCUUGAUGCCAUACUUUUUGAAGAACUUCGCUAAAUCUUUGUCCAUGAAUUACGGGCUGUUGUCGGUGAUGAUGGACUGAUGAAUGCCAAAUUAACAAAUGAUGUUCCUCCAAAUGAACGCUAUAUAUCCAUAUGAGUCGUGGUUGUCAUGGGCUCUGCUUCUACCCAUUUGGUGAAGUAAUCGGUUGCCAAGAUCAUCAUGCCUCUGCCCCCAGUAGUAAGCGGCAUAGGUCCCACUAGGUUGAUCGCCCACUGUAUGAACGGCCAAUGACUCGUCUGCAGAUGUAGUUCGCUGGCAGACAAUGCAGGUACCGACUUGUAGCGUUGGCAGCAGUCGUACUUUUGUACUAACUCUUUAGCAUCUUGGUGCAUGAUAGGCUAGUAAUCGCCCGCGUUGAGAGCCUUUUGUGCUAAGGAUCGGCCUCUGGAAUGAUUUCCACAAACGCCUUCAUGGAUUGAGCUUAGAACCUUCAAGUUAUCAGGAGACGCUAGGUAAUAGAGAUGUGGUCCGGUGUAGGAUCUUCAGAUAAGAAUGUCGUUCCACAUGUAGUAGCGUGCUGCCUUUACUUGGAGCUUUAUAGACUUCAAUAUUUCCGUAGGGAGUGUGCCAUUGACCAGGUAUUCUAUAAUAGAACUUUGCCAGUUGGGAGUUAUACUAAACUAUGACACCUCGGCUGCCAGCUCCACUUCUAUGCUUGGCUUGUCUAGAUACUCCACCAGAAUAGAAUGUUUGAGUUGGUGGUCAAUAGUGGAGCCAAGGCCGGCUAACGCAUUCGCGUGAGCGUUGUCUGCUCACGAAACUUGAGUGAGAGUGUAAGUCUGAAAUGCCUCAAGCUGCUUACGUACCUUCUCUAGGUAUUGCGCCAUCCUUGUAUGUUUUGCCGUGAACUCCCCAGUAGCCUAGCUGGUGAUUAGUUGGGAAUCAAAAUAAAUUGCAAGUUUCUUCAACGCCAAGUCUUUUGCCAUCCGAAGGCUAGCUAAUAGAGCCCCAUACUAUGGGGCUUCAUUGUUGGAUGCUUAGAAGCCUAGAUUGAUCACCUGCUCGAGCAUUUAACCAUCUGGGGUGACAAGAACCACGCCUACUCCCGAGCCUUAGUAAUUGGAUACACCAUCAGCAUACAAGUGCCAAAAGUCUCCAUUGGGGAAAGCAGGUACGGUUAAGGCAUGCUUGGCUGCUUCUGGGGCAACAUUAGGCUCUCUGUUGCGUCGCCUAGGCUAGGCGUGAAUUAUGCUAUGAAGUCUGCCAAGGCUUUGGCCUUUAUCGUCGUGCAAGAUCAGAAAACUAAGCCGUAUUGGCAAAGUUCCAAUGCCCAUUUCAUCACUCUUUGAGAAUCGUCUGGACCAUGUAAGAUUGAUCGUAGAGGAUAUUAAGUUAUGACGAUGACUGUAUGAGCUUGAAAAUAUGGUCUGAGCUUCUGAGCCGCAACAACUAGCGCCAAAAUUAAUUUUUCGAUCUUCAGGUAUCUAGUUUUUGCAUCAAGAAGAGCUUUAGAAGUGUAGAAUACCAAUAGUUGGGCCCCUAACUCUUCUCGUAUGAGGGCAGAGCUCACUGCUACUUCUGAGAUUGUCAAGUAGAUGUAUAAGUCCUCCGCUGCUUCCGACUUGGAUAGUAAGGGAGGUGAAAUAAGAUACUUCUUCAGGUCUUGGAAAUUUCUUUCGUAUUCUUCAUCCCAUUUGUCUCGUUAUGCCCUCUUGAUGGCAUUGAAAAAAAGCUUGCAUGGAUCGGUGGACUGUGAAAGAAAGUAAUUGAGGGCGGUUGGUUGUCCAGUCAAGCUUUAGAUCUCUUUCAAGGUGGUGAGAGACUUCAUUUCUAGGAUCGCUUAAACUUGCUUGGGAUGUGCUUCGAUUCCUCGUUGUGUUACUAGGUACCCAAAAAACCUGCCUGAAGAUACUCCAAAUGUGCAUUUGGUGGGGUUAAGCUUCAUCUUGUAUUUUGUAAGAAUAUUGAAAGUUUUCGCCAAGUUGCGGAUGUGGUUUGACCGAUGCUUGCCUUUUACCAUGAUGUCAUCGACAUAGACCUCCAUAGUUACCCCAAUUUACUUCUUAAACAUCAUGUUCACUAACCUUUGGUAAGUGGCUCCCGCAUUCUUGAGGCCAAAGGGUAUGACUUUGUAGCAAUAGGUGCCUCGCUCGAUCACGAAUGUAGUUUUCUCCUUAUCAGGCUCGUAAAUGGCUAUUUGGUUGUAGUCGGAGUAUGUGUCUAAGAAAUUGAGUAGCUGACUCUAGAACGUUGAAUCUACAAGCAAGUCGAUUCGAGGAACUGGAUAGGGAUCCUUCAGGCAUACUUUGUUGAGAUCAGUGUAGUCUACGCAAACCCUUUAUUUGCUCUUAUCUUUUUUCACAACUAGUAGAACGUUGGCAAGCCAUGCUAAAUGUGCUACCUCUUCUGUGAAUCCAACCUCCAGUAGCUUGUCAAAUUCUGCUUCGAUGAUCUCUACUCAUUCGGGCGCAAAGUGUCUUCUCUUUUAGAUCACUAGUGUGAUAGUGGGGUCGACGUGCAGCUUGUGGCAAGCUACUUCAGGGUCGAUGUCGGGCAUGUCAGAAGGUGACCAUGCAAAGACAUCAUGAUUUUCCUUAAGGAAAGCCGUGAGUUCUUCCUUCUUAGCUGGGCUCAAGCGUGAGCCAAUUCUAGCCGUCUUUUCUGGCUGUUGGGGAUCAAGAAUGAUGUCCUUGACGUCCUUCUUGGGUUUCCAUCCUUUCUUGUUUGGUUGCGCGUUUGUUUGGACUCCAUCUUCUUGAUCCGCUUUCUGAAAUUGCUAUUUGGUAGCUUCUUCAUCCUUUUAGACCUCGGUAACCUCUACGGGGGUAAAGGUUUUCUUCAUUGACUCCUUUAAUACUUGCAGUGUAUCGUCGGGAUACGGCCUGGUCAAACUUGAUUUCUUCGAUUCCUCUUCCCAGGAUGCGGAAUCAUAUUUUUUGGUACUUGACAGAAGUGACAGCAUCUAGCUUGAUUAACCAAGGUCUCCUAAGAAUCUUACUUGACAGAAGUGACAGCAUCUAACUUGAUUAACCAAGGUCUCCUAAGAAUCUCAUUGUAGGGAGAUGGGUUACUUACGAUCGUGAACGUCUGCUUUGAGACCACUGGCGGUGUUUUCACAUCAAGGGUAAUGUAAUCGAUUGUAGUUGAGGUAUACCCUUUGAAUCUGGUGAGUACCUCUGCUCGGCAUAUGAUUUUGCUUUCCAGACCCAUCUUCUGAAUUACUGAGAGUUGAAGUAAGUUGACUGCACUUCCAUUAUCAACCACCAUUCUGUCAACUAUAGCAUGGGCUAGUCAGACAGAGACCACUAAUGCGUCGUCGUGUGGGAAAUCGACACUUUCUACAUCCUGCUCGAUGAAGCCAAUGAUGGGUCCAGAUUGAGUGUUGACUGCUUGGACUUGGGAGAUUAGCAACGUCUGUUAGAUCUUUCUCUUCUUAGAAUUGUUGGUGGCCCCCAAGUGCUCAGACUCAACGAAGAUGCCAUUAAUCUGAAUCAUCUUGUUUGGUGGAUCUUCAUCUGCAUCCGCCUUCCUUCUAGGCUGCACAGCCGACUUGUCUAAGUAUAUGUCGACUUUUCCUUCUUUCACAAGCUUCUCUAAGUAGUUCUUCCAAGUGUAGCAGUCGUCAGUUGUGACCUGGACAUCGGUGGAAUGUUUAAUAUUUGGUGUGCUCUAACUUGGAAGUGUCUCAUUUUAAUUGCUUUGGCAGCUUGAACCGUGGCUCGUUCUUGACAUCGAGAAUGAUUUGGUGGAUCAAAAUCGAGAACUUGUAGUUCUUGGUUAUCGAACCUCCUUUAGUCGGGAAUCAGUCCAAACGCUUGGCCCCCUGCCUGGUUUUGUUGUUUUCCUGCUUUCCAUCCUCCUUCUUUACUGCCACUUUUUUCCAAGGUUGCUCGAGCGCCUUGUCUACUCGCCGAGCCUAUUCCCAAAGCGCGUGCUUCUCUGCUAAAGCAAAAUAGUCAGCUAGAGUUAGAUAUUCUUUCAUGAUCAACUCUCCAAACAACAGGUGGUAUGCCGGAAGUCUUUUUUGGAAGGCUGCUUUUGCUAUCGAGUUGUCGCAUACAACUAUCUUCGCCUUCUCUGCUUUGAACCUCUUCACGUAAUUACGUAAUGACUCAUUUAGGUUCUUCUUCACAUAGAACAAGUGGCCGAACUUCUUCUUGAUUGAGCGGCAGGAGGAAUACUCUUCGGUGAAAACCAAAGAAAGAUCAUUGAAACUCCUGAUAGAUCGCAGCAACAAAGUGUGGAACAAUCUUGCGCAUCACCUUACAAAGUGAUGGCGAAUAUUUGCACAUAAGGGCAUUGUUGUUCCGAUAAAGGACCAUUGUGCUUCAGUAGUGCUUCAAGUGUCUUUCUGGAUCUCCAUCUCCUUUGAAAGAUGUGAAGUGCGGCAUGCUAAAUUUGCGUAGAGGCUCUACCUGCUUAAUUUCGUCCGUGAAGGAUGACCUGCUCAUAUUGGUCAUGUCUCAUCGUAGUUACUCAUUAGCGACUUUGUUGCAUUGGAAAUCAUGUAAUUGCUCGUUCAUGAGCCUUUCUACCUCUUUCUAAAUUAGCCUUUGUUGGGGUAGUGGAGCUCUCGACUGCCCCCGAUCUUGACCUGCUGGUCUAGGCUACUCUUCUACGUGCUCGGUUCGUCUAUGCCACGGCAGCGGUGCAUGUGGUAUGUUCCUAGCAAGCAAGGGAAUUCUUCGCAGGCUAUCGGUUAAACUUGAGAUGGAUUAAAUGACUGUUUAUCUCCGUUCGUCGGGCUACCUACUCCGAUAUGAGGUGAAGGAUACUCCUUGUGAGCUUAGCCACGAAUGAACACUUUGCCUGGAAGGCUACUCAUGUUGACCAUUAGAGUGUGGCCUCAACCAUGAAUGUAUGCUCGUUCGUGGGCCUAGUUGAGAGUGCACGCUCCUCCACGCGUAAAGAAUGGAGUAUACGUUAUCUCGGGGGCCCAGUCAGGAGUGUACAUUGCCUGAACUCUCGGUUCAUAGCUGGUCGAGUAAUUGCUUACUAGGAUGUUGCUGGAAAUGUUCGUCUGCCCUUGUCCUACUUUGGGACACCUCGUCUGGGGUACGUUGGGUUUCGGUGCGUUGCAAGAGUUAAUUCACCAAGGUCGUCUGUUGUGCAAGGGCACUUGUCAACUCAAUAACUUGUCGAGACAAGUGUUGUUCGCCAUUUGGAUUGGAAGAGCUUGGAAGAAAUGCACCUUCUUGAGUAAUGGAAGUGUGGUAGGCUCCGGGCGCGAGAUGUCAAAUCUGCGGAGAAAUGUGGUGAAAAUGCCCCCGAUUGGACUGUAGGUCCUGAAACUUGGAGUCGGGAUGGUUAUGCUACUCUUGGGCCGACUUGGGCUGCUUGGAGAACCACGGGAGCAGGCUAGGUUGUGGGUAGGCUUGGCCAUGGGAGCAGGCUGCUCAGUGCGUGAUGCAUGCGAGUGCAAGGCUUGGGCCAUGGCUUUGGUGCCAUAAGCCUUGGAUGGCACGAUUUGGGCCGUGGUAGUGGUGCCAUGGACCUCGCCGCGAGUGAUUACCAUGGUGGUCACCACGAUGGUUGCCAUGGUAAAGCCUCGUAGCGGUAGUGCCGCUCCACCUAUGAUCACAUUUAGCCUCGUGGAUCGUCGCGGUCCCAUUUCUUGAAUAUUGGAAUUUUCACUUGUGGAAUUUUCUAAAUUUCUCGCCAUUGUAUAUCUAUUUUACGUUUUAUCAAAGAAUCUUUGCAAAUAAAAAUUUCUAAUAAUAAGAACAUACAAAAAAUAUACAAAUGGACAAGAAAAUAGAAAAACCUUUUAUGCGAGAAUCUUCCACGAGCGUGUGACUCUUAUCUCAAUGAAAGCACCAAUUUGUGGAUGCAAAUUUCUUCCUACUUGAUUUUGGAUAAAAUUGCACCUACAAAACAAAUCACACCUUAGGUCAAGGCUAAGAGCCUCAUGCGCCCACGAUGAAUUGGGGGGCCCUUUGGCCGAAGAACCUCCGAUGCCAAAGUUAGAAUUUUGAGGGAAAAGUGUUUGGAGAAUUGUGUAGAAUUUUGCUAGAGAAUUGCAAGUGAGUUUUGGAGAGAAUGUGAGGCCUUUUAUAGGGGUGUGGCCGGCCUCCUUAGGUGAGAGAUAACCAGCCACUUGGCUCUCUUUGUGGGCUAGGUUCUUGAUUUGUGUUUAAUCGGGUAUAAUUGAAUAAUUAACUAAUUAAUUAGUCAAUUAAUAGAAUAAUUGCCUACUUGAUUAGCUAAUUAAUAUAAUAAAAAGGGAAAGAUUUGGGAGUUACCUUGUGGAGAUGAUUUGAUGAGGAUAGAUGAAAUAGGUUUUGAAUUGUUAAUAGUUUGGGCACUUUUGACUUGGUUUAGAGAUGUUUGCCCGUUGCUCGCACGUAGGAAUCCUGAUGUGCCUCAAGGGUAAUUUUGUCCUCUUUUACCCAAAAAUCCACAUGUCUUCUUGUGAUUAUUUUUGGCUCCACAGAGUCCAGGUGGACAUUCUGGGUUGAGGUGUGUCAUCUCAAUUACAAGUGAAGAGGAAUACCACUAGAUCGUAGUACUAAAUGGCAAAAUAUUCUUCUUUACUUGUAGUUGAUUAAGUGCAUAAUUUUAUGACCAACUUUCAAAGAUAGUGAGUUCGAUACUAAUUUAUUGUAGUCGACUGAUUGAGCACCUUGCUCAAAUUUCUUCACCAUAGCUCAGUUGUAUUAAACCCAAUAAUUUACAUUGCUUCACUCCACAAAAUUGUAAAGAAUUCUUUUAUUUUUUAUUUUUAAAGAAUUUAUGAUUAUUAAAGGGAGGGAGAAGGUUCGAAAUUGUUUAAAAUUAUUACAAUAAUUUAAAAGAUGAGGGAUUCGAACCCGGGACGCAUGGGUAUAGACCAACACCAUUCUUCAAACACUGCAUGAAUGAUACACAAAUUUCACUGCUUAUUAUCAAGAUCAUAUAUAUUAUAAAUCACUCCGUAAAUAUUAUCUAUGGAAAAAAAAAAUUAACAUGAGCUACGAAAUCUGUUGCUGGCUACUGGCCCAUUUUGGUGAUUAUUGAUUUUGUAGAGAUACUAAAGACGUGUGUAUUGCUUCUGAGGAAGAAAAAAAAGGCCGUGUGUAUGAUGUAUCGAAAAUAAUUUCGUGGUUUGUUGCAAGUUUUGAUGAUUGACUGUUGCGUCCUGGCACCUUGUCACUGAUGUUGGUGAUUGUUUGUUGCAAGUUGGAGCAUGAAGCUGCUAUAUAAUUUAUCAAUACAAAUUAAAUAAUAUGAUGUCCAUCAAUGUUCCAUCAAUCCAUCGUGGCAUCCUGGACUAGUAACGCACCAGCAAACAAGUCGCCCAAAUGCUACAGUAGUCCUUGUUGAGAUUGUUGAGAUCAGAUUACAUUGGAUGCUCUGCUGACCAAAGAUGAAAUCGAGCAACAAAGUUUGUACAUAAAACGCGUAAGGCCGGGAAGGGGGCCUAUUGGCUUACUGUGUGUUUGCCGCUACCAUUCACUGUGACCUGUGAGUAGUCAGCUGGCUUUAAUAAAAGGUAUGAACUGAUGGUGACGUUUCAUCUACCUUUCUUCAUGUGUGAACGCGUUGAUUUUUUGUACGCGGAAGGUAAAGGUACUUGAGUUGGCUUCUUCUCUGUGAUGAUUUUCUAGGAAAGCCUGAGCACCUUAAAAUUUUCAAUAACUUAAUAAAUCCCAUUCAUCUCAAGUAUCCCCUUCUCUUUCUUUGAUAUAUUACCAAGCGCUCGCUUCUUUCUCUUCUUUUUUACUCACAAGUUACAAGUCUACUGUUAGUUCCUUGAGAGAAACACAAACAGAUGGAGUGUGUAAUGACUAUCUUGCAGAUGUGCUGCAGAUCGUUAACAUUUUCUUCUCCGUCAUCUGCAGCAGCUGCUGCUGGUGAUGAUGAUGAUGAUAAUGGUAUUGAAGCUGAUAUCCCCCCUCGUCGGGAGAAGUAUGAUGUAUUUAUCAAUUUCAGAGGUGAGGACACCCGCAAUGGUAUUACCAGCCAUCUUCAUGCCGCCUUACUUCAGAAGAAAAUUGAAACCUACAUAGAUAACAGACUUCAAAAAGGAGAAGAAAUCGGACCUGCCCUUCAAGAGGCAAUCGAGAAAUCCACACAGUCGGUGAUCAUUUUCUCACAAAACUAUGCUUCUUCCACAUGGUGUUUGGAUGAGCUUGUGCAUAUAAUCGAAUGCAAUGAAAGAUAUGGCCAGAAGGUUAUACCCGUAUUCUACGACAUCAAUCCAUCUGAUGUACGAAAACAACACGGGAGUUAUGCGGGUGCAUUUGCUCAACUUGAAAAACGUUUCAAGGACAAUAUUGAUAAGGUGCACAAGUGGAGGGAAGCUUUGACAUCUGCAGCCAAUCUAUCUGGGUUUGAGUAUCCAAACAAGGGCGGGUAAGUAACUCAGUCUUUAAUUGUAUAAAAUUAUAAAUUUUCUUUAAAAUUGUUACAAUUUGAUUUGUGCUCAGAUUUCGUAAAGCUAGCAUUACUCUAAACUUGGGGAGGGGUGGCUCUGUAGUUUAGCUACAAUGCAAUUGAGGGGAGGUUUUGGUUUUAACAAGACUUCAUGUACACGCGUUGCGGCUGGUCAAAAAAUUUAUAAUGUAAUUAAAAUCAGAUCCUAAAGAAGAGGGGAAUUUUUGUUUUUUUUUUUUUUUGGUUAAUUUAGAAACAACAUUACAUCAAAGUGAUAUGUAAUGUAAAUAAUAGAACAAAAUAGAACAUUUUUAAUAAACGGUGUAAUCACAAAAUAUAAUGAAUUUGCAUAUACGAAAAGGAGGAAAAAGUAAACCAAUGGCAAUGAUUGGGUUUUCAUUUUCUGUCACUGUACUUCUCAUAUUUGAAGCAAGCAACCAAACAGCAAAUGAUAAUUCCAAUUUCAAUCCACCAUCACAAUCUCUGACCUGAAACUAAAUCUCAGGCCUACCCAAAACACACAGCCCAAAAAUUUUUACUCAAGUUAGUCUCCAAUCUAAUUACAACUCUGGAGUAAGUACUUCCUAAAGAAUAUGAUCAUAGGGAUACAGGAUCUACACGUGACAUAAGGACAUAGGGGACAUCUUAAUGUACGUACAAGAUACGAAAUAAAAUACUAUAAUCAAUACCUCAAAAUAAACAUAACACAAAACAUAUACAAAUCUGUACUCUCAAAAUACACAACUCUCACUGGGGCCAAGACAUGCCCAUAGGCGCUCAAAAUAUAAGUCCCAAAAGAAAUAAUACAAGGAAGAAUAAAGGGGUAACCUAAUCGCUCCAAGUCUCUGAUCUCUGCACUACUACCCCCACUGUCUCCUCGUAAUCAACACAAGCUUGUGUCAUCGGUGCCUGGUGUCCACGCUAACUAAGGGUGGUUCGGUAUGGGAUCCCGAAUCCCAAAUCGAAAUUUUUUGGGAUGAGAAUUUGAAACCAAUUUCGAAUCAAAAUUUCGAUAUUCCCACUUUUCGGUAUUUCGGGAUGGAUCAGGACUGGAUUUUGAGUUUUGGGCUUUGCGUUGAAAUUUGAUAUUUUUGGGUUGUGGGCUAAAACUUGGGUUUUUGGCUUGAAAUUUUGUUGCCAAAUUUCAUACCAAUUGAAAUUUAGGCUUUUUACCUCUUACCAAUUUGAAAUUUCAAAUCCAUUGAAAUACCAAUUCAUUCAUACAAAGUCAAAUUGACGUUCCAAAGUUCCAAACUAAUUAAUUUCAUAUUUCUAUUUCUAAUAUUAGUCUACAAUCAAACUACUUAAAUUCAACAUUCAACAUGCAUGCAACAAAAAAUAAAAUAAAAUAUAUAUAUAUAUAUAUAUAUGAGGAAAUGGGAGGAAUGGUCCCUGAACUAUGCUCGAAUUGUAGAUUUGGUCCCUAAACUAAAAAAUCAUUAGAUUUGGUCCCUGAACUUAACAAAAUGUAUAGCAUUGGUCCCUCUAUACUAACACCGUGAGAUUUUCCGUUAGUUUGAUGACGUGGUCUUUGUGGGCUGCAUAUUUUUGUUCACUAAAUGCCAUGUGGCUUUAAAAUUCAAAAUAAAAAUAAAUACAAACAUAGAAAAAGAAAAAAAAUAAAAAAGUAAAAGUUAUCUCUCUCUCUCUCCCUUUCAUUGCUUGGACCGCAACGCCCAGGAAAUCCGGCGCCUCACCAACCUCGGCGUCGACACCAACUUCGACUGCGCAAAAUCGCCAAAGUCUUUCCCUUUCUCUCCCACCGGUGCUCUUACUCCUCCAAAUCCCCGUAAGUAGCCACGAUGUCCACACUUCCAAGAUUCAAUCGCUGCCCACCUCAGAAGCUUCCCAGUCGACUCGACUUCUCUACCAUGGCGAUCCAGUUCAAAAUCAGAAGCUCCGUACUCCGUCGCCGUCGACGGCCGAGCCUCCAUCUCCGAUCGUCGAUCUCAGCAGCACCCUGCUUCAACUUUGCUUCUCCAUGGAAUGUCGCCGACCUCACCACCGCCGAGCGCCGUCUCUGGGUGAUCACCACGGCGACAUCAUGCCAUUUGAUCUGGGCGCCAAACUCCCUCGCCGACUUCACCACCGCCGAGCGCCGUCUCCUCCAAAUUCCAGAAAGCUCCAAGAAACCAUGGCGUCGGACUUCUUGGUCUCCCUCGCCGCCAUCCUCUUCGCUCUCUCUCUCCUUCCCGGGAGCACCUCGAUGUUCACCACCUAGCCAUGAUCCGCGCUCUGACUCGACGCCUCCGACCCAGCCAUGAUCCGCGCCUUCCUCCUCUCCUUCUCCCUCAAGGCGUGCUCGAUCGAUGCGACCUCCCUCUCCGUCGCAGUUCGUCGUCGCAGCAAGGCAGAAGGGAAGACGGGAGAGAGAGAGAGAUAACUUUUACUUUUUUUCUUUUUUUCUCUUUUUCUAUGUUUGUAUUUAUUUUUAUUUUGAAUUUUUAAGCCACAUGGCAUUUAGGGAACAAAAAUAUGGAGCCCACAAAGACCACGUCAUCAAACUAACGGAAAAUCUCACGGUGUUAGUAUAGAGGGACCAAUGCUAUAUAUUUUGUUAAGUUCAGGGACCAAAUCUAAUGAUUUUUUAGUUUAGGGACCAAAUCUACAAUUCGAGCAUAGUUCAGGGACCAUUCCUCCCAUUUCCUCUAUAUAUAUAUAUAUAUAUAUAUUUAGUUCGGUUCGGGAUUCCUGAACCAUGAAUAUGUAAUCCUGAUUCCCGUACCAAAAAGUUUGGGAUUGGUUCGAUAUGGAUCCUGAAAAUUUCGGUAUUAUUGAUUUGGGAAUUUUUUAGUAUGGGAUCUGGAUUUUUUGGUUUGGAUUGGGAUUUUCGGGAAAAAUUUCCAGCCCUAGUGCUAACGCAUCCUAGCACGAAUAUUGAGAUGUCAUGUACCAUCAUCGCCUGGGUCGAGGUUCAAUUCGGCCAGGAAGUGGCCUGAAAUCACCCUAGGCUGUCGGAACCCUAAAAUGGGUGUUACUUUAAUCAUUGUCAAAUCGAACCUCGAUGCCCCAACCAGUGCUUGGGCCUUGUUCCUGUGUUCAAGGAGAGUCUAUUGGUGGCGGUGGUCGAAGGAACAAGCUUCAGAAAUGGCCGAUCCUCGUCGAAUAUUCAUGGACCUUUCGGCGGAAUUCUUCGUGAAACCAAGGCAAAAUCUCGUCGAGUUUGUGUGGAGAUUGAAGGGAAACUGACAUGGUGAUGCUUGGUGGUGGUGGAAGGCCAAGAAAGGCCAAAAAUAAUCAUCAAAUCUACUGUCAAUAAUGACAUCUAGAUCUUGCAUCAGAAUAACCAUCAAAUCUACUAUCAUUUCACCCUGACCCACGCGAGCCUCACAAGAUCGAACUACUUGGUCAACAAUGUAAGGCCCCAAAAAACAAGAGGAAAUAGAGUACGUCAUAUCCAUUGUCUCAAUAGGUCUACCCAAAGACUUAAUAAAAGUAUAAAAGAAUUCUCAACUUCAUGAUCAAACAAUGCCCUAGCAGCGAGCGAAUCAAGAUGAAUAAUACAUGUGACUGUGUUAGGCUCAGUCUUGGUCUCCAAAGUGCAUAAUGUACAAACCCCGCCAACUCGAUGAGAACUCGAGCAGCAUAAACAAUGGCCCUUGCCACAUCACCUCAUUGGCCCAUGCCAAGCCGACCGCUGGCCUUUGCCAGCCGACGUGCCUCAUCACCCGGACGACUGCCCCGUGGCAUCACCUCCCAAGAAAAAGACAAGGAGAAUUAAGUCUUUCUUACAUCGGUGCGGCAUGAAGAAGACAAAGAAAUCAACGAAAUACGGUUCUUCUCAUCGGCAAGCAAAGAAGAGUGUUAGGGGAGGGGGGAACAAAUAUCCUUUAGCUUUCUCUCUUUCUUGUAGGGAUAAAUAAUUGCCCUCAGAAGUUGAUUUAAUCCCUUACUUAAGGUAUGCUUAAAUAGGCUUCGGAGUCGAUUUAUUCCCCUUUCCUAGAAGAAUCUAAUUCCAAGUCCAAAAGGUAAUCUGUAUCAAAGUUUGAGAUCUCUACACCUGCUGCUCUUUCUUACGAGUAGCCCAGCAGGUGUGGGGGCAUUUGUGGAGCCAAAAAUAAUCAAGAGAUGAUACUUAGAUUUUUGGGCUGAAAGAACAAAAUUACCCUUGAGGAGCAUCAGAAUUCUCAUGCUCGAGCAGUGGACAAUCAUCUCAUAAUCAAGUCAAAAGUGCCCAAAAUAGGUAUUUAUUCAAAAUAUAUUUCAUAUGGCAAUUAACUACAAAAUACACUCAAAAACGCCACAAAGGGCAGGCCACUUUCUCCCCCAAUGAGGCCCUCCAUGCCUCUACCCCCAUUUUCUCUAAAAAGCUAAGUUCAACACUCUUGCAAAAUUCUCCAAAUUCUCCAAACACUUUUCUCUCGAAAUUCAAACUUUGGCAUCGGAGGUUCUUCAGCCAAAGGCCCCUCCCAGUUCAUCGUGGGCGCGUAAAGCUCUUGGUCUUAACGUAAGAUGUUAUUUAUUUUGUAGGUGCAAUUUUUUCCAAGAACAAGGAGGAAGAAAUUUGCAUCCACACAACCCUUACUAGGGCCAAAACAAUGUCCAUAGGCGCUCAAAAUAUAAGUCCCAAAAGAUAUAAUCCUUAUAAAGGGGUAACCUAAUCGCUCCAAGUCUCUGAUCUUUGCACUUCUACCCCCACUGGCUCCUCGUAAUCUACUCAGGUCUUUCACCUAUACAAUAUGUAAUGACUCAUCCCUAAUUAUUACGUUUUUGUUUUUUUUUUAUAAUACGCGAAUUUACGAAAAUGCUUUUCGAGGAAAAAACAUUGACUUUUGUUGACCGCCAUGUCAUGUCAUGUAAGAUCCAUUUUCUUGGUAUAUUCUUGUAAUACUCAUCACUACGAACACAUGGGAGCAAGCAGAAUCAGAUUUAGAGUUACGAUGAACGAUUUACGAAAUUUGAAACUUAGGGGCAUUUUGGUAAUUUUGGAAGAGGAGAUAUUUUCCACCUUUGACCACCCCGAGCUGACACAUGGCAGCUCCUUCCCCAAUCUUCUGGAACUCUCUCCCUCUCAUUUCCUUCCCAUGUCUCUCUCUCACUCUAGAGCUCUUUCCCUCUGUCUCUGUAAACUGACACUACCAUUAUCCCUCACCGUACUACGGCGAGCCCCACGACACUAUCACUACUCAUCAACCACUCUGGCGAGCACCAAGAACCACCACCACACUUUGACCUUCCCCGUCUUGAAUCCAUACCGAGGCCCUGGAACUCGACAGUGGCUAGGCCACUGUUUAUUGCCUUUCCCGUCGAGGCACGAAAUGGCAUAGAGGAAAUUCCCUAGUUUUUCAACGAAUAUCCUGUGCCUUUGAACCUUUUUUUUGCCAACUCGAGCCACAAUUGAGGAAACCAAAGGUGCGUCGGUGGAAGGUGGCACCAUCCUCGCUAGCUCGAGCGGUUCCUGGGCAACAAAAUAUCUGAGAUAGAAUCGAGGCACACAAUCCCGACGUCAAGACACGUCCACAUAGGUAUAUUCGAGUCUUCUCAGUGUAUGACUCUUCCUCUCAUUCAUACCUUUUUUAUUAUAAUUCUUUCAUAUUACUCUUAUUUAGUUGUAUGCUCUGAACAUGUUCCUGCAUUAGCAUUUUUGUUCUAAUUACAUAUUUUAUUCGGAGGCAUUUUAAAUAUGGCUUCGUCACAUUCGGGUGUUGACCAGCAUGUGCCAUCAUGGUAUUAAAGGAAUAUCGGGAUCGGGCCAUGUCACAAUCAGUGCAUGGAGUUUGCACUAACAUACCCUGACACAAAUAUCAAGACGGCAUGUACUAUCGUCGCGUGGGCCGGAGGUCCAAUUCGGCCGAGAAGUGACCUAAAAUCACCCUAGGCCGUCGGAACCUAAAAUGAAUGUUCUUCGAAUCACUAUCAAAUCAAACCAUGACGCCCUAACCAGUGCUUAGGCCUUGUUCCUAGGUUCAAGGAAAGUCUAUUGGUGGCGGUGGUCAAAAGAACAAGCCCUAGAAACGAUCGAUCGUCGUCGAAUACUCAUUAACCCGUCGGUGGGGUUCUUCGCGAAACCGAGGCCACAUCUCAUCGAGUUUGUGUGGAGAUUGAAGGGAAAGUGAAGUGGUGGUGUUUGAUGGUGGUGGAAGGUCGAGAAAAGCAGGAAGAAUCGAUUGAAAUCACAUCGGAAAUUGCAGAGGCUUCAAGUCAAGAGCCGGGUCAUGAGGGGGCAAAUGGGUCGCAUUGGGUUCUCUCCUCUUUUCUCUGAUUGGUCACCUCACUAUCACUCUCUCUCUCUCAUUGGUCCCUCCCCCCAAAUUAAUGUGAGCUUCUAAUUAUAUAUUAAAUAUUUUUUUUAAUCGAACUUUUAACGUCUGUAACUUCUUCGAUAUCACUCUGAUUCGCGAACAGCUUUCGCAUACUCGCUCGUGGAAUUGAGUUCUAUUUGAAAACACUAUGUGUGGUCUCGAAAGGUCUACGAAUUUUAAAAGAUUAAUUAUGAUAAUUCAUGUCUUAGAACUAUACAAUUCAAAUUCAAAAAUUAACUGAAUUAGAAUAAAAUAAAAAUAACGUAAAUACGAAAUACAAAAUUAAAUAAUGAAAUACAUAAUUAAUAUUAAAAUAUGGGAACGAGAUUUCACAUAUACAAUAAAGCAGCAGAUUUGGUGAAUUCUUUUUUUCUUUGCAUAUUUGGUGAAUUUAGGGUCAUUUGAUUGAACACCCAAAACAUUCGAUCUUAUACCAAUGAAUAUUGCUGCAACCAAUAGCCCAUUAAAAAUUUGAUAGUGGGAAAGCAGCCAAACUAAUGAAAACAUUGAAAAGGAGAAGACAACCCACUCAUCCCUCUCUAUUUCUAUCUUUGCAAUCCGUACUGCUCCCUCCCUCAUUCUCUUUCUGUGACGCUUAACAGGAUUGCAGAUCUCGUAUGAACAGGUCUUACUUGCCCUUGUUCACGCCUCCCUCCCUCUCGCUCUCUCUCUCUCUCUCUCUCUCUCUCUCUCUCUCUCUGUAACACUUCCCUUACCAAAUCUAAACACCUCACCUCUCCCAAGUCGAAAAUGAUAAUACCGCCUACCCACCUUUUUACCUUAGGCUGUUGGAUCUAAAAUCUGGAUGGGUAUUACUGUCAUUUGCACAUUGAAUCAGGCCUUCCUCAUUAACCACCCAGAACAAAGCUUUUAAGAUGGAUAACAAUUCAGUAAAUGAAUCAAAAUCCCCAAUUGAAAUAGCCCUUAGACUAAUGUAAUUACAAAAUUGCCUUUUUUUUUUGUGGGUUUGGGGAGGGGUGGCCCAGUUCCUUGCCAUGUAUGUAAUUAGUUGUAACCUAUGUAAACGUAUUUGAUUUCUCUUCAAGAUUAACGAUUUUAUUAGUGGGGCAAGUUCAUUUUCAUCAAAUAGAUGGUGGGUUGAAUGAUAUAUAAUAUGCAAGCUCAGUUAGCUGUAUUGUUGUUUACCUAAAAACAAAUGUAUUUUCUAUUUUAAUAUUGCUAAUAUCAUUUUGAGCAGAGAAUAAACAACAUUUCUUUUUCUUGCACAAAUAUAUGGUAGUAAAACUUUUAGUAUAUUUCUUUAUUUACGUGACAAAUUUGUCGAUCUGCCACAGCGCAUGGGCAUAACUAAUUGUAUAAAACUAACUAUUGCUUUUUUCUACAUAAUCAUAUAUAUCAGGACGGAGGCAGAUCUAAUUAAGAAUGUUGUAGAUCAUAUUUGGACAAACUUGAUUUGUGAAUCAUCAUGUGAUUUAAAGGGCCUGGUUGGAAUUGAAAGCAGCAUCAAGCAAAUUGAAUCGCGACUGGACAUUCACUCACAGGAGGCUUGCAUCAUUGUAGGUAUUUGGGGAAUGGGUGGUAUUGGCAAGACCACCCUUGCUGAAACUGUAUUUCACAGACUCUCUUCUAAAUUCGAAGCUUCUUGUUUUCUUAAAAAUGUCAGGGAGAAAUCAGAACAAUCAGAUGGACUAGAUCGCUUGCAAAAGCAACUUCUAAAUGAGAUAUUCAAGGAUGAAGUUCUAUCCAUAGAAUCAACUGCUGUUCGAAAUAGGCUCAGACGCACAAAGGUCCUCAUUGUUCUUGAUGAUGUGAGUAGCUCAAUGCAAAUGGAACGUUUAGCUGGUGAUCGUCUUCGAUAUGGCACUGGAAGUAGAAUCAUUAUCACAAGUAGAGAUAGGGGCACACUUAGACAAACUGUUGAAGAGGAUAAUAUCUACGAGGUUGAGGUAUUAAAACCAGAAGACGCUCUUCAGCUUUUCUGUUCGCGUGCUUUCAAGAAUGACACUACUCGUAGAACAUAUUAUAAGGAGUUGGCAAAAAAGACCGUGGAUUAUGCCAGAGGCGUUCCUUUAGCUCUUACAGUUCUGGGGUCCAUGUUCUUCAAGUGCAUGAGCAAAGAAGAUUGGGAAGAGGAAUUCAACAAAUUGAAACGAUUUCCCAUUGAAGAUAUCCAGAGAGUGUUGAGAAUAAGUUAUGAUAGAUUGGGAAAAGAUGUGAAGGAGAUAUUUCUAGAUAUAGCAUGUUUUCAUAAAGGGAAGGAAGUGAAUGAGGUAAAACGAAUGUUAGAUAUUCGUCGAUUCUUUGCGACAGCCGGAAUUAGAAUUCUCAUUGAGAUGUCUCUCAUAUCAAUUUGUUCAAAUGUAUGGGGAACGAAAAUCAUAGAGAUGCACGAUUUGCUACAAGAAAUGGGAAUGACAAUUGUUCAGGAACAAUGUAUUAAAGAUCGGAAUAGGUUGUUCACGCAUGAGGAUGUCUAUCGUGUACUGAACAGUAACAAGGUAAGAGCCAAAUGCAUUUAAUUUUUCCUUUUCUUUUUUAAGAAAAAAUAAAUAGCAAACUUUAGAUGAUAACACAACAAAAGUAAAACUUCUUAUGAUAAAGAAGUCAGAUUCUUAAAAAAACUACUUUGAUUGAAUUUUUACUGCAAAAAUGCUAUUUUUAAUAGGAAAAAUUAGUAUCCGGUCCCUCUUUUUUACUAUUCAUUGACUAAAACCUUAUUAGUUCUCAAAUUUUGAUUCAAGUCCCUAGCAUUAAUGUGAUAAUGAAUUUACAUGUUUAUUAUAUAAUUUUUUAAUAUAAAAAUUAGUAAUUAAUUUAGGGUUUAAUACUCACACCUCUAUUAAACUUCUAAUUAAUUUUCAAUUCAAACAUUUCCAAAAUAAUAAAAAAUUAAGUUUCUACCUAUUAGUUUUUUUUUAUAUAUGUAAAAAGAUUCUCAAUUUUUUAUCUUAAAUGUACCCAUUCAUAUAAUUUUUCAAUUUUUUUAAUCUUAAAUGUACCCAUUCUCAAAUAUAUCAAUUUGUUAUAUGUAAAAUGUACCCUUUUUUUAAUAUAAAAUCCAUUGAAAUUUUUUAAUCCAUGUUUAAACUUAUAUGGGUACAUUCUUUUUCGUUGAUUUGAGAAUGUAUCCAUGUUUUGGUACAAUAAUUUUUUUUGUUAAUUUUGGUUAAUGUACCCAUACAUAUAUGUACACACACACACAAUAUAAUAGAGAGUAUAAUUUAUAUUUUAUUAUUUUUAAUCCCAUAAAUUAUGGGUUUUAUUUAAAAUCUCAUUAAUAUAAACAAUUACAAAUUUCAAUUUUUAAUUUUUAAUUUAAAAAAUAUGGUAACUUACAUUAUUACAUUAAUGUUAGGGAUCUCAAUCAAAAACUAAAAACUAACAAGGUUUCAAUCAAAGAAUUUUGAUAGCUAAGGAUCGCAUCCAAAGUGUCCCUUUUUAAUAUCUAUUUAUACUAUCAUUUGUAUCACCUAUCUAAUAGAGAUGAGAUCCAAAUGCGUUGGUGGACCUUACCUUUACUAGAAAGAUGAUACAAGUGAUAAUAACUAGGUGGUAAGAAUACCACUACCAUUUUUAUUAUGGGAUGAGGAUCCUCUCCGGAACCUCUUUGUGAGGAUCCAGAUGAUCCUUUAAUCGGUUCCGUUAAUCGUAAAUCUUGCGGCCAGUUAUUGUUAGGUAAUAUUUGUGUUUAAUUUUAAAUAAAAAAAAAUUCAAAUGAUUUCUGACCGCACGAUGUACGAUGAGUGAAUACGAUUGAAGAAUCUCCGAAAUCCUCAUAAAGGGAAUCUGGAGAGGAUCCUCAUUCUUUAUUGUGCUAGGAAGUCUAUGUAAUUUUUAUUAUUUUACAACAAUUAUCUUGGAUAUUGUACUAGAAACUUGUACAUCAUUACCAUCGCAACUACUCUAGAAUAUUCUACAACGUUGUUGAAUUCUUUUUCUAAAUAAGCAUUACAUCUUAACAUGUUGAAAAUGUAUACAUUUAAACGUUGUUCUUAUUCUUUGUUCUUAUUGUCAGGAAACUCCAAACGUUGAAGCCAUAUUUAUUGAAUGGCAUAAGAGUGUAGAGCGACCACUAAAACGCGCAGACUUCAACUGAUGCCAAACCUAAUAAUGCUAAGUGUGGAUAAUCCUCAAAUGUUUGAUUGCAAAUCCACCGCUUCUCUAGACUUUCCUGAUUCUCUUCGUUACCUUUGCUGGUGGGGAUAUCCACUGGAAUCUUUGCCGUCAAAUUUUUCGCCAGAAAAUCUAGUUGAGCUUCAUAUGCCAGAUAGCAAAAUUAAGAAGCUUUGGAAAGAAGACCAGGUAUAUUAUAUGCCUAUUUUAAUUAUUGUAUAAAAUUAAGUGUAGAAAUUAUAUCAAUUCUUGAUGUUUCUCUCUACUCUUGUUACAGAGACUUGUAAACUUAGAAGUGAUCGAUCUGCACCGCUCUACAAAUCUAACUGAAGUUCCAAAUCUCUCUGGGAGUUUAAAAAUUGUGGACAUAAAUCUCGAUGGCUGUCCAAAUUUGGUUGAAAUUCCUAGGUAUUUUCAAGAUGUUGACAAGCUUACUCAUCUUUGUCUUUUAGGCUGCACCAGUCUCAAGUAUCUUCCAGAGAUGCCAAGAAAUAUUAAACACUUAGAUUUAUCUGAGAGUGGUAUAAAGGAGUUGCCCCGAUCAGUUUGGUCUCACGAAAAAAUUUCUUACUUGAAUAUAAGUUGUUGCGAUAACCUUGAGAAACUUCCAAGCAACAUGUGUAAGCUGAAAGUCUCUGGUUCUUUUAAUCUAGAUGGCUGCUCAUCUCUUGGCGAGUUUUCUGAGCUUCCCAGGGAUAUAAGUAAAUUAUCAUUGGUUAAUUGUCAUAGACUUGUGAUUCUUCCAACAAACAUUUGUAAGUUGAAAUAUCUCGAGGAACUCGAUCUCUCCAACUGUGUUAAACUUGAAAACUUCCCAGAGAUCUUGGAGCCAAUGGAACAUUUGAAGUCCUUAAAUUUAAGUGGUACAUCAGUUCAAGAUUUGCACUCAUCAAUCGAGUUUCUACCUGCUCUCGAAAGACUUGAACUACGUGAUUGCAAAAGGCUUUUAAGUAUCCCAAAGAGCAUUUGUAAGUUGAAAUAUCUCAAGGAACUCGAUCUCUCCAACUGUGUUAAACUUGAAAGCUUCCCAGAAAUCUUGGAGCCAAUGGAAAAUUUGAAUUCCUUAAAAUUAAGUGGAACAGCAGUUCAAGAGCUACACUCAUCAAUCGAGUUUCUCCCUGCUCUCCAAGUACUUGAACUACAUGAUUGCAAAAGGCUUUCAAGUAUCCCAAAGAGCAUUUGUAAGUUGAAGUAUCUAUUGGAGCUCGAUAUCGAUGGGUGCUCCGAACUUAAACAUUCCCCAGAGAUCUUUAAGCUAAUGAAACAUUUGGAGCCAACGAGACAUAUUUUUGAACGCUUACAGGCUGCCCUCAUUGUUCAGAAAGCAGCCUUACAAUUUAUUCAGUCCAAAAAGACUACAAGAAAAAGCCCUUAUUGCGACAGGUUUUUUGCGUCAGAUAGCACGGCCCUCACAAAUAACACAAAAUAUGCGCGCUAGAUGGAAUUGCCCAGCGCGCGUUUCCUUUCGCCCUAAUCCAUCCAAUUAGAGAUUCAAUCGGAGAUUCUAGAGCUUAGUCGGAGAUUCUGGAGCACAAUCGGAGUUCUUGUAAGCCACUACAAUCAUCUCCAUCGUCUCUCUUUUUCUUAUUCAAUAACUUUUGCUAAGUGAUUUCUAGGGUUCCUCUCAAAUCUGGAAGGCAAUUGUUUUUAUUAAUAUUGGAUUGAUUUUUCUAAUUGUUGUUAAUGUGUUUACCAAUUUUUGUUAUUUCCAAUUUUUGUUGUCGUUUGCUUUCAAGUGAGUUUUGAGAUACACAAGGAAUUAUUUUUCGUUUCAGUAUGGGUGGUAACGGAAUUUGAUCUGGAACUCAGUAGAUUCUGCUAAAAUAUAUUUUUUAGUUAAAUUCAGAGUUGUGUUUUUUUUUUUUCAAUUGGGUUUUAAGUUUUAGUAGAAACACAGAACCACUUCUGGUAUAGCUAAUGGGAUUGUUUAGUUUUGGAUUAGUUUGGAAAAUUGUUUAGCUUUGGGUAGCUAAUGGGACUUUGUUGUGUUGCAUUAGUUUGAAAACUUGUAAAACUACAGGGAGUAUGAGUUUGGUAAAUUUAAUGAGUCUUUGACUCUUUGUAGGGUACAAUUUCCCACAAUUUUUCAUUUGGAAUAAAUCUGCAUUGUUCGUGAUUUUAGGAGUUUUAGCAAUGUUUGUUGCCAGGACAUUACGAAGUUUUGUUUCUGAUAGAUUCAUGUCCACAAUUUUUAGUUAUAUCUGUUUCUAGUUACCACAAUGUUUGUUGCCGACAUUCACCUUUCCCAGACCCUGCGUAAAGCGGUAGCCUUGUGUACUGGGUACGACCUUUUUUAUUUGUUUCUAGUUAUAUCUGUUUUCUUCUUAUUGAUACAAAACUAUGAUUUUUGCAAAAAAAAAAUCAUACAUUAUUGAUGGUUCAAAAAAUGUCGCUUGUUUCAGGUUUUGGCUAAAGACUACAUGAUGCCAUGGAUGUAUAAUGUAUAGGACCUUUCAACUAAGCGUUGCUGUUAUAGUUUUGUUGGUAUUUGUAUAUGAUAAUACACUGUAUAAUGAUUUUCAUUAAUUAUAGUUUAUUAUUAAUAACAAUUCUUCAUAUCUAGCUUAUAGAUAUCUACAUAAUUUAUAGAUUAUUCAUUUUUAAUAAUUAUUUAUUUCUAGUUUAUAAAAUUAAAUAGAUAAUUUGUAUCUGGCGUCAAAUAUGAUGUCAUAUUUUUUUUCACACCUGCCAUCUAUUAUUAAAGAUUCUUCAGAUAGUGUGACAAGGUUGUCACGAAUAGUUCUUGCGACAGUUAGGUUGCGUCGUAUAUGGUAUCAAAACAUUUGCAACACAGGUUUAUUGCGACGCGUCCAUUACCGUCGUAAGGCUGUCGCUGAAAACUUUUUACGACGUUUUUAGCAUUUUUGGCAACAUUCCCGUUCCAUCGCAGAAGGCCCUUUUUUUGGUGGUGAAUUCCUAAAAUCUUAAGCCAAUGGAACAUUUGGUGUCUCUUAGUUUGCAAGGGAUAACUGUCGAAAUUCUUCCUUCGUCUAUUGAAAAUCUAAUGAGGCUUAAAACUUUAAACCUUUGCGGCUGCAAGCAGCUUAAGAAUGUCCUAACAAGUAUCUACAGUUUAACCAACCUUAAAAGUCUCAACUCUCAACUUUUAUGCUUGUCGGAAACUUGAAAAUUUGUCUUCUAGCUCUGCCGGUUCUCUCUCUUUUGGACUACUAAGGGCUGAUUUAGUAUUGCUGUGCUUUGAAAAAAAACUGUUGUGAGAAUAAGCGGCUGUGAAAUAAACCAGCAGAGUGUUUUUGUAAAAAUGCUUUUGGAAAAAAAGCAGUCUGAUAGUGGGUCUUUUCAUUAAAGGAGCAUUGUAGCUCCGUGUGCUUUGAAAAAAAAUCAGUUUUCCAAAACUGCAAAUAACAGCUUCAGCUUUUUCCUUUGAUUUCAGCUUAUUCUCACAGCAAUUUUUAAAAUAAGCCUUUUUUUUCAGUUUACCAAACACCUAAAACCCUCACAGCUUUUUUUCAUGGGUGCUGUUUUUUUAAGCACAUCUCACUCCCAAACCACACCUAAAUCUCACCAGCUACAGAGGUAUAUUGGAAUAUCCCUGAUCGUCUCAUUUUCUCAACCUCAUUGUAAAAUUUAUUUUUCUGGAACCAAGAUGACAAUUCCAAAGGUGGUGGAUGAAGAGACGAGUCUGAAGUCAAUGGAUCAAGUGAUGAAGUCCAAAGCAAAUGAAAGUGAUGAUCAUGGACUGCAGCCGGUGGAACGGAAGAUGUUUCAAACUUUUAAUCCAACAAUCUGUAUAGAAUUAUCCGAUAGAAUUAGAAACAACUUUACAACAAAUUUGUACUUUGAUAGCUCACUUGUCCGUCCAAGAAAUAAAGACUGACAAAUAGGCAAGGCUUUUAUUAUUUUAGAAUUGUUUAUACAUUAUAAAGCACAAGUUAUGGGCAAGUAUGCCAUAUCCUAUAUGUAAUUUUUAAAACUUGAUUUACAAGUCCAGCGGCAUCUUGAAAUCCGCCUCUAUAUCAUAAACCUAGACAUUAAUUAAUACCCCAUACCCAGGGCAAAGUAAAAAUCUCACGACCAAGCGCCAUAGUUUGAAUAUUCGACACUACAAAAAUACACGAUAGUUCAAUGGCUGAACUGCAAUGAGCGAAAAAUAUGAAUGGCCCAAUUGGACUAACACCGGCUAAACUCAAUGUUCUUGUUUGAACCAUACUAAGAUUAGCAAAACAAAUUUUAUUAGAGCAGGUUAAAAAUUACAGCAAAUUAAGGCCGAAAAACGAAAGGCACAGCCCCAGUUUAGUAACAAUCAUCAAAUUUGUAACAACGACAAAACAAUAGGGGUCUUCGCUUCAAUAGGACUAGGAACAUUCCAAAGUUCAGGGGAAAAAUUAUACGUCGCGUAACAAGCUAAAAGAAAAAAAAGAAUGGAGAAAAAACGAGAUGCAUGUACAAAGAAAUGAAAUACAAAAUUUCCAAGUACCUGUUUAUUAGCUUCGGUUGCUUGUUUUAACUUUGAGUUCAGUGAGUUAACCUCCUCUGUACUCAGUUGAUUUACAAGAUGUUUCUCCAAUUCUGGUACUCUGGGUUUCUGCUGAUUGGCCUGCUGCUUUUCUUCAGCAUGAGAAGGAGCAAUUGGCAUCGGUUGCUGUUGAAAGCCUUAGGAAGUGAAAAAUAAGAAACUAUUCUCCAUCAAAGAAAGACAAGGUUUCAAAAAAUAAAAAAGUGAUUUGUUUUAAGGAUGAAUAACAGAUGCAGGUCUCCGGGCGAGAUUGCCAGCAUUAGAGUAAUUAGUUGCAAGUUGAAAAAUAUUGGAUACAUCAAACAUAACAUUGCUUGGUAGCACUGCUGGAAGAGGGCGUCCCUCCCUAAACAACUCUGAGUAGCUGUUGGAGCAGAAUUAAACCGAGAUUGUAUUUGUGGUCCCCUGAACCCAAGUUUUGGCAGGACGUCGGAGUGACAGUGCCACCCUGAGUGGCACCUGCUGCUCCAGCAGAAUUAUGCUGAGGUGGUAAUUGCGGUCCCCUGAACCCAAGAUUUCGUGAGGAUGUCAGAGUGACAACACCACCUUGAAUGUCAGGUGCUGCUGCAGCAGAAUUGAACUGAGGCACAGGAGUCGCAGCAAGAUUUAUCUUGGGUGCAUGUAUUUUAGCUGCAGCCGGGCCAUAUAAUGCUUCCUUCACCAUUUCUGGUGUAAGUUCUCUCUUACUUUGUGCCACAGUGACAAUUCUAAGGGCAUUGUAAAACUCUGCCCGACCAACGAAACCAGUCUGCUCCUGGUCUGCACAUGCCCAUAUCUGCCAAUAAUAUAAGCAACCAAUAUAAACUAGAACAGAUCCAAACUUCUGUUACAAAAAGAACGAGAAAGUGCACUCUUAUAGUCAGUAUUUAACAUUUUAUGAAAAACUUCCUUCAGCAAAACAAACAUACAACUUCAAGAACCUAUUUGCAGAUAUGAUCAUGACCCAAGAACAUUUCCCUUGUAUGUUACAAUCCUAACUAUUCCGUAUUCAUAUAACACAUUUCUGAAGUCUGCUUACCACCUAAGGUCGAAAGAAUACACCAGAAAGUAAAUUAAUGACCUGAUAACAUAACUCUCUCAACAUCAAUUCCGCAUUUAUACUAAAGGUCGUACCCAGUGCACAAGGUUCCCGCUUUAGGCAGGGUCUGGAGAGGUGAAUGUCGGCUAGCCUUACCCCCAUUUUAUGGAGAGGCUGCUCCCAAUUCCGCAUUUAUACUAACACGAAAUAAACAUCUCAUUUUAGAUCGAAGAAUUACGACAUCCCGAGCUCCACAUUAACCACUUCAACUACAAUUAGAUUAAAAAUUCAAAAUCAAUCUGAUUUGGACUACAUUUCCACCAACAUAAAAUCCCGAUCAACCACUAUAAUUACACAAAUAUAAUCAUACACACUACAAUAUAUAUAUCCACUUUUAUAUUUAUAUAUAUAUAUGCAUAUAUGGAGAGAGUGAAAGUACCUGGGCAAGGACCUAUUUGGAGAGACCGGAGCCCUGGAAGAAAGCGACGGCUUCAUUGCCACUAAUCCGAUCAUCGCGGUCCAAACCGGCUCGUCGGAAAUACGCAUCGAAGAGAUCCACGUUCGCCGAUUGGUAUUGCCACAGUCGGAUUGCGAUUCGCUGAAGAUCAGACCAUGGAAGCAAUCGAGAGCGCCGCGCGCUCGGGCUGCCAUACGCUUGAGGAGCGCCGGGAAGAAUCAGAAAACCACGAAUUCGAAGGACCAAGGUUUCGAUGCCUUAAAAAACGACGACGUACAACGUGGAUUUGGUGGCCCUUCUUCUCCGAUUAGGAGGAAAAUCAGAAGACAACGGAGACACGGAGCGAUGGUUGUGAUAUUUCAAAACUGCCACUCUUUCGAAUGAGCCCGGCCCAUUAAGUAUCAUCAACUAGUGUUUUGGACGGGUUUAUUAAGAGGAUUGGAUUAAAUUAGGGGAUUUUAACAAAAAAUCUUUCUAUACUGUUCAUUUUAACGAAAAAUCAUAUUUUUACAUUAAAAAAUCAAUUCUAUUACUAUUCAUUUUACCUUUUAUCUUGUCUUUAUCGUUAAAACUCAAAGUUUUCAAGCAAUUUUCAUUAGUUUUUCUUUAAAUUAGUCCGGUUCAAUUUAAUACAAGAGCGCAUCAUAUAUUCGGCUCUGUAUUAAUAAUCUUAUCCGUUGCUAUAUACAGCGUAUCAAACGAGGCCAUAAGAUGCUUCAAGUCUUCAACCAACGGUUUGAAAAUUUUAAAUUGUUAUUACAAAGCGAAGAGAGUUUUCUACAAUUUCAAGUCUAGGGACGCCCUUCUUAGAACCUAUCUCAUUUCUUCAAGGCGACUCCCAUCACAUAAUCUUAAGAGCCAGAACACAAGGGCACCAAGAUACACUCUAUGAGCUCUUAGGUGUAUUUAUGUUGAUCAUCAUUCGAGCCACCAAUUUUUAGCUACUUGGAUGUACAAGUUGUCAUUAUUCAGGAACAAUCUCUUAUAAAGUGGCCGAGAUGCAAAGUUCGAAACCGUGCAAAUAUGGAUUACUCUAUCCUUGUGCGAAUAUUCUAUCGCUUUAAAAUUUUCUAGGUUUGAUAUCUGUUUCUUGAGUUUGUAGCUCAUGGAAUGCAGCUUGCUGCAAUCCAACCCAUUGGAAAAAGCUAGACAUGACUGUGCUCAAGGUUAUUUUCGUUCUUUACUUGCUUGCACAUGCCAACAAGCCUUUGAGUAGUCCUUACGAAAAAACGCCAGCAUAGAUGGGAGGAAGAAGAAAAGGCAAUGCGCAAGCAAGUGAAUAAUGAGCAUACAUGGCUGAUAAGUCUAGGGCCGGCUAGCAACAGUUGGCGGGGCUGCCUAAGGCCCCCAAAUUUUUUAUAUAUAUAAACUAAUAUUACAAACUUUGUCUGAUCAAAUAAAAAGUAUACAGACUUUGAGCCAUUGAGUAUUUGCUUAUAGAAUUUUGUUAACCAUAUCGGUUACCAUUGUCUCUGCAAAAAGAAGUUUUUCAAAAUAAGUUGAUCAAAUUUUAUCUUCGAUCAACUAUGUCGCAAGAAAUAUUGCAUGAGUUUGCUAUAUUUUAUCAAUUGAAAAAUGAAUUGGUUGAUUAGAUUAUGUAAACUUAAUUUGUACAUUUGUAUCUAAAAUGCUAGACGUAUAAUAUUUCCAUUAUGUUUGUAUAUCUUUCUUCUUUUGAUAUUAAUUUUUAAUGAUUUUUUACGUAGAAAGACUUUUUCAUGUAUUUAGAAUUUUUUUUUUGUACACAUCAAUGUACAAAGAUCGGGAUUAUGAGGCCAUUAUUUUUGGGAUCAGAUUUUUGGAUACGAGCAUAUAAACCUCGAACAAUCUGGGAAUGGGAUUGCAAGACCAAUAGUUGGAUGAAGACUUUUGUUCACUAUUUUUCACAAUUGGAUCGUUGGAAACUUGAUUUUUUCUCAGUUUCCCCGUAUGUUCUAGAUAAUCUUCUUAAUUAAAUGAAGUAGGUGUGAUGGUAGCGCUACUUCAUGCUCAUUUAUGUUUUUUAGUGCCAUGAACUCUGUAGUUAAUUUUUUUUUUUCUGUUGAGAAAUGGUAAUGAAACUCUCUUAAAAGUGAGACUUUUUAAUAGAGAGUCUCUAUGGACUCUUUGACACCUCAUAUUUUUAGCACAAUUCCGUGUCAACAUUAUAAAAAUUGUGCAAAAAACGUGAGGUGUCAAAAAGUCUAUGAAGAGUCUCACUUUUGAGAGAGUAUCCUUAGCAUUGUUUUUUACAAUGACUCUAUAGUUGUUUAUGUAUUUUCUGUCCAUUAUAAUUGUCUUUUUGGGGCACAUUAUUUUGUUGUUUUAUUAUUCGAGGUGAUAAAAAAAAGAACGGAAUACAACUAUACUUUGUGGUCUCAUGACUCACCAAAUGCCACAUCCCGGCCGAGACCCCCACCACAUCCCGACUUGAUUCCACCGUAGCACGAUAUUGUUCGUUUUGGGCCCCGACCACACCCUCACGGUUUUGUUUCUGGGAACUCACACGAGAACUUCCCAGUGGAUCACCUAUCAUGGGAUUGCUCUCGCGCGAACUCGCUUAACUUCGGAGUUCUGAUGAAAUCCAAAGCCAGUAAGCUUCCAAAAUGCCUAGUGCUAGGUAAGGAUGGGAAUAUACAUUUAAGGAUCACUCCUCUGGGCGAUGUGGGAUGUCACAAUCCACCCCACUUAAGGGGCCCGACGACCUCAUCGACACACCACGCCCAGGGUUAGGCUCUGAUACCAAAUUGUCACAUCUCGGCCCAGGCCCCACCACAUCCCCGGCUUUACUCCACCGUAGCAUGAUAUUGUCUGCUUUGGGCCCCGACCACGCCCUCACGGUUUUGUUUUUGGGAACUCACACAAGAAUUUCCCAGUAGGUCACUCAUCAUGGGAUUGCUCUCGUGCGAACUCGCUUAAAUUUGGAGUUUCGAUGAACCCAAAACCAAUAAACUCCAAAAGGCCUCGUGCUAGGUAGGGAUGUAAAUAUACAUUUAAGGAUCACUCCCCUGAGCAAUGUGGGAUGUCACACCAGAGGUUCGAAAGGUGCCAUUGAAGGUUUUUGGGGGAUCUUUUGAAUGUAUGAUGCAAGACACUUUUGUGUCUAAAUAAGUAUUCGAUAAAAUACUUAUUCCCGCAUAUCCCAACGACGCUCGAGAGGAUGCGUUUAAAACUUACAUUAGGACCUCCCGAUUAUCCCUGGAUGCACCAAUGGUUGGUGGUUUUCAAGAGACGAAAAUGUGAUGCCCAACAACCAACUGUUUUUUUUUUUCUUUUCAAAGAGAAAAAAAAAUACCAACUAUUUCUGAAUGGAAAAAAAAAAUUACUUGUCUACUUCCCUUGAAAAUAGUCAUUGUUAUUUACCAGUUAAUCAUAGUUUAACAUAUCUCCGCCGCUUAAUAUUGCAUAGUGAUAUUUGUUUUUACUAGUAAAUGAAAUAUCUUAAUUUUCGCUCUCAUAUAUAACAAGUUUGAUACAAAUUAUCUCGAAGAAAAAAAAGAAUAUGUGUAUGUAUCAGCAAUAAAGAAUGAGUUCUUUUACACCAAUAAAUAAGGUGGGUUGAUCUAGAUUUUUCGCGGUUCCCUGAAUUAUUUACAAGUGGUAUUCAAGCUGUUAUUUUUGCAACCUUAGUUGCGGCUUAUAUAGACAAAUCCAUAGAAGGUCAUCAUUGACUAGGCAAGCUUCUUUUUCUUUUGUCGAAAAAAAGAAAGAAAUUUCAUUUAAUGAAAAAAACCCCAAUACAAUUACAUUAAACUAGUCCAAUAAGAUGGGGACAACCAAAGCCCAUUCAACAAAAGCUGACCACUUCUGUCGCCAUCACUUUGCCAGCGACCACAAGGGUAGCCACCUAAAAAGAAUCAGCCAUGCGUUGCAUUUGAUGAAGGUAUCCUAGUGCAAAACAAUUCAACAUGCAAUCAAAACCACCACACCGGAGAAGAGCCAACAGAUUCGGACCACAAACACAAGCCUCGGCAAGUAGAACAAAAAACCAAAAUAAAUGGGAAGGGGAUGGGGCUAAGGGGGCAUCUAAAUAUCAUCGCUUUGGGCAAAGCUGCAACAUGCUUGCGCCUUGAUUUCAUGCAUGGAUAUUAAAUCCCUAGUGUAUUGCCUUUCUUUUUUACUCUAGGAGUGCGUAUGGAAUCCUACUAAUACUCUAUGUAUGGAUACCAUUGAGUGUGUCUAGAUGCCUACACUCUGUUAGGUUCCAUUGAGUGCGUCUGGAUCCCUACAUUUUGUUCGGUUCUAUUGAGUUCGUCUGGAACAUUCAUCCUAUGGAUUGCAUGUGGAGUUAGUCUGAAUCCUACUUCAUGUCUUGUGUGUCAGUUCUAUCCUAUUUCAUUAGUGCAUUUAGAAUGCGUAACGUUGUGAAUCGUAUUAGCUCUUGUGUAUUCUUUGUAUUUGAUUCCAUGGGUGCGUUCGGAAUGUGGAACGUUUUGCGUUUGCUGGCCUUAUUAUUUUAAUAUAUAUUGAAAGGGAAGUCGAUUGAAUAUCAGUGAGGAUUCAAUGGAUUUUGUGAGUGAAGAUAUUUUAUACAUGCAAAGUAUUGUGAAAUGUUUUAUAAAUGAGAUUGAUUGACUUUUCAAUCACAUAUGUAUUACUGUCACUCACACGAGCUUUAUAGCUUGUCUGAGUUUUUGCUUUGCCCGAUGCACCAUUCUCACAGUGUAGAGGGUAAUUUUGCAAGUUGACAGGUGUUCAACGUUCUGAAGUUAUGUGUCGAUCCUAUUAGGGGUGGGUUCAAAAAACCGAAACCGAAAAAAACCGAAAACCAAACCGAACCGAAACCGAAAAAACUGAACUGAAUGAAAAAACCAAACCGAAUUGAAAAUACCGAACUGAACUGAAUUCUUUUGGUUCGGUUCGGUUUUAGUGAUCUAGAAACCGAACCAAACCGAACCGAACCAAAUUAAUUAAAUUAAUUUUUUUAUUUAAUUAUUUGUUUUGGAUAUUAUUUUCUAAACCCAAUUUGUAAAUUAAAAUGUGUUAAACCCAAUGUGUUGCCAAACUUUAAGCUCAAAAUAUUAAAAAUUGCCUAUAAAAACUCUAAACCCUAACCUAUUAUUUCUCUCCCAUAUAAGGUUCCAGAACCAAACCUCAUCCUGAAGUACCUAUAUCCAUCUCCAUAACACUGUCUACUUAUGCCACAUCUUUCUUUUCCAAAUCUACUAUCAUAUAACAUGUAACAGAAUCCAUAAACAUUUAUUUCGGGUAAAUUACUUGGGUAAUUUGUUAUGGAAAAAAAAUCCAACACACACUAAAUAAAUCCACCCACGCAUUACUUUUACUAAUCAAGUUGUCAACAUGUAGUUACAAGCAACACAACCCUGAUCUUUGAACAACAUCAUACAAUUUAACUUUUUAAGUCAUUUGUACGAUUUUUGUGUUGUGAGGUUGUUAGUUUGGACUUUGGAAGACUUAAUUGAUGAUUUUAGUUCAACUUUAAAUGUUUAUUUUCAUUAUCUUUGAUUCUAGUUAGAAUGCUUAUGUUAUGAUUGUGUUGGAUAUGUUAAAAUUUAAAAUUUCAAUGUUUUUCAUUUUUUGAAAAAAAAAAUAACAAAAACCGAAAACGAACCGAAACCAAACCGGAAAAAACCGAACCGAAAAAAAAACCGAACAAAAAAAAACUGAAAAAAAAAUGAACCGAACCAAACCGAACUGAAAUUUCGGUUUGGUUUCGAUUUUGGUAAAAAACCGAACCGAUUUAAACCGAACCCACUCCUAGAUCGUAUGUAUAUCUCCUAAUCAGGGCAUGACAUUGUAUGAGAGAGCAUGUUUACUUUUAUGAGGCCAAGCCUAGUGUUGUACUUUUGGAAAGACAACUCAAACAUCCAACUCCAACUCAUAAAAUGAAAAGAUGAUUUCUGUCCUUUCAUUUGUCCUCAUUUUUUACUUUAUGCCCCACUUUGGACCACAGCUAGCCGCAGACCAACUCCAUCACAUUUUCUGGGUCAAAAGUAGCCUUUUACUCUAGUCGUCAUCUAGCCUAUAGAUAGAGCCUCUAUCAUAGAGGCCCCACAAGUUACAUAAUGCAUGCUUUUUAUAUACUAAAAGAGAUCCGGAUAUUGACCCAAAAAAAAAAAAACGGAUAUGGAUCUCUUCUAUUAUGAUUACCGGAUCAAGUGAUCCGGAUAUUUGAAAUUUCAUCUAACGACUUACUUGUUUUGAUUUCUUAAAAACUAUGAUAAUUUUUUGCUAUUAAAUGAAAUUUAAAAAACUCAGGUUACUUAAUCUGAUGGCCUCGGAGAUGAUCUCUUUCCUUUAUAUACAUCCAUAUAUAUUCAUGAUUACAUAAAUAAAAAGUUGGUAACUAUUAUUUUUUUUCAUUAAACAAGUGAUUAAUAUUAAGGAAACUAAUGAAAAUGGCUUCAAAUCUUUACAUUUUAAUGAAAAACCAUACACUAACUUUAUUUAAUGAUAAGGACAAAAAAUUAAAAAAACAUAAAAAAAAUCCAAAUCGCGUUGAGCGCGCGUCCCUCACCCCCCAACCAAAAUCCCCCAAAACUCACAUCAGACAACUUCACGUCCCCCAAACCACAAACCCCCCCCCCCCCCCCCCCCCCCCCCCCCCCCCCCCCCCAAAAAAAAAACCUCAUCUCUCUCAUUCUAUUUCAACAGCUUAACUCUCUCUCUCUAGAAAAAAAAAUCAAAAUCCCCCAAAACUCCCAUCAGACUACUUCACGUCCCCCAAACCUCAUCUCUCUCAUUCUAUUUCAACAGCUCAACUCUCUCUCUCUCUCUCUCUCUCUCUCUCUCUCUAGAAAAAAAAAAUCUGAGAAACAAAGAUGCUGAGUCGCUGUGAGAUCUGUUGUGAGAUUGUGAUUGCAAUUUUGCUCUUUCCGCUGGGCGUUUGUGUCCGGCAUGGCUGCUGCACCAUAAGUUCCCUUUCUUUCUCCUCCGUCUUCUUCAUCUUCUGGUGGCAGAUUUGAUAUUAUUAAUGGUGAAAAUUGAAAUUUUGGAUUGGUGGUGGGCCCAACUACUCCUAAACAACUAUCAGCAAAUUGCCUUUGUUUUUUCUUAUAUGGCAGGCAAAUUUUUGUUUGUUUUUCAUUUCGAUGCUUCAAUUCUUAGCUAUGAUUUUUAUGCAUUGGACAUGGACAUGGGAAGAGGAGAAAUUUGUGUACACAGUACGAAUACAUCAUCAUGCUUAUGUUUGAGACAAAAGGAUAAAUAUAUGUGUAUAUUGUUAUAAACAGUGUCGUUAAAAUUCAUAAUAGAAAGUUUCAUAAACAGUGUCUUAAGUUUCAUAAAUAAUGGAGAAAGUUUCAUAAACAGUUUGUGUGAGGAUUUGCAUGGGUCCGUCCGUCAGAAUUUUUUUUAUAAUUUUUUUUAACAUUAUAAUUAUGUCCUUUUGAUUAAAAUUUAAGUUCUUUUGUCCUUUUUAUUAAAAUUUAAGGAUUUUUUAUUAAAAUUUAAGUCUUUUUAUUUAAAUAAAGUUAUAACAUGGUUUUUUAUUAAAAUAAACUUAGUUCAUGCCCUUUUUAUGGAAGUUCCCUUAAUAUUAUUAUAUACUCCUUACUCUUAGUCCACAUCAAUUAAUUUGUCAAAAUGUUAUGUCUGUUAUUUAAUAAUACUAAAUAGUGGUAUUCUUCGUUAUUUAUAAAAAAUAUAUUUUAUGUUUGAAUUUUGUGUAUUAUGAGUUUGAAACUAAUUUAUUCAUUUCACCCCAUAGUGUAAUAUAUCUUUAUUUCUAAAAAAAAACAAUAAUUUUAUUUUUUAUUUAAUUAAGAUAAUAUAGUAAUAUUCUUCUUCAUUUGUUGGUGCUAGCGAGUUGGAUACUAAAUUAUUAUAGCUGAUUGAUUGAGCAACUUGCUCAAAUUUUCUCACCAUAGUGUAGUUUUUUUUUUUUAAACCAAUAAUUUAUAAUGCUUCACUCCACAAAAUUGUGAAGAAUUCUUCUUCAAACACUUAGUGAACGAUUGAUAAAGUUAUGUGGUUAUUAUCAAAAUCAUCUAUAUUAUAAAUUAUUUUGUAAAAGAUUAUCUUUGAAAAAAAAAAAGCCAAACUAAGUUCCACUAUUCAAUGAUCGGACUAUUGAAUAUUUUUAUCUAGUCCGACCAUCUAUCUUUAUACAAUUAGUUAAUAAUCUUUUCGAAAAUAAAAAUGUUAUAUAAAAGGAAAGUUGUAACCAAAAGAAAAUAAUAAGAAAUUGUUAACGAUUAAGAAAUUGCCACAUUCUCCAAAUUCAACAGCUAAGAGCACUUUUAUUGGGCAUGUCAAAUUUUAAAUACGACAUUUAAAUUUUACAACUUAUCUAAUACUUUAACAUUUUGAAAAAAAAUUCUUCAUCCAUAAAUUAAAUUAUUAUGUUAUUAAAUCAAAUUAUAAUAAUAAUUUUUUUAGUAUAACGAUAUAUUUUACACUACAGAAAUUGAGAGUUCGAUUAAGCCACACAAUGACAAUCUAAUUUGGUAUUGAAUUCGCUACCCACGAGAUUUGAUCCUAAGACUUCUCACUUAAAAGUGAAGAGGAAUACCACGAUACCGUAGUACUGAGUGACAUAAUAAUAUAUUUUUUUAAACAGAAACAACAAAGCCACUCAGUACUUAUGUGGUUUAGCCGAACUCCCCUCCUCUUCGUGUAAAAAUAUCGAUGUAAUUAAUUAAAAAAAACAAUAAAACUAGUAAAUAUAUUUAAUAAUGAAUUAAAAAUAAGUAAAAUUACGGUCAAAUUUAAAAAUAUUGUUGCUGGCUUUUUGGAUUUGGACAUUUUGACGUUUGGAGAUGCUCUGAAACACAACCGUCAGAAGUGUCAAGUUGAAUUUGGGAACUCAGCUGAGGAGUCGAUUCACUCUAGGCUUUGGGUAAAACCUCGAUUUCAGAGUCCCUUUCAAUCGUUCAUACAUUCAUCGUAUGAUCUUUCUUUCUUCCCCAAGGCUCAAGGCCCCUUCCCAUUGAGUUCUUGAGUCGUACACAAAUUAUCAUCCUUUAAACGCCAUUAACACUCAAAGAGUGGAGCUUCUGCCAAUGGGUCUCUGAGUUUUUAGCUGGGUCUUGGGUUGGGCCAGUUUCUCUCGCUUUUGGUCACUUCUACAGGCUUUUCAUCUUCUGAGCUUGCCAAACAAGGUUCGAUUUUUCUUAUUUUUCUACUGUCUAUGUAUGUCUAUUUCAAUGCGAGUAAGUAGUUGGGUAUGUAAUAACUGCAAAGAACAAUAUAAUCCGUGAUUGAUUGCUGACGAGUAAAGUCAAGGUCCAUAUUAUGAAAUUAUAUUGUUUCUGUAUUUUUCCCGACCUUUGCAAAGCGGAGAGACUUGUUGGCUUGAAGACGUCCUUUUUUUUAUAUUGUUUCUGCAUUUUUUGGAACAUUGACUGUCAUCUGUUAUUUGAUAUAUGUUGUUGGAUUGGUGUGGUGACUAUGCUUACAAUACAUUCACCAAUUAUCUCCCGUUUUGUUGGCCACAAUCUCCGAGGCUAAGUCGAUGAUCCUCUUUUCAAAUUCUACUGAAACUCUUCGUAUUGUGAUUUGUAUAAGGUUACCGCGUCAUGUAGUCUUCUUUUCACUAAAUUGUUUCUUGUAUUCCUUGUUCAUUCAAAGUGUAAGGUUUUUUUUAAAAGGAUUAUCAUUUAAUCAUUCGUUUAAUGUUUUUUAUUGCAGGAAUUAAUGUUCCGACCUUUUUCUUUAUGUAGAUAUGAUUUCUUUUCUCUUUAUGUGAUACAAGUUGGUUUCAGACAUCUAUAUCUAGCUAAGUUUUAGUGUUUUUGGACUUCGUUAUAUAGAUUAGUAGCAUGUCGUUAGACGGCAGAUUCGGAGGAUCACUGCAGUCAUGAUUCAUGUAAAGGUGCUUGAGUUGGGAUUUUUUAUUUGAAUUUUUGUACGCGUUCAAUAUCUUAAUAUAUCUCAUUCAUCUCAAAUAUUCCGUUCUCUUUCUUUGACAUAUUAUCAAGCGCUCGCCUCUUUCUCUUAUUUUUUACUCACAAGUUACAAGUCUAUUUAGUUCCUUGACACUACAAAAAAAGGGUCUAAGAACAUGUCACGCUCCGGACCCGGAGUCGAUAAUAAAAACUUGAACCCGAAUCCGAAACGUGAGUUAAAUACUAAAUAAUUAAAAGGAAAUUGACAUGGGUUGGAAAAUAAACUCCUCUUAUUAAAAUAAUUCAUGAUUCUUGAACAAAUCAAUAAUUCUUUACAACCUACAGUAAAUAAAUGAAUAACUUUCUCUACUCCAAUCUAAUAUGAUCUCAUCAUGCCUACCCUCUUGAAUGUCUAGUUCGUAAACCUGCAUAACAGUGUAGUGGUGAGCUUCAACGACUUAGUAGGGACAUAACCUUACUAUAGUAAAUUGACAAUAUUAAAUUAAGUGUCAUGAAAUCAUAUAGCCAAAUAUCAAAACAACAAUUAUAACAAUGCAUGAAUGCAAUGCAACCUCUUCAUUUACUCCUGUUAAUUUAUAUAAUAAAACACGUGAACCUGCACAUCCCAUACCAUGCAUUUUACCCCUGCAAAGGUGGUUCGAAUGUUCUAUUAUAGAAACUAACCCCCAUAUUAUAUCCCAAGUUCAUAAACCCCUUUUGCUAGUCAUCUUAUCUAAUUCAUUGAUCUCCAGCCCAAAUCACCCACAUCGACAAUUCCCGUCGAUAUCCUAUUCUACUGUGCACAUCAGACUCGCCUGGAACUAGUUUCACAAUGAAUAGAUUCAACUACACAAAAGAUCCUUUCCAACUACCCUCAUUCCCAUACUUUCAAUAUGAAUACUGAAAUUCCCACCACAUCAACAUGAAUGAUGCACAAAUAAUAUCAAUUUAUCUUCCACAUGUAUCAUAGUAUAUUCUCAACGAAUAACAUUUCAUAACAAUAAUUCCAUAACCAAUAACAAGUAAACACUUAACUGAAGCAAUUAGCCAAUUACUAUUCAACCACAUUAAUCAACCAAAAAGAUCAAAAAUAUUAUCACUUCACGAAAUUUAAUAAAAUUAAUUUCCGUAAAGGUUUGCCUUAUUUCCCCUACUUGGAUUCCAAAGCUAAAACCAAGAUCCACGUCAUUACCGAAAUAGCUAGCUGUCCACGUACUUAAGCAAAUUCCUUGAUCACUCUUAAAUCAUCAAAGUAUUUUUUUUCUACUCUCCUUUAUUUUUCUAAUCUCUCUCUAUAUUUAUACUUAUGUAAAUAUAUACAUUUUCCCUCUCUAUCUAUUCUUCCCUACGUUGCCUGCACUGCAUGGUUCCUCAAGCUUUGCAUGGCAUUGUUAAGCCACCUCCUGUAACCUAUGUGGCUGCUAAAGAAAAAGAUAAUAAUCUAAAAUGGGACACAUUAUGUGAUAAUGGAUCACUACAUUUUUAUUUAAUACCUAAUCACCUUCCACCAUGUGUACUAGUAAUAUGGUCACUGUCAUUUUGACUGGUCACCACGUGGCACACACCUAGCAAUUCAAUGGUUGCCACCUAACAUCGACUCAAUGAUUAACCUUUCAGUUAUUUGACCUCCAAAAAAUUAUACAAGAUGCUACGAGCUCAUAAUAAUUCUUACUAUCUUCAUACAAGGACCUAUUCGAUAAAUAAGUUUACAAAUACUUCUCUUCUUUAGUAAUAAAUUCUUGGGAUUUCACAGAACACAAUUGAUUGGUGCCCUUUUCAAUUUCAUUGAGCGUGCACGCAUAUGUGUGUGUGUGUGUGUGUGCGCUUUUAAGUUUCAUUGAGCACAAAAUUAUUUCGAAUGUGCAUUUUGAACAAAAAGACACAUUAAAUUGUGUCUACAAAAAGGUGUAUUGUGCCUAUUGAAAUUUGAAUUCGAAAGUUUGUUUUACUACGAUUAUCUUUGGGUCGAUAGACGUCUAUCUUCGAUAGAUUAUAUAUUGAAUAAGGAUGGUUUACCGUGUCCACAUUAAGUCUUGUUUUGGUUUGAGUGAUUUAGGAUGACACAAUGGUGUGGUUUGUGUCGGGUCUUUGCUCCUUAUAUCACUUUGAAGUAGUUUAUUUGUGUUAUAUUUGUUGGUUGUUCCUUGGUGUGAAAUUCCUUGUAAGUUUUUGGCUUUGCCUCGGUUAUAAAUCUAGUUUACAAAAAAAAAAAAAAGUUUGUGUUAUUAUUUAUGGAUUUUUUUAUUAAGGGGAUGUAGUCAAACUAAGAUUUUAAAAGGAUUUUAAAAGUGAUAGAUUUAAUAGAAUUUAAGAGGAUUAAAGACUCCUACAAAAUUCAUAUGGAUUUUUAAAGAAUUUGAAUGGAUGAUGGUGGAUUGUUGUGGAAGGAUUUGAAAUCCGAGGGGGUGAGGUUGGAUUCUUUUUAGUCUUGGUUAUAUAUACUUUUGGCUCUCAAAUCCCACAAAAUCCACAACUUAUUGAAAUCCUCCAAAAUCUUAAUUUUUUUAAUAUACUUAGAUUUAGAUGAAUUUUUAAAAUCCUUUAAAAUCUUUUAAUUGACUACAUCUAGAUUUCAAAGGAUUCUAAAAUCCUUUAAUUGACUAUAUCUAAAUUUAAAUGGAUUCUAAAAUCCUUUAAAAUCUUUUAAUUGACUACACUCUAAUUUCAAAUCACUACCCCGUAAUUUUCGAAAGCACAAAAAACAGUUUGUGCCCUUUAAUUUAGUAUAUUUAAAUCUUUUGGUUUUAUUAGCACAAUAGUUUGUGUAUUCCUUCCAAGUCUGGACACAAUUAUAUUUUAAUAUUAAUUUUAUUGAUCAACACCCUACAUCCCACUCAGUUUUAGAAGCAGCCUCACCCAUACUCCGCCUCCCUCAUAUUCUUUCUCACCUCUCUCUCUCUACCUUCUCCAGACAAAUCGUGGAGGCUCUUGAGCUCCAUCAUUGCCAGAAUCUCUUAGCAGAAACCUUCUGCACGCGGUGAAUGAAGGUUUGGGAAGAUCGGAUCUGGUAGGGAGGGAUCAGGGGAGGGGGUGGGUCGGGUUUGGGAAGAUCGGUGGAUGUAGAGCCUGAAUCGGGAAUCGCGUUGGGAUCCGAGUCUGAUAGGGAGGGAUCAUGGGAGUGAGGUGCGUCGGGUUAGGAGAUGUUUGUGAGAGAAGAGCAGGUGCGAGUCAGAGAGGGAGUGAGGAGUCGUGGUCCUCGUCAAUAUUUCGUAGCCGUCGUGGAAGCCUGCGAAUUCGGAGUCAGCCGCACCUCCGGUCGUAGGAAGUGGAACCUUCUUCAGCUAAUUAAUUAAGUGAGCAACAUGCAAUUAGCAAAGGAAGCCAGAAUCGAAGUAGCCAGAGAGAUAAGGUAAUACAAUGGUUUGUGAAAUCUCUAUGAUUUUAGGAGUAAUCAACGAUAUCUUACUACUUCAAUAUUUUAUAAACUAUUUUUCAUAUAUUAUACAGCAAGCAUUGUAAAAUGUGGUUAUUAAAUACACAAACAGUGAUGAAAUCUGUGGAUGUGGACGGCCGUGGAUUUAGUUCAGGAUCAUUGCUUUGUAUAUAUUGUAAGGACUUAGUCAGGAGGAGUAAGGACCACGUUGUUAUUAGACAGGCCGGUUCGAAUUCUAGGCUUAAUUCUCGUUUGUUUCCAUUCCACUUAUGUGUGUAAUAAAAUUUUGCUUAAUCCGAUGUUCUAUUUGUGUCUCUGGAACAGUCGCAUAUCUUUUUGCUGAAUUGUGAUGUUUGCUGCAAUUUUCUACUCAAGGGGGUGUAUUCAAUUGGGAUUUUAAGGGAUUUUAAUUCUUUUAAUGAAUCGAGGGGUAUUCAAUCAGGAUUAUAAGUGAUUCUCUGAAAUUCUAGGUGUAUUCAAUUAGAAUUUUAAGAUAGUUUAUUAAAAUCCGUAGAAAUCCAGGUGUAUUCAAUUAAGAUUUUAAAGAAGUUUAUAACAUUCCAGGUGUAUUCAAUUAAAAAUUGAUUUUAAAGAAUUUGAGAAAGUUGAGGAAUUAGAGGGAAUUGAAGAGAUUUCGUAGUGUAUUUUAAGCAUCCACAAAUUUCACCUCUUCACAUGAGAUUUCGAGGGAAUUGAAUCAAAAUUUUAUAUGGAAUCUCUACAAAUCAAUUAAACUCCAUAAAAAUCCAUGGAUUUAUAAAUCCAUUAAAAUCUCUCACAUUCUCAAUUGAAUACACCCCCCUAAGACAUGCUUGGUGACUGGAAGUUUUUUGCUUGGAAUUAUAGAUAUGAUUUUGAAAAGUUAAUUCCUUUUAUUGCUUCUUGGUGUUCGUCAUUGCAGAUGCUCAUUAAGGAUAUAAGGUGAUGGGUACAAUGUUAGUAAUAAAGGUUAGUUUGUUGACAGAGCCUGAACUAUUGAAUAAUGUUGCAACUCUCCCCCAUUUUCCUGAUGCUCUUUCCUCAUGUUUUUUUGUCAUGCCAUACUUUGUUUUUAGGUUCAUCUGUAAGUUUCUGCUGAAUCUGCGAACCAGUUUUGGCAGUUGGUUGUUGAUCCUGCCACCAAAGAACUAUUGCAUUAUACUGAGAAGCCAGAGACUUUUGUAUGUAAUAGAUGCAAUUACUGUCCCAAAAUUGUUCAUUUAGUUGGUGCUUGAUGAUCUCAAUUCUUUGUUCCCGGCCCCAUUAUGUAAGGGUUAUCUAUUUUCUAAAUGCAGGUGAGUGAUUUGAUCAAUUGUGGUCUAUAUGUAUGUACUCCCACAUAUUUUACUGCCAUUCAAGGAGUCUCGAGUCAUCAAGAAGGCAAAGGUUGGUCUUUUUCUUUACUGGCAUUAUAUUUGUGGAUUGGUUUGCACUUGGGAUCAAAUUCUGGCUCUAAAAUAUUAUCACUUGAUUUGUAAUUCAUUUUCAUAAGGAUUCGACUUGAUUUGUAAUUACUGAGAACAAAUUUGGCCUCAACACGGGCUAUUUACUUUUAUCCCUAUUAAGUAAAUAUUCAUGAAUCUUUCACAGUGGAUGAAUCAUUUAUUUUAUUGUUUAGGUGAGAUACUAAAAGGAUUUUGUUGCUUACAUGGUGCUUAUAUCUGUAUGAAUCAAUUGUAGAACUAAAUUUUAGAAGCAUGUUUUAGCUCUACCCUUAGUUUAAUUGGUAUCUUGAAUGUGCAUGUAAACCAGCCGAAUAAUUUCUUACUGAUGGUAUUACUAUUUGAUUUCAUUUUGUAAUAUUUGAUAUUUGUUUUUUUAUUUUAUUUUUAAUAUUUAAUCUUUUGGGCACAAUAACAAAGUUGUACAAACAUGGCUUGGAAAAGUCAUCUGACACAGGUGUCAGAAUAGAGGCACAAAAACUCCUGAUUGGUGCUUACCUGUGUCAGCACAAACCACCUUAUUGUGCCCAAUGACCAAAGGGCACGCCCAUAGAGGGCACACAUGAUGUUUUAGUUGCUGCACUGUUGCUUUUGCCGGGCACAUAUGAUGGUGUCCUUGGGCCUCAUAGGGCACAUAUAACUUUUAGUGUGCAAUGGCAGUUUUUCUUCUAGUGUGAGAGAGACACAAACAGAUGGAUGGUAUUGAAGCUAAUAUCCCCCCUCAUCGAGAAAAGAGACACAAACAAAUGGAUGGUAUUGAAGCUGAUAUCCCCCCUCAUCGAGAAAAGAGACACAAACAGAUGGGUGGUAUUGAAGCUGAUAUCCCCCCUUGUCGAGAAAAGAGACACAAACAGAUGGAUGGUAUUGAAGCUAAUAUCCCCCCUCGUCGAGAAAAGUAUGAUGUGUUUAUCAAUUUCAGAGGUGCGGACACCCGCCUUGGUAUUACCAGCCAUCUUCAUGCUGCCUUACUUCAGAAAAAAAUUGAAACCUACAUCGAUUACAGACUUCAGAAAGGAGAAGAAAUCGGACCUGCCCUUCUAGAGGCAAUCGAGAAGUCCACGCAUUCGGUGAUCAUUUUCUCACAAAACUACGCUUCUUCCACAUGGUGUUUGGAUGAGCUUGUGCAUAUACUCGAAUGCAAGGAAAGAUAUGGCCAGAAGGUUAUACCCGUAUUCUACGACAUCAAUCCAUCUGAUGUACGAAAACAACACGGGAGUUAUGCGGGUGCAUUUGCUCAACUUGAAGAACGUUUCAAGGACAGUAUUGAUAAGGUGCACAAGUGGAGGGCUGCUUUGAAGACUGCAGCUGAUCUGUCUGGGUUUGAUUAUUCAAACAAAUAUGGGUAAGUAACUCAUUCUUUAAUUUGUAUAAAAUUAUAAAUUUUCUUAAACUUGUGACAAUUUGAUUUGUGCUAAGAUUUGGUGAAGCAUUACUAUAUAUUAUAAAUUUUCUUUAAACUUGUGACAAUUUGAGUUAUAAAUUUUCUUUACACAUAUUUACAACAACUCUAUCCGCACACAUUGUACAAUCAUAUUUACAAUUCUACUUACAUAUAUACUAAUUAGCUUUUUUGAACUUCCUUGAUCAACACAUGGAUUUUUUUUUUUGCUCUCAUAUGUAUGCUUCUAUGUUGCAAAUUGAAAAAAUAGAAGUUGUUAAUAUAAAUCAAUGACAUUUUAGUGAAGAUGACGGAACACAAGUGUAAUUAUUGAGGAGAGACUCUCAGUUGCUUCCAAGCUUUUCAUGUUUUAUGUCAACAGACACUAAAAAUUGGGUAACUUGGCAUAUCGACAGAAGGUUCAACAUCCAAAUCAGGUUUAAGCAAUUCAUCAGGCUAUAUGUCCUCCAAGAAAUGUUUGGGCCCACAAUUUGAUCUGUGGUACUCUUAUUGUAUGGUUUUGGGGGAACAAAUCUUAACAAAUAUAAGAAUCACCCUAUUUAGUUCUCUUCUUCAUAAGGGAUAAUCUCAUACAAAAGAACUCGAAACAAAUUCAAGGUAGAGCAAGCUAAAGAUUUAGAAGAUAAGGACCCCUUUUAUCAUCAUCUAAUACUAAGCAUUAGUCUAUACACCGUGAAAUUCAAUAAAAUAUGCAUCACCCAUAAAUAUACAAAACCCAUCAAACAAAAGGAGGGGUUUAGAAGAAUACUCGUUCUCUCAGGAAUCUGCUCCAGAAGAUUUCUUAAUCUUUCUCCAGAACCGCCGAAGAAGACAACCCACUCAUCCCUCUCUCUCUCUCUCUCUGCAAUCCCUACAACUCCCUCUCUCUUUCACUCUCUGUAACCCUUCCACUUACUGAAUCGUAGGUCUCAUACAAACAGGUCUUACUUGCCCCUGUUCAACAUCUCUCCCUCUACCUCUCCCUUGCCCUUCCCCUCCCCCUCUCCCUCCCCCUCCCCCUCCCACAAUUGCACGCCUCCCUCUCUCUGUCUCUCUGUAAUUAGUUGUACCCUAUUUAAACGUAUCUGAUUUCUCUUUAGGGUUAACGGUUUAAUUAGUGAGGCAAGUUUACUUUCAUCAAUAGAUAGUCGGUUGAAUGCUAUAAUAUGUAAGCACACUUAGUUGAGGAGAGAAUAACAAGAAUUUUUUUUCUUCACAAAUAUACGGUGUUAAACCUUUUAGUAUAUUUCUUUAUUUACGUGACAAAUUUUUUGACAUGCCUUUAAGACUAACUAUUUCAUACAUAUAUAUAUGCCAGGACGGAGGCAGAUCUAAUUAAGAAUGUUGUCGAUCAUAUUUGGACAAAUUUGAAAUGUGAAUCAUCAUGUGAUUUAGAGGGCCUGGUUGGAAUUGAAAGCCACAUCGAGCAAAUUGAAUUGCUACUGGGCAUUCAUUCACAGGACGCUUGCAUCACUGUAGGUAUUUGGGGCAUGGGUGGUAUUGGCAAGACCACCCUUGCUGAAACUAUAUUUCACAGACUCUCUUCUAAAUUCGAAGCUUCUUGUUUUCUUAAAAAUGUCGGGGAGAAAUCAGAACCACCAGAUGGACUAGAUUGCUUGCAAAAUAAACUUCUGAGUGAGAUAUUAGGGGAAGAAGGUCUAUCCAUAGGAUCAACUGGUGUUCAAAAUAGGCUUAGUCGCACAAAGGUCCUCAUUGUUCUUGAUGAUGUGAGUAGUCCAAUGCAAAUGCAACUUUUAGCUGGUGAUCGUCUUCGGUAUGGCACUGGAAGUAGAAUCAUUAUCACAAGUAGAGAUAGGGACACACUUAGACAAACUGUUAAAGAGGAUAAUAUCUAUGAGGUUAAGGUAUUAAAACCAGAUGACGCUUUUCAGCUCUUCUGUUUGCAUGCUUUCAAGGAUAACACUACUCGUAGAACAGAUUAUGAGGAGUUGGCGAAAAAGACCGUGGAUUAUGCCAGACGCGUUCCUUUAGCUCUUACAGUUCUGGGGUCCUUGUUCUUCAGUUGCAACAGCAAAGAAGACUGGGAAGAUGAAUUCAACAAAUUGAAACAAUCUCCCAGUGAAGAUAUCCAGAAAGUGUUGAGAAUAAGUUAUGAUAGAUUGGGAAAAUAUGAGAAGGAGAUAUUUCUGGAUAUAGCAUGUUUUCAUAAAGGGAAGAAAGUGAAUGAGGUAAAGCGAAUGUUAGAUGUUCGUGGAUUCUUUCCGACAUCCGGAAUUAGAAUUCUCAUUGAUAGGUCUCUCAUAUCAAUUUAUUCAGAUAAAUGGAAAGGGGAAAUCAUAGAGAUGCACGAUUCGCUACAAGAAAUGGGAAUGACAAUUGUUCGGGAACAAUGUAUUAAAGAUCCUGGUAAACGGAAUAGGUUGUUCACGAAUGAGGAUGUCCAUCGUGUACUGAAAAGUAACACGGUAAGAGUUAAAUGCAUUCAAUUUUUUCUUUUAUUUUUUAAGAAAAAAUAAAUAGCAAACUUUAGAUGAUAACACAACAAAGUAAAACUCAUUUAUAAUAAAGAAGUCAGAUUCUUAAAAAAUUAAUUUGAAUGAAUUUUUAUUGAAAAAAUGUUAUUCUUAUUAUUUAUUUAUACCAUCAUUUGUACCUUCUCUCUAAUAAAGAUGGGACCCAAAUGCGUUGAUGGGUCCUAUGCUCUAUUAGAAAGAUGGUAGAAGUGAUGGUACAACUAGGUGGUAAGAGCCACUUGGUACUACGAAACUUGUGCGUCAUCACCAUCGCAAAUACUCUACAUUAUUCUAGAACUUUGUUGAAUUCUUUUUCCAAAUAAGCAUUACAUCUUACCAUGUUAAACUUUGUUCUUAUUGUCAGGAAACUCCAAUUGUUGAAGCCAUUGAACUUAGUACGUCGUAUGAGAGUGAAAAGCAACCAUUGAACUUCAAACUGAUGUCAAACCUAUUAAUGCUUAUUGGGCAUACUUUUGGAUUAUUAGACUACAAAUCGGCCGCUUCUCUAGACCUUCCCGAUUCUCUUCGUUACCUUUACUGGUGGGGAUAUUCACUGGAAUCUCUGCCGUCAAAUUUUUCCCCGGAAAAUCUAGUUGAGCUUCAUAUGCCAUGGAGCCGAGUUAAGAAGCUCUGGCAAGAAGACCAGGUAUAUUAUAUGCCUAUUCUAUUUCUUGUAUAAAAUUAAGUGUAGAAAUUAUAUGAAUUUUUGAUAUUUCUCUCUCCUCUUGUUACAGAGACUUGUGAACUUAGAAGUGAUCGAUCUGUUUCACUCUAUGUAUCUAACUGAAGUUCCAAAUCUCUCUGGGAGUCUAAAAAUUGUGAACAUAAAUCUCUUUGGCUGUGAAAGUUUGGUUGAAAUUCCUGGGUAUUUUCAAGAUCUUGACGAGCUUACUCAUCUUGAUCUUCAGGGAUGCAAAAGUCUCAAGUAUCUUCCAGAGAUGCCAAGAAAUAUUAAAUACCUGGAUUUAUCUGAGAGUGGUAUAAAGGAGUUGCCCCAAUCAGUUUGGUCUCAUGAAAAAAUUUCUUACUUGGGUAUAAGUUCGUGUGGAUACCUUGAGAAACUUCCAAGCAACAGGUGUAAGUUGAAAGUCUCUGGUUCAUUUUAUAUAAAUUCCUGCACAUCUCUUUCCGAGUUUUAUGAGCUUCCCAGGGAUAUAAAUGAAUUAUCAUUGGUUAGUUGCACGAGACUUGUGAGUCUACCAACCAACAUUUGUAAGUUGAAAUAUCUCAAGGGACUCAAUCUUUCCGGAUGCUUUAAACUUGAAAACUUCCCAGAGAUCUUGGAGCCAAUGGAACAUUUGAAGUCCUUAAAUUUAAGUGGAACAGCGGUUCAAGAGCUACACUCAUUAAUUGAGUUUCUCCCUGCUCUCAAAAGACUUAUACUAAAACGUUGCAAAAGGCUUUCAAGUAUGCCAAAGAGCAUUUGUAAGUUGAAAUAUCUCGAGGUACUCAAUCUCUCCAGCUGCUGUAAAUUUGAAGACUUACCAGAGAUCUUGGAGCCAAUGGAACAUUUGAAGUUUUUAAAUUUUAGAAAAACAGCGGUUCAAGAGCUACACUCAUUAAUUGAGUUUCUCCCUGCUCUCAAAAUACUUAACCUACAACGUUGCAAAAGGCUUUCAAGUAUCCCAAAGAGCAUUUGUAAGUUGAAAUAUCUUGAGGAACUCAACCUCUCUUGGUGCUCCAAACUUGAAAACUUCCCAGAGAUUUUGGAGCCAAUGGAACAUUUGAAGUCUUUAAAUUUAAGUGGAACAGCGGUUCAAGUGCUACACUCAUCAGUCGAGUUUCUCCCUGCUCUGAAAAUACUUAAACUACGAUUUUGUAGAAGCCUUUCAAGUAUCCCAAUGAGCAUUUGUAAGUUGAAAUAUCUCGAGGAACUCGAUCUCUCUUGGUGCUCCAAACUUGAAAACUUCCCAGAGAUCUUGGAGCCAAUGGAAGAUUUGCAGUGCUUAAAAUUAUGUGGAACAGUGGUUCAAGAGCUACACUUAUCAGUCAAGUUUCUCCCUGCGCUCCAAUGGAAUUCACUGUUCUCCGAGGCAAUGGAAGAUUUUAUGGAAGAUUUUUGGUAAGUGGAACAUCGGUUGAACAGCGGUUAAAAAGUCGUUUUUAAAACCACUGACAGAUGUAAGCAAGAUCAUAAAGUUAAAGGGUAGGGGAACUUAUAGCUUCCAAAAGUUAUGUUCGUGGUCAUACUAUAUAGGCGCAUAACUGUAACCAUGGACGGUGUUCAUGCCUGCACUAUCAGCUCGAAAUGUCAUAUGCAAUAACGUCAUGUUCUCUUUCAAUGUAAUGUGGCAUGAUGGAUGGGUAGUCAUUCUAUCAAUCAAGAUUGCACAUUCAGACAUGACUCGAUUUAAUUGUAUUUAUGGAUGUUUGUAUGUCAAUUGGCCAGCAAAAAAUUACUCCCAAUUACAAAUAAAAUUUUAUAUCUACAAAAUACCUAUGGCAUACUUAAGUUUUACAUCUAAAUACGAACACAUUAGGCAAAGGAUGAACAUCCAGCAGCAAAGCAUCUCGCAGAAAAAUAUGCUUGAUCUAGCCUGCCAUGUUGAGGAAUUCAAGCUAAAUGCCACCAACUAAAACAUUGUCAAUCAUCCACCACCCAAAAGAGGAAAAAUAAACAACUAUAAUUACACAAAGGCUAAAUAGCCAAAAUGGUCCUGAGAUUUGCAUAACUCAUCACUUUGGUCCCUAACAUUUCAAAUCAAUAAAAGUGGUCCUUGAAAUUGUCCACAAUCCAUCAUUUUGGUCAUUCCGUUAAAAAUUCCGUUAAGUGUCCGAAGCUCUUGGCCGGAAGUUUGGGCAAUUUUCAAAGCUUCGUAACUCAAUUGUUUCUUAACCAAAUUCGACUCAUAAUAUAUCAAAAUGAAGAUAGGAAAGUGUAGAUUAUACCUAUUUGGAAGCCCAAUGGCUACCGGAGAUGACCGGAAAAUAGCCUCAAAGUUGACUGGUCCAAGGGAAAACUGGAAAACUCGCCGGAAACUGGGUAAACUUUAAACGUUCAUAACUUCUUCAAUACUCAACGAAAUCAAGUGAUUCAAAAAUGAAAAUCAUACUUUUUGACUAGACGAAGAGAAUGGUACCUUUUUAGAUGGCUAAAUCGCCGUGGUUUGGCCGGAAAACGGCUCAAAAGUGGCUAACUCGAGACCAAGACAACCAUUUUCGAGCUGUUUUCCGGCCAAACCACAUCGAGUUAGCCCUCGAAAAAGGUAUCAUUCUCUUCGUCUCAUCGAGAAGUAUGAUUUUUAUUUCUGAAUCACUUGAUUUCGUUGAGUUUUGAAGAAGUUAUGAACGUUUAAAGUUUACCCAGUUUCUGGAGAGUUUUCCAGUUUUCCCUCGGACCAGUCAACUUUGAGGCUAUUUUCUGGCCAUCUCCGACAACCAUUGGGCUUCCAAAUUGGUAAUAUUAUUCUACAAUUUCCUAUCUUCAUUUUGAUAUAUUAUGGGUUGAAUUUGGUUAAGAAACGAUUGAGUUACGAAACUUUGAAAAUUGCCCAAACUUCCGGCCAAGAGUUCUGGGACACUUAACGGAGUUUUAACGGAAUGACCAAAAUGAUGGAUGGUGGACAAUCUCAGGGACCGCUUUUAUUGAUUUAAAUGUUAGGGACCAAAGUGAUGAGUUAUACAAAUCUCAGGGACCAUUUUGGCUAUUUAGCGUUACACAAAUAUAAUCAUACACACUACAAUAUACAUCCACUUAUACAUAUAAAUAUAUAUAUAUAUAUAUAUACACACACACACAAGCAUAUACAUAUAGAGAGAGUACCCAAUACCUAUUUGGGGGAGCCAAUGGUAAAUUUGAAGUUCUUAGAUUUAAGAGGAACAUCGAUUCAAGAGCUACAUCAAUCGAGUUUCUCCCCGCGCUCCAAAUAAUUCAAUGACAUGAUUGCAAAAGGCUUUCAAGUAUUCCAAAGAGCAUUUGUAAGUUGAAAUAUCUCGAGGAACUCGAUCUCUCUUCGUGCUCCGAACUUGAAAACUUCCUAGAGAUCUUGAAGCCAAUGGAACAUUUGAAGUUCUUAAAUUUAAUUGGAACAUUGAUUGAAGCGCUACACUCAUCAAUCGAGAUGAGCCUGAAGUCAAUGGAUCAAGUGAUUAAGCCUGAAGCAAAUGAAAGUGAUGAUCAUGGGUGUGCAGCCGGUGGAACAGGAGAUGAUUCCGACUUUUAAUCCAACAAUCUUAACAUCAUUAUCCGCUAGAGUUAGAAAAAACUUUACGGUAAAUUUUUACUUUGAGAGCUCACUUGUCCAAGAAGUAAGAUUGACAAAUAGGUAAGGCUUUUAUUAUUUUCGUAUUGUUUAUACAUUAUAAAGCACAAGUUAUGGAGAAGUGUGUAAUAUCCUAUAUGUUAUGUUUAAAACUUGAUUUAUAAGUCCAGCGGCAUCUUAAAAUUCGCCUUUAUAUCAUAAACUUAGACUUUAAUUAAUACGCCAUGCUCAAGGCAAAGUAAAAAUCUCACGAUCAAUCGCGAUAGUUUGAACAAUCGACACUACAAAAAUACGUGAUAGUUCGAUGGUUGAACUGAAAUGGGCGAAAAAUAUGGAUGGCCCAAUUGGACUAACACCGGCUAAACUCAGUGUUCUUGUUUGAACCACACAAAGAUCAGCAAAACAAAUUUUAUUAGAGCGGGUAAAAGAAUUACAGCACAUUAAGGCUGAGAAACGAAGCCCCAGUUUAAUAAUACAAUUAUCAAAUUUGUAACAACGAUAAAACUAUAGGGGUCUUCGCUUCAAUAGGACUAGGAACAUUCCAAAGUUAAGGAGAAAAAUUAUACGUCGCGCAACAAGCUAAAGGAAAAAAAGAAUGAAGAAAAAGAGAGAUGCAUACACAAAGAAAUGAAAAACAAAAUUUCCAAGUACCUUUUAUCGGCUUCGGUGGCUUCCUUGAACUUUGAGUUCUGUGAGUUAACCUCCUCUGUACUCAGUUCAUUUACAAGAUGUUUCUCCAGUGAUGGUACUCUGGGUUUCUGCUAAUUGGCCUGCCGCUUUUCCUCAGCAUGAGAAUGAGCAACUGGCUUUGGUGGCCGUCCUCCCGCUGGGGGUGCCAUGUGCCAAGCACCAGGCCCAGGCAUCAGUUGCUGUUGAAAGCCUUUUAAAGUGAAAAAUAAGAGAUUAUUCUCCACCAAAGAAAGACAUGGUUUCAAAAAAUAAAAAGUGAUUUGUUUUAUGGAUGAAUACCAGAUGCAAGUCUCCGGGCUACAUUGCCAGCAUUAGAGUAAUUAUUUGCAAGUUGAAAAUUAUUGGAUACAUCAAACAUAACAUUGCUUGGUAGCACUGCUGGAAGAGGGCUUUCCUCCCUAAACCGCUUCAUCAAAUAUAGUGCAACACAAAACUCACUGACAGAAAGUAUGUUAUCGUUAUCCUGAUUGAAUAAAUCUCACGCCUGCUUUAAAAGGUUUUUUUUAGCCAAAAUGGUCUAUAAGAUUAUCAUACUCCUCAGUUUGGUAUCUGAGAUUUAAAAUCAAUAAAAGUGAUAUCUAAGUUUGUCCAUCAUAAAUCAUUUUGAUCAUUCCGUAAAAGAUUUCCUUUAAAUAAGGACAAAAUGACAAAAAUACUCUCAAUUUUUGAAAAAUCAUUUUGGCCCAUUGUUUAUUAAGUUGGGGGUAUUUAUGUCAUUUUGGUAUUUAUUUAAUAGAAUCCUUCACAUAAUGACCAAAAUAAUUGGCCAUGGACAAACUUAGGGACCACUCCUAUUGAUUUCAAAUCUCAGAUACCAAAGUAAGGAAUUAUGUAAAUUUCAUGGACUAUUUUGGCUAAAAAGUCGCUUUAAAACCACGGACGGAUGUAAACAAGAUCAAAAAGUUAAAAUAGUAGGGGAACUUUUAGCUUCCAAAAGUUAUGUUCGUGGUCAUACUAUAUAGGCGCAUAACUGUAUGAGCAUUUAACACACUCUGAAAUUCAUAUAAAAUAACGGAUUUGGAUCCUCUCCUGAGCUAAUGGAGAGGAUCCUCUUGACCAAUCAUUUUGGGCCGUUGGAUUUUUAUCCAACGACUACAAAUAAGAGGUUCUUUUAAAAUUAUAAUAAUUAUAAUAAAAGAUCAUUUUAAAAUUAUAAUAAUUAUAGCCGUUGAAUAAAAAUCCAACGAUCUACGAUGAUUGGUCAAGAGGAUCCUCUCCAUUAGCUCAGGAGAGGAUCCAAAUCCUAAAAUAACGACAUGUUCUCUUUCAAGAUAAUGGGGCAUGAUGGGUAGUCAUUCUAUCCUAGACUGCACAUUCAGACGUGACUCAAUUUGAUAUUAUUUAUGGAUGUUUGUAUGUCAAUUGGCCCACAAAAAAUUACUCCCAAUUACAAAUAAAAUUUUACAUCUACAAAAUAUAUAUUGCAUAUGUGAGUUUUCACAUCAAAAUACGAUAUAUUAUAUAUACAUCCAUCUGCAUGGAAUUUAGAACACAAAAAAAUCAAACUCUCUUCUACAAUCUUAAACCUUCUUACUGAGAGAAGCAUAAAGAAUGUGCCAGAAGUCUAGUUUUUCGGUGAUGAAAUCUCGACUUAGAUCAUUAAAUCCUGGUGAAGCAGACAUCCGUAGAAUUACAACCACAUAGUAGGGACGGAAUUCUAUUUCAAGGACAUUACGGUACGUAAGCCUCGAUCCUUAAUUUGUCUGUUUAAUAUUAUUUCGUUUUGUUCAUACUCUGUUAAAUUAUUUGUUCGCAUUUAUUAUUUAUUGGCAUAUAUAAAUUUAUCAUUAAUUGUUAAUAUUUAUCCAACAAUCUUAACUGUGACAACCCGUCCCAAAUUUUAUUAAUUUGUAAAUGUUAAAAUGUGAAAUUACGAAAAUGCCCUAGAGACGAAGGUUUUGACUCUCAUUGACUAGCGUGUUAUGAGAUGUACUAAAUAUUCUUUUAGCGUAUUCUUGAGGUAAUUGACGAUACGAACGAGUAUGUGCAAGCGGAAGUGAAUUUGGAAUGACAAACCAAAAGUAUUUUGAAGAAAUAACAUUUCUAAUUAUAUUAUAUUAUGACAUACUAAUUAAGAGGACAAGUGUAUGUGUGUGAGUGGGUGUGUGUGUGUAUGAUGGGAAAAGGGGAAGAAAAAAAGAAAAAGAAGAAGAAGAACAAGAAGAAGAGAGAAAGAAGAAGGGCUGCUGCCCAACCAGAAAGAAGAGAGAAUUGAGGGACCAAUCAGAGGGAGAAGAAAGGAGGGAAAUGAGGGAGAGUGAGGAACAGGGGAAAAAGGGGGAAAUGGGUAACCAACCCGUGACCAGUGCAAAACCGUCCACUUCUUCAUAUUUUUUGGGUGGUUUUCCAUCGGAUUUCUCACGAAUUGGACCAAGUCAUCACUCCCAAUCAUCAUCUAACCCUCCAUUUUUCCCAUUAUCACCCAAAAUUGGAAGGAAUUUGAGGGUAAUUGAAGGGUUUUUCAAGGGAGUGCGCCAGAGGUGGGGUGGUGGCAAUCCACCAUUUAUGAAGCAAAUCCCAUCAACCACCACCACCAUUAGACCCCCCUUGAAACCAGGAACAAAGCCCAGGCAGUGAUGGAGGCAUUGGAACAAGUUUGGAGGUCGAAUCGAACACACCAAAAAUCUAGGGUUCCGGCGGGUUUGAGCAAAAUUGGAGCUUUUCCCGGCCAAAUUGGCCUUGGCUGCAGGUGCCGAUCGUUUGUGACGCCUUGAUGUUCGUGCUAGGAAGUUGUAGCGCGGACUCCAGGUGAGUGGAUCUUUCCUUGCUCAUCUUAUGUUUCAUGAUUGAUAAUUCUAUAAAUGCUUUUAAAUAAAACUGAGAAACUUAUGCCAUGACAUAUAUGUAUUUAUAUGUUAUAAAAUACUAUGAGAUGGUUGAGUUAGAUUUCAUCGUGAUAUAUCCAGAUGUGUAUUACUAUAAAUGAUUAAUACGAACUACGAAUGUCUUGAUCCCUGUUUAGGGUACGUAGGCAGUCUAACAAGACGUUAGGUGCAGCCAUAUAAUAAAUGAGAAUGAAUAAUCGAGACAAUAGUCUAGUUUGGGAAAUUGAGUAGUUUGAGGGACAUUGGUGGAAAGAGUAUAAGAGUUAACCCUAUGUUUUAGUUUUUUAAAUGUUGAUUAUAAAUCAUUGCGUGAAUAAUCAAGAAAAUAAAUAGUUUGGGAAUGGGGCACUACAGUUUAGACAUUCUAGACCAAUUGUUUAUAUGUUUAUAUGUCUGGAAAUAUUAUGAAAUGUUUUAAGAUUAGAUUUCAUCAUGGCAUAUCCAUACGUAUAUUCCUUGCACAUAAUUAUUGUGAAUGCUCUGAAGUGCAAAGGUAAAUGCAGGACACACAGGUAAGUUCAGGUAAGUUUAGGUAAGUUCAAGUAAGUAUACGGUAUUAGUUAAACUGAUAAGAUAUGUGAUGAGAUAUGAAUAUGUCGUAUAGGUCACUAGAGGUGACUCCGACUUGUAUGCUAGCCAUGAUUGCUAAGAUAUGUAAUGAGAUAUGAAUAUGUCGUAUAGGUCACUAGAGGUGACUUCGACUAUGUGAUGAGAUAUGAAUAUGUCGUAUAGGUCACUAGAGGUGACUUCGACUUAUAUGCUAGCCAUGAUUGCUGAGAUAUGUGAUGAGAUAUGAAUAUGUCGUAUAGGUCACUAGAGGUGACUCUGACUUAUAUGCUAGCCUAUAUGUGAUGGAAUGCUAGCAUAUAUAAUGAAUAUACAUGAUGAUCUAGCAUAUGUGGUGAAUACGUGAUAAGCUAGCAGACAUGAUGAAUAUGCGAUACGUUAGCAUAUGAUUAUAAAUAUGUGAAGCAUGACUUGAAUUUAUAUAUGUGUGUGUGUGUGUGUGUGUGUGUGUGUGUGUGUGUGUAUAGAUAUAUGUAUAUUUUUGUAUUUUAAUUCUAGAAAUUAUACAGGGAUUGUAGCGAGGGGUUAUAGAAAUUUAUAUGGUUUCUAUUAAAAUUUUAUCUACUGGGUCACUCACCUUUGUCUUGUCUUCACCCUCUAGGUCUUCUUAGCUGUGUUUUCUUAUCGUCGAAGGUUCGUGGCGAUCCUUGGUACUGGAAAUUAUUUCCAGGGUAUGAUUCCCAAUUCACUCUUCUGUACUUACUUAUGCUCUAACAUCACGUGUGCAAUGGGUUAUUCCCGCUCACUAGUGCACUCUAGUAUUUAGGCACUCUUAGGUUUAAAUUUAUUCACAAUUUUUCCACAUCAUCAUACUUUAUGGCUUCGUCACAUUCCAGGUGUCGGCCAACACGGCUCGAUUCGGAGUCUUAGUGGAUAUUCCGGGUCAGGGUGUGUCAUAUUUUGAACGUGUUUAAAAAUAGAGAAAAUAAUAUUUAAUAAACAACUAUUGAAUCACAUUAUUUCUAUCCCAUUAUGAGGUUAAGCUCACCCCCUCCCCCUUAGUGUAUAUAAUAUCGUUUGAUAAAAAAAAAAUCAUUUGACAACUAAUUUAAUCACAUUAUUAUCCGCGUGUGAAAGACCUUUUUUUAUAACUGGCAUUACACGCCUCUUAAGAUGUUUUGAACGUGUUUAAAAAUUGAGAAAAUAAUAUUUAAUACAUAACUGAUUGAAUCACAUUAUUACUAACUCAUUACGAGGUUAAGCCCACUCCCUUUCCCUUAGUGUAGAUAAUAUCGUUUGUUAAAAAAAAUCAUUUGACAACUAAUUUAAUCACAUUAUUAUCCGCGUACGAAAGACUUUUUUUAUAAUCGGCAUCACACGCCUCUUAAGAUGUUUUAAACGUGUUUAAAAUAGAGAAAAUAAUAUUUAAUAAACAACUGAUUGAAUCACAUUAUUUCUAGCCCAUUAUGAGGGUAAGCCCAACCCCCUCCCCCUCCCCUUUAGUGUAGAUAAUAUCGUUUGUUAAAAAAAAAAAUUUUGACAACUAAUUCAAUCACAUUAUUAUCCUCCUCCGAAUGACUUUUUUUAUAACCGGCAUUACAUGCCUCAUAAGAUGUUUUGAACGUGUUUAAAAAUAGAGAAAUUGAAUCACAUUAUUGUUAGCCUAUUGUGAGGCACUAAUUAAAAAAAACAAACAAACAAACCACAAAAACAUUAAUUAUUAAAAAAAUACUAUUAAAAUGACAAAAAUACCCCUCAAUCUUAAUGUAGAUAUUAUCGUUUAUUAAAAAAAAAAAGUUCAUUUGACAAUUAAUUUAAUCACAUUAUUAUCCGUGUGCGAAAGACCUUUUUUAUAACCGGCAUUACACGCCUCUUAAGAUGUUUUAAAUGUGUUUAAAAAUAGAUAAAAUAAUAUUUAAUAAAUAACUAAUUGAAUCACAUUAUUGCUAGCCCAUUGUGAGGCUAAGCUCACCCCCUCCUCCUUGGUGUAGAUAAUAUCGUUUGUUAAAAAAAAAACAAUCAUUUGAUAACUUAUUUAAUCACAUUGUUAUCCACGUGUGAAAAACCUUUUUUAUAACCAACAUUACACGCCUCUUAAAAUGUUUUGAAUGUGUUUAAAAAUAAAGAAAUUGAAUCACAUUAUUGCUAACUUAUUAUGAGAUACUAAUUAAAAAGAGAACCAAAAAGUAAAUUAUUAAAGAAAUGCUAUUAAAAUGACGAAAAUGCCCCUACCUUAUUUGAUGUAUUAUUUUGGAAUGCCUUUGAAGUUUUUUGUUUUGGGGGCCUUUUUGUUGAAGCAUGGUGACACCAAAUCAUUGUUCACCUUUUCCAUUCUCUUUAUAUAUAAUAGAUUAGUGCCUUAUAAUACUCUUAGCUCCCAUGCCCACUAAUUUGUCUUGAAGGACCCAUUUACCGGUCUCUUCAUAUGUGAUAUCCACAUAUUCUUUUUAUUUCUCAUACACCUCUUAUUAAUUUUUAUCAUUUGAUCUUCUUCAAUUCAUCCGAGUCCUUGUUGGUAGACGUCAUCUCAUCAACCUUCUCGGCGAAGUGAGAUGUUACCUGGUUAUUAAGCUCGGCACAUUGAAAGCCAAGUUCUAUUUUAUAAUUGGAUAUUCGCAAGUACAUUUUAGAGUUCGGCAUUCUGACGGCUAAACCAUAUUUACAAUCAAGACAUUUAUCUAUUUCGAGUAUUUAUGUCCAUACAGUCUAGUACCAGUUCGGCGUACUUAUACUUUCAUGAAUAUAAUUAUCGAGACCGAACCCGGCACUGACGCCCCAACCUCUGGAAGACGUUCCUAGACGUUUCCUUCUCAGUUGCCCGCAUGAUGCUCAUGCGGUUCUCAUGUUCUUCCAUCUCCCUUCUCUUGAUCAGUUCCUGAUCAAUAAGGGUUUCUGCUGCUAGUACCUUUAGCUCGCAUUCACAUUGACACCUAUUGGCUUCUCGGGCAGCUUGAUAGCUCUUUCAGUUGGCUUAUCGAUUAGCCUCAUUUCUGCCUUAACCUCCAACGUGGCCCUUCAUUUUCCUUUCUCUACCCAUGUUAAGUUGAUCAUGUUUAUUGGGGCUUGUAGAAAAUGAUCAUCAUCAAUCUUUAUAUUAGCAUGUGGUUCUUCUAGUAACCGCUUUAUUUAUGGCCAGCACUGCCCUCUGCUAUCUAAUGAAAAUAACAAGGGGUUUGGCAACUCUGGUUCUCUAAUUUCCUUCAACACUGGAUAAUACACUUCGGAUCCUUCAUCGUUCUUUUCUUUAUUCCUCAUUUCCUUGAACACAGGAAAUAAAGGAAUAAUUGGCUCCUCCAUAGGGCUGGCUUUUUUCCUCAUCUCUCUAACACGAUCAUUUUAUGGGGUAGAGUACUCCAAAUCUAGUCUUUUUUGCAGACUCCUUGUUAUGGAACAUAGUAGUUUACUUACUUCCCCCUUGUUUCUAGAGAGAUUUUCUCCAUGCUCCUUAUGACAGUUAUCAUAGUGGCCUGCAUGUCUUCAUUUGUGACCUUCCCUCUUAUUUCUCAGAAGGAGUCGGGCUUUCUACUAAGACUGGUCCUUGCAAGUUUUCGGGAAGAUUUGCCAUAUUUGAUUAUGGUAUGUACUGGAGUGGCUUUUGUUUCGCUCCCCACUUGAAGGUUUGUUCUUUCCUUUGUCUUUUUGGUAUACAAGAUUUGUGAUCCCACUAGGCAUGCCAAAACUAUAUUUGGGCAGGAAUUUCGCUAGGAAUGGUCCCUGGCUCGAGCACACAGCUCCCCGAGGAGUUGCACUUUGGUUGGUUGUUGGGCUCCUGCUUGUCGAGAUACUGCAAGAGGAGAACACAGUUAGUUCUGAAAUGUGCCUUUGUGGGGCCUUAGGUGUAGGCCUUGAGGCUCACAAUCAAAACUAACUGAGUGCAAAGGCAUGCCACUGCCAUCUCAAUAUGGCAGAUGUCUAACAAGUGUAUUUAAGUCGAUUACUUGUGUCCCAAGUUAUUCUGACUUCUUGUUAUCAAAGGAUUGUCGUAUAUGGGUUAAGUCUACAUUAAGUUUUUUUCUAUGCCUUGAGAUCAAGGGCUUUUAGUUCAUUAUCUUGUAUGCUUAAUGUGAAAUCCCGUCCCUGAAAUUUCACUAUUCAUUAUGUAUCUCGUAAUUUAAGUUCGUAUUUCACGUUUACGUCAUUUUUAUUACUUAAUUUUAAUUUCGUAAAUUUUAGGAAUUAAAUCGAAUAGUUAUCGGGUUUGAAUUUUCGUAUUCAAUCUUUAUCUUUAGUUGACUUUUCGAAGUUUUAACUAGUGUUUUUAAAUACAUCUCGAACCCACGAACGCAUAGUCAAAAGCCGUUUGCGAGUCCGAGUUAUAACGGUAUAGUUGCGGACGUUUGAAGUUGUGAACUAAAGAUUGUGGGAAUUAUCCACAUGUGGGUUAAAAGUUAAGUUAGUUUUAAAAGGGGAAGGUUGGGAGAACUAUCGAGAAGAAUGGGGAGAGAAAAGCAGAAGCUGCCAUUGGGGAAAAAAAAAAGAAAAACGGAGGGAGAGAGGAGAAGAACCCUCGAUACCGUCGACUCUGAUUCAGCGUUUCAAGGAGAACAUCUUCUUCCACGUUAGUUUCUCUUACAUGCCCAUCUCUCAGUUUUGUAAUUCUUCGAUUUUUUUUCUUUCUUUUUUGGUAUUGAUCUUUUACGAUGACCCAGCAGUGUUGGAUUCCUAUUGGAUCAAAUCAAAUCCCCAAUUCCAAACCCAAUUCGAUAACUUUGUGAAUUUUUAUUGGUUUUAGAUUGGUUUGCUUCCUCUAUAAUACCCAUAUCUCAAAUUGUGGUUUUAUGUGAUUUUUGAUGGGUUUGGAAGCUGAAUAUUUUUAACAAGAGUAUGAAUAGUGGCAUGCUACUAUAGUUUUCGUCGGGAAUAAAGUUCUAAUGAAAAUUCAUGUGGUGGUGGGUGUUAGGUGUAAAUGUACAAAGUGUAGAAGAGAUGGCAGUUCAAUGUUUAGCUAAAAUGUGAUUUUCGAUCCUCAAAUCGUAGAUUAUUCAGUUUUGAUGUUUAGUUUGUGGAUAAAUAGCCGAGAUGUUGUGAAGCAUUCUAUAUUUUUGUGCCUGAAAUAUAAAUGGGUAGCUUCCCCUUGAGGCCACAUUUUCGUUAACAUACUUUGGUGUGUUGGGUGUUAGCUUCUGGUAAUUUGCUACUUCGGUUCUCAAAAGCUGUAUGUUUUGUCAAGUUCUGUGAAUCUGCUAAACAAAAUUAUGUUUUGCCUAACAUAUUCUUUAAUCAAUAGAGAAGUCAAAGAAUAGUAGAAUAUUGUCUUUCCUUUGAAUCUUUGUGAAUAAGAGUAGGAAUGAUGGUAUGGUAUUAUGGGUCUCGGGAUGCAUUUUUGUUAUGGAAUUUGUGAAGUUCGAUUACUUUGUCAAAUUUGGAUUUUGGGCCAAUAUUACGGUUUUCUUAAUUGAUUGUGCUUAAGUUGAUGCAUCAUGUUUGAUAUAUAAUAUGUUCGGAAAUUAAUCUUUAGCCUUAGGAAGUGUGUGUUAUGAUUAGGAUGGUGAUAUCGUCUGCCCACAAGACUAUGAAUGAGUGCGUCAUGUCUUCUCUGUAGAUUUGUUAGGAUCUUAUGUCUUGAAACUUUGUUUGGAUUCCGUUGAGUGAUGGUCUGGAAUCGUAUCCUAAUUUGGAUUCCGUUGAGUGAUGGUCCGGAAUCGUAUCCUAAUUUGGAUUCCGUUGAGUGAUGGUCCGGAAUCCCUUCUAUUAUGCGCUUCCGUUGAGUGAUGGUCCGGAAUCGUAUCGUAGUUUGGAUUCUGUUGAGUGAUGGUCCAGAAUUCCUUCUACUCCGUGAUUCCGUUGAGUGAUAGUCCGGAAUCGUAUCCUGGGAUUCUUAUACUCUGUGAUUCCGUUGAGUGAUGGUCCGGAAUCGUAUCCUAGUUUGGAUUCUGUUGAGUGAUGGUUCAGAAUCCCCUUUGGUGUCUUGGUUCCGUUGAGAGGUCCGAAAUCCCUACUUCAGAGAAGUAGGCUUGGCCUAACGGUGUCAAUCUAGCCUUAAUUUUAUAUAUAUUUGUGACAAUAGUUUUGAGAAUCUUGUGAAUUGAGUUAGAAAAGAUGUUGGACGUCUGGGUUACUCUUUCAGGAUUCUCUACGAUUCGAUUAUGAUUUCAUCAAGUAUGAAUUUAGAAAAUAUGGGAAUGAUUGUUAUUAUUUUGAUCAGAUUAAUUAUUUAAUGUGGCUAGAGAAUGGUUACAUGUUUCGUCGGUUCUUAAAUAUGACUUAUGUUGUGAUUGGCGAUGUGAUGAGACAUAAUGGUUUAUAUGUUGGAUGAAAGAGAAAUCAUGAUUUUCAUGGGGGGUUUGUUAUGUAGCUUAAGUCCAGGAAUUUCAUGUUGUCAGGUUAUUAUAAAUGAUGGAGGAAUGCUAUACUUUUCUUGCUUGAACUGGGUGUGAUAAACAUUUGAUUUUGUGAGUGUUGAACUACGAAUGGCUUGAUCUCUAAUGAGGGUACGUAGGCAGUCUAACGAAGUGGUUAGAUGCAGCCAGAGUGUACAAAAAAUUAUUACGUAGUUGGAUCUUGAGUUAUGCCUUGUACAUAUAUUGGAGGCGGGAUCUGUUAAAUACGGAUGCUGGAUGACGUCACGCGUCAAUCCUGGACGUAUGUUGAGUUCGGGGCGUGACACUUAAAGGGUGAAGGUCCAGAUUUGAUCAAACCAUCAGUUUAAUUCCCAUUUAGUCUUCUUAUGACAAUAAAACCACUAAAUGAACCAGAUAUGAGAAUUGAUGGAACUUUGAAUCAUCAAAAGACUGGAAACCACUUGAAUAUAUGCUAGGGAAUGCAUCAUAACACCAGAUCUAUUAAUCAAAAGACAAGACAAAGAGAGUUGGGCAAGGUUAAACGUCUCGCAGUCUCUUCUCUUUGUAGUUACAGAAGGUUGGGAGCUAAAUAGGGAUGAAUGGUAAACAAGUUUACAUGAGAGAAUUGAUACUACAACAUUUGGAAAAGGUAGUAGAGCUUUUACAAUAGACAAAAGAUGUAUUUCUAAGGGGGAUCUACGGCUAAAAGGAUGCAGAAUCUGGGCAAAGCGCAGCUUUCUAGGUAUUUGCUUGACUGAGAGACAAGUUGUAUGUUUGUUUGUUUGAUUGGUUGAGUGUCCUUGUCUCUGGGCCCUCUUCCCCCUUUUAUAGGCGAAUUAACCCGACAGUAGCGUUUCUACUCUUGCCCGAAAGCAGCUAGGGGUGAUGGGUCAUCAACAUUUUAUUUACAUGUUCUGCCAUUCAGAAAGUGCCUUUGAGCCGGGAGUAGGUUGAUUUCCAUCGGUUGUCACUUCCCUUGUAAGCUCUAAGCCCUUGCAUUAAUGGAGAACCGCCAUUUUGUCUUGAGAUGGAUGAUCUGGGCUUGGUGUUGGGCCUCGGGCAAAUCUCCUUCCUUGAGCUCUUUUGGGCUUCUCCUUCUUUAAGCUCAAAGUUUAAAUAUUAACCCAAACAAAACCAAGAAGGGAAAACGGUAAUUUCCCUACCCCCACUCCCACUCCUACUCCCACUUCCGAAUCGAAGAUCCGCACUCUCUCUCUCUUUCUCACUCUCUCCCUCUGGCAAGAAACAUGGUUGUCCCUCUCUGUCUGAUCUAGAAUCCCCUAACGAUCAAUCCCAAUCCGUCCCAAAAUUAAGAUGACAAAAGUGCCCUGCAGCCCUUCAAUUUCAGUUGCGUGAUUUAACCCGAGGUAGAUAUUUCCGUCAUUUUAACACCCUAAGGGCCGGGCUUAUUAAGAAUGUAAGAAAGGUCAUCAAACACAUGAUGGGCGGCCCAAAACAAAGUAACCAUACUAACCCACCCAACCCUAGUUUGAUGGCAGUGGCAUAAAUAAAGUAAAAUCAAGUGGCAAACAAUUGACUGUGGUUAAGCUACAAUCAAUUCGCUCCUCAACUUUAGAGUAGAUAAUGACAUGCAACGCUGCGCCUUUUUUCUUCUCCAUCUUUUAAUUUGGUCAAAACAAAAACUUGGAUGAAUCAUGGCUUGUUUAUAUAAAUUAAGAGUGGGUUUCUAAAUGCUUCUGUGAGUUUCUAUACGUCAAAUAGGGAUCAAUGUAGUUUCAAGUUGCAAUGCAAAGAAUUGAAGGACUCUGGUGAUCAAGUUGGACCUGGAUAAAUUGUAGAAGAAAGUUAUUUGUGUUACAUCUUCAUAUCAUGCAUCAUUAUUCUUUGUAGAAAAUCGUAGAUACAUUACCUACGAGUCUACGACAUAGGUCAUAGCCCGAAUGAAAAAGUGAGCCUUAACAUUAUAACAUAUGGGCUUCUACAAGACCAAAUUUUAAUCUUCCGGAGUGUCAAAGAUGACAGCUAUGGGGGUAGUAACAUUAUGCUUAUCAGAAAACCAUCUCAAGUAUCCCUGACCAUAUGGUACACCAUCUUUCCCAGCACCGUCUUGUGCGAUAAAAUCUACACGGUAUGUAAUAUCCUGGUUAACCUUUGUGAAUGUAAGAACCUGCGGAUUCACACUCAUCCCCAUUUGGUGUGGUACGAAAAGAUCCAAGUUGUAAGUUGAAGUAGCCGGGCCGACGUUCUUCACAGUCCUUGUAUAGUACUGGGACUGAGUCUGAUUGGGACCUGCUUUAAUAGAAAAUGAAGGGUAGUUGAGCUGUGCUUCUGGUAUUACUCCAACUUCCGAGCAUUUAACAGUUUGUUGGGUGAUGAUCUUAAUCGCUGUUUCAUUGUAAUUCAAACCGCACAAGUAAGGAAAGUAAUCCUCUGGUUUUAUGUCGAAGAUGAGCCCUGGGUCAUUUGCCUUUGCAGGGUUGACCUGGCCAGCACCAAUUGCAAAGACGUCCACGGGGAAAAGCCCUUGGUCAAUGAUGGGCUUGCCUGCGAGGUUUAGUACAUCAGCGGUUGUCAUGAUGGCAGAUUUAAUAGCAGCUGGAGACCAAUCAGGGUGUGAUUUCUUGAUCAAAGCCGCAAUGCCGCUUAGGUGAGGAGUUGCCAUCGAGGUGCCUGAAAUUAUGUUAAAUGUUGCCUUAGGAUUAGGAAGUGUGGCAUUGUCCACUGAUUCAGGCCAUGCUGCUAGGAUGUCAACGCCAGGUCCAAUGAUAUCAGGUUUCAAAAUUCCAGGGCUUGAUCUGCUUGGUCCUCGUGAAGAAAAGUGAGCGACCUUGGGAGCAAGUGCAUCUCCAAUUAUACUGCCAUAGGUGUUGAGCUUCUCAUCUUCCGAUUUAAGUAUUCUGUCAGUGGUACUUGCUCCAACUGUGAGAAUCCAUGGGGCCUCAUUCGAUAAAGAUUUAUAGCGAUUUCCUGCUCCUGAAUUUCCAGCCGCACAGCUGAAAAAUACUCCUUUUUUAAUUGCUGCAAAUGCACCGAUUGCAAUCACAUCAUCGUAGAAAGGAAGUGAGGGGCCUCCAAGUGAAAGGGAAAGCACGUCCAAGCCAUCUUCAACAGCGGCAUCAAGACCAGCUAAGAUAUCGCCUUCGCUACAACCAUCGUCAUAACAGACUUUGUACAUUGCCAAGUGAGCGUAAGGUGCCAUGCCAACAGCCGUACCAUUGGCCUCUCCAAACACGCUGGCACCUUCCACAAAAUUUCCAGCAGCGGUGCUAGAAGUGUGGGUGCCAUGGCCAACGAGAUCAAAUGGAUUUCCUGUAAUAUUCCCUUCUUCUGCACCUACGAAAUUUUGUGCACCAAUGAGCUUGUUGUUGCACACUGUUCCAUUGAAGUCGCACUUGCCCUUCCAUUUAGCAGGAGGAGGGGAUACUCCUUCGUCACUGAAUGAAGGAUGAUCGGGUCCAAUGCCUGUAUCCAAGAGUCCUAUUAUUACACCUUCACCGUAAUUUGCUUGUUUCCAUAGUCCAUAUCCUUGGUGUAACCCCAAGAAGUCAGGACUAUGAGUAGUUAGCAAAGGAACCGUUUUCUCAAGAUGAGCUGACAAAAACCCUUCUUUGUUUUCCAUUGCUUUCACUUCCUCUGGUGUCAGUUUAGCUGCAAAUCCAGUGACAGCACUGCGGUAUGCAUGAACGAUCCUCUGCUGGUUUAAGUUCGCUGUAGUAUCAGGCAAAAAUGACUGGUACCAACUGUCUAAAUCUGAUUCUUCAGAAAAUUUCGAGGAGGCCGGCUUUUCAAGAAAAACAAUGUAAGUUUGGAGGGUAUUUUGCUCCUCUUGUGCAACUGCCUUUGAUAAGUAAAACAUGACCAGAGUAAAACCAAGAAGAUAUAUGACAUGCAUUGCUGCACCUUUCUUGUUCUCCAUCUUUUAUUUUGGUUGAAAGAACUUGGAAGUAAAAAAGAUGAGUGUUAGUCUACCAUUUAAGUACGUAUUUAUAUAUUUGAUAAUUGUGAUUAGUAGAGAUAAAAAAUGUGCUGGACUUAGUAAUGCUCGCAGGUGGUGGCGAUAGAGCUUAUGCGACUGUUCUUUCAUAGUGCGUUGCCAACUGGUUUAUCAUUCUUGUUAAAACCUUAAGGAUCCUUUCAAUAAUAAUUUGGUAGAUAAAAACAUGAUAACCUCGAACAAAUAAAGUUGCAAAAAUUCAUUCUUGAGAAGCAUUCUAGCUGGUAUAAAUGUAUUGUUUCCAAAUAUUAAAUUCAAAUCUGGACUUAGUAAUGCUCGCAGGCGGUGGCGAUAGAGCUUAUGCGACUGUUCUUUCAUAGUGCGUUGCCAACUGAUUUAUCAUUCUUGUUAAAACCUUAAGGAUCCUUUCAAUAAUAAUUUGGUAGAUAAAAACAUGAUAACCUCGAACAAAGACAGUUGCAAAAAUUCAUUCUUGAGAAGCAUUCUAGCUGGUAUAAAUGUAUUGUUUCCAAAUAUUAAAUUCAAAUCUGGUUAUUGACUGACACACCAUCUUUAUCCUUCUACACAACUUUGUUUAUUUUUGGUCAUUGGAUUAAAUGAAUCAUACUAAAAAAAAUUAACAAAAUUAAACAGAAGUGUGUAGGAAGUGAAAAAAUGUUUGGUCAUUUGUCCCUAUUUAUAUAUUGAGUGGGUAAUUACAUGUUUCAUGGCGCCAUUUUCUCUCGUUUACAAGGAUUAACGAUUAAGCAAUGAAAUCUUAUUAACCAAGCAUAUAAAGUGGCGUCAAAGUCCACAUUACUUUAGUCUAAAGAAGGCUUUUCAAUUGCACUGUACAAAUGAAUAGUCUUUGGAGCUGAAUUUCAUUUUAUUUACGAGGCUGCCACUGACUCUUUCUGCCGUUGAUCUUCAUGUCGCGUGUUGAUGAUCGUGGAAAGGCAGGGGUGCGAUGGUCAGUUUGGUCUGUAGGGUUUCGAACGGGUUGGGUGGGUUAGAGACUUUCAUUUCCUUUCUUUCUGAGCUAUAGUGGGACUCGGUGAGACCAUGUCGUCGGGAGAGAGAGACCGAGCGAGCAGAGAGAGAAGAGAGACACGGAGGGAGAGAGAUAGGGAUUUGGUGAUAGGAAGGCAUGCGGCUUGCAGGCAGACAGAGUCACUGGGGGUGUACGAUUCGAAGGAGAGAAAGAAAGGGGAUUGAGUGGUGAUGCUUGAUUUGGGAAGAGAAAGAGAGAGAGAGGGAGAGCGCAAUUUUGGGGUUAGGCGACGGCGGGAGAGAGGGCCAGGGUUGUUGCAUCUGUGUCACUCAAAGUGGGUUGCGAGAGAGUGAGAGUGCUGCGUUCUAGGGUUUGAGAGUUGGUUUCGAGAAAGUGAGGAGGCCAGAGUUGGGGUAAGGCUUGGGCUGGGUUUAUGGAAUGGGGGAGGAGGGUGUGGAAUGUCAUGGAGAGGAAGGGAGAGGGAGGUCUGCCAAAAAACGUGGGUUGCAGAGCUACAACGAGGGAGAUGGGCGUGGAUUGGCAGGGAGGGGAAGGGAGAGGGAGGAGUGAGGCUUGCUAAAAAGAGUGUUGGAUUGAUUUUUCCUCCUCAAAUCAAGGGUUGGUGUCGGGAUUGAGGAGUGGGUCCAAAAUGGGUAUGGUUGUGAGGGAAAGAGGGAUGGCAGAGACAGAGGUGAUGGAGUUGGGCGUGGGAAUUCCACAAAUCAAGGGCUGCUGUCAAUGGGUGUUAAUAUCAGCAAUGACAUGAUUGGGAUGUGAGUUCUCUCAACCUUUUGAUUAAUUUUUUUUAUAUUUUGGCUUUUUAUAUAAGCUAUGUAAAUGUUUCAUUUCCAUUUGAAAACUUGGGAAUUCUAGGUACCGUAUAUUGUUUAUGGAAGAAUCUCAGUCUCAAACCCCUCAAACGAUCUCUCGAUCUCUUUCUCCCCGCCUAUGGCGAACUCCCUCCUCCCGACCCCGAGAGGUACCUCCGUUGCCUUUACUUUCUGUAAUUUUUGGGGUUCGUGAAAUUAUUGAGUUGAAUGUAGGUUUUUUUGUUUGUUUGAAAAUUUGUAUUUUAAUUGUUGCUCACUUUUUUUUUCUUGCAGUAAAAAGACUUUGCAUGAGCUUUGUGAAUUAUAAGCUUUGUGAAAUUAUUAAGUUGAAUGUAGGUUUUUUUUGUUUGAAAAUUUGUGCGUUAAUUAUGCUCACUCUUUGUUUUUUCUUUGCGGUAAAAGACUUCGAAUGAACCACAAGGUUACUGAAAUGAUAAAGUUGAAAUUGUUAGUGUUUUUUUUUAAUUUUUAAUUUUUUGUGAAUUAUAAGCUUUGUGAAGUUAUUGAUUUGAAGAAUGUUGUGUUGGAACUUGGAAUGAAAAUUUUGAUUUGAAUUAUUAGAUAAGCAUGGAGUAUGUAGGAAUUCAACCCACGGCUAGCCAAAAACCACCUCGCCGGGCUGAGUCUGGUGCACCGGGAAGUGGUUCUGAAUGACCUUCUGAUGCCCUUGCCCUCACAAGUAUUAUUUGUUCUAAUUGAAAUUUCUAAUAAGCAGUUAGAUGUAGGGAAGUUAUAGCUUAUUGCUUUGUGGAAGUUAAGUCUAUUUGGGCAUUCUAUAUUGCUAUUGUAACAUGCUUAAGCUAUUUUGUUGGUUGUAAUAUCAUGUGUAUCAUGAAGAUUCUAAGGAAACGCAGAUGGGAGGAGCUCAAAACGCUUUGGUUGUUGGUCUAUUUGCACCAAGGGCACCGUGAGUAGUUUCUUGCUUACAGGUGUAUUAAUGGUUGUUUUCGCGUUUAUUUAAUAUACCUAUGUUGCAUAUGUUUCAACUUAUGCCUCUUCCCAUGUAUAUUUGUGCCUAUUGAUUCAGUGACUCGAGUGUUGCAGUUCGCAAGGAUGAUGAGUCUACACGCAGCCCCGAAGGCCGAGUCAACUCACCAAUGACUGUACGAGUUCGCAAAUCUGUGAAGGUACAUAUUAAAUUUACCCAAUUUUUGGAUUUUGAUUUAGUUCAGAGUUGCAGUGGGAUUGAAAAUUGGGACUUUGUGGUACUCUCUCUCUCUCUCUCUCUCUCUCUCUCUCUCUCUCCUAUGUGUAUGAAUUGAGUUCUGAAAUGCCUGUGCAAAUGGGCGCGUUUACUAACUAAGCUUUCAAGGGGAGCCCAUCAACAGUUUGCUUGCUGGGGGAAUAUGAAGAUUACCAGUGUAUGAUUUGGUUAUCUUUUAUUUUUUAUUUAAAUUUAUCCAUAUAUAAUGUGGGUAUAUUUAUAAAAAAGAAUUGUGAUAAGCUAUUAUGCCAUAUGACUUUGAAAGCAUUGAUUUUGUGUUUAGUUUGGAUUUUUGCAUUGUGAAUGUUGAAUUUGUGUUUAUUUUGGAUUUUUGUGUUUGAAUUUGUAGCAUGAUCUUUCACUGCAGCAUCCAAAAUUUGCAUUUGUAAAUUGUGAAAGAAAAAUGAAGUAUGAGGAAAUUAUAGGAGAUUGUGUUGGCUUUGGCCAUUAAGGGUAUUAGCAGGUUGUUCCCCCAUACAGGUGAUUAGUCGUUUUUCAGUGUCUGUUCUAUUUGGAUGAGAAAGUGAUUGAAAAACAGAGGAUUUUUUUUUAUUCGUUGGUUGAUUUGUGUGUGGACUGUUUUUUUAUUUUUAUUUUUUUUAUUUUUAGUAUAGAUGUGAAACCAACAGUGCAAGAGCAGGAUUUGAUUAGUCAUGCCUGAAAAGGGGUUUGUUUCUUAAAUCACAUUCCUUAGAUUAUUAAUGUGCUUUGAAGGCUCUUCAAUAUGAUUUUCUAAUUUCUCCUUUCCAGCAUUCUCUUUUUGGUUUUUGGAGUGUUUGUGAUUUAUAUUUGAUUAUAUAAAUGCAGCAAUUAAUUUGCAUCCUUAUGACAGCGCAUAUAUGAAAGUGCAUUCGAUUCCAAUAUGGGUAUGUGUGACAGGAUGUGCCUGUUGCUGCUGGUAGGCUUGUUGUUGUUUCUCGCACUGUUAACUUUUUGUGUGUGUUGAUUUGAUUAACAAUUCAAGCAUAUCUUUUGUGUGUUUUUUUUUUUUUUUUGUGUUUAAUUUUAUUUGAAUUUCUUAAUUUGUUCAAAGGAUGCUUGGUUAGCAGCCCGUUUUACUUGUUGGUUUUUUUAUUUGGAUUUAUAGCACUGAGGGUAUAGGUGAACGGUGAAGCGGUUUGUAUGGGCUCAUGCAUCUUAAACAUGUAGUGAGAAGUGAGGAUUUUGUUUUAGUGUUUUACAUAAUCUAAAUGAAUUACGUCGCCGGUAAAUUUGUAAUUUUCGUUACUGUUAUUUGUUAAUUAAUCUGGUUUUUUUUUUUUAAGGUCAGUUAAUUUAUCAGUUAAUAGUGUUGCUGUUAAUGAUUUAGUUUAAUUAAUCAGUUAAUAAUGCUGCUGCUAAUGAUUUAGUUUUAGUAUAAUGAUGUUGUUAAUGAUUUGGUUUUGAGUUUAAAUCUGAUUAGCAAAAAUCGGAGGGUUUAAGGUUAUGCACUUGCUUUGCAUGUGACUGCCAGAGAAAUUCAAGCUUCUGCCAAGGUAAUUAUUGAUAAUUGGAUUGUUUAAUGCGAUCAAACAUGGUAGUGAAAUGUUGAAUUUUAUGGCUACAAGUUUCUAAUUGGAAUGCUAAUGCUGCAAUUCAUGAUGAUCAAUAUGUUCUGACUUAAACAUUUACUGCAAAUGUAUUGUUGCUUUGUGAUGAAUGAGUUAUCUUUUGCAUAUAAGUCUUUUUGUUUCUCGAUACUAAGUUUAAAAUAGAGAUUUCAGAGCAAAAUUGAGUUCAGCAUAGCUUUGAUGGAUGGAUAGAUGUAUGCUUAGUUUGUAAGAGAAGAGAAAACGAAAACCACACCAAACAACUCGCAUUUAAAGCUCUUUUUCUUUUUCUCUUUUUACAUAAAUUUCUUUGUUAGAUUGCUAAGGGGCUGCACUGUGUGAGGGAUUACUAUAGAUACUAGCCUUACGUGACUGCCUUGAUUUAUGCAUGAUGGAACUAAAUUACUUUAGAAUAGAUAAUUUUUUUGGUCUUCUUUCUUUUGUUGGAAUGUUGUCACUGUCAUCCAUUAAUUUUGGAUUGUUUAGUGUCAUGGGUUCUGUAGAAUUAGACUCCAGUUGUGUCAUGGGUUGUGUCAUCCCACAAACAAUUAUGCCAUGAGUGGGAUGCUGGAUGAUUGCUAAAACAUGAGACUUAUCAAAAUGCAAAUAGGAAAUAACACCUAUAUAAGUAUACUCUGGCUUUGGCCCUGCAUUCUUAGUUGUGUGAGAUAUGCAUGGUUGAUAUCAACUAAUAAUGCAUAUUGCAAUUAUAUUCCCUUAAUUGAUGGGGUCUUCAUAACCUUUAUGAAUUUAGUAUAGGAUUUAGAUGCAUAGUGUUGCGAUGGGAACAUGAAGACUGCAUUUGGGAGUGUGCAUUAAGUGUAUUUGAUGCAUCGAUAUUUUUUUAACUUAAAAUAACCCCAAAGGUUUGGCCUUUCUGUAUUCUCAUAUAGCAUUCAACCAACAACAUGCCAUAAGGUCUCCAUUCUCUUUUCUCAUUUUUGUCAGGUCUUUUGAAACAAAAACAUUCAAACAUACAACGUGAAAUUGAAUGAUUAGAAGAAAACAAAGAUACCCAAAAAAAAAAAAAAUACACAAACUAAACCAAAUAUUAUGUCUUCCGGACACCCAAAUUCAAAACCAAUAAGUAAUGAUAACUACAUUAUUUUCUUUCCCAAUACACAACAAAUUAGCACAAAAACUCUAUAUAUAUGUAUAUAUAACGCUUCCAUAUGCUUGUUUCUCUUUCUUAGACGAAAUUAUCCAUAUGUCAAACCAUAGUGGAUAAUUUCACUUUAAUAACACUUCCGUAUGCUGAUUUCACCUCAUUAUUUUUUGCAUUCCAAUUGGUCUUUGUUUUGUUCUCAGACAGUUAUCGGCAUAGAUGAAGUAAAAUUCCGUUCUUGGCUCUCUUUUUCUUUGCUGUAUCAUCUUUUGUUUGUUGAUGUAAAUUUGGGUUAUGUUGGAUUUUUCAAUUUGAUUCUCCAAUAUAUGUUUUUGGUGACCAACUGUAGUAAAAUGCUGCUUAAAUAUUCAUCACGUUAAGGUUUUCAUGGUUAUUUGAGAAUAUCAUAUUUAAGUCACUAGAAUUCUUUAUACAGGACUGACUGGGCUCCUAUUUAAAUGACAGGUCAAUCCCAAUUUUAUGCAUUUAAGUGGAUCACCCUCCUCUUAACCCAGGAGUUCAAUUUCGCUGACAGCCUUCACACUUGGGAUACACUUUCAAGUGAUAUGAGGGUCCUCAGGUAGUAUUAUAUCCUUUUGGACUGUAUAGACUGAAGAGUUUGUUUUCAAUGCAUGAAAUGAAAAAAUUUGGCUUUUGGUUUUCGCCUCUUGAAUUAUCUGAGCUAUUGAUUACAUUAAUGUGUGUAGUACAUGGUAUUUUUAAGCCCGAGAAGGACUAAAUUAAUUUAUACAAAUUUUCUUAUGAGAAGACUUUCUACAUCUUUUAUCACUCUUCUUAGUGUAUGAUUGAACUUUAUACUCCUUUCAUUCAUUAAUUUAUGAAUUGGGUUGUUUUUCUUUUGGGAUUUCAGUAUUUAGGUCUUUAGUGACUACACAAUUUCAUGGUUUUUUACUAUUUCAGAAGUAAUUGAUAAAGUUAGAUGUGAUUCUACUAAAGUUGGAAAUCGUUGUGUCCUUAGAGCAAGUCCACCCCAGUGGACAUUGCCCAACACCUAGUCCAAAAAACUGCCCAGCCCCUUGUCAAUUUGCUCCAGCCCGCAAAAGAGCCUGGCACACAGCCCAAGCCGGGCAACAGGCCAGCCCAUUUCGGACAGACCCAGAGGCCGGCCUGUUUAGCAGGCGCGUGCAGCACAAGCGCGCUUGUGCGCGAGUAGCAGACCGGGUUGCAGGCGGGGGGGGGGGGGGGGCCGCUUGUCAGCCCACUUGUGUUCACCCGGAAUAGGGCUACGUGGCCCUCCUCAGUGCCGUUGGAUUUCCAACGGCUAUUUUUUGUAGACCGUUGGAUUUCCAACGGUAAAAAAAAUUUAAAUUUGACUUUUAAAAUGGACCGUCCGAUCAUAGAUCAACUGUCCACGUUUUUUUCACAAAAAGUAAAUAAAUAAAAAACAAACAAACAGCCCAACGGUCAUAAAUAUGACCGUUGGCCACGUGGCAAGUCCCUAGCUCUUGGAUUUGAAUAUUUUUCAAAUCCAACGGUCCAGAUUAAUUAACUAUAUUAAAAUUCAUUAAAAAUUAUUAAAAAAUACAGAAAAAUUAUUAAAAAAUACAGAAAAUUUAAAAAAAAAUACAGAAAAUUUUGAAAAAUGUUAAUUUUUUCCCUAUAAAUACCUAACCCUCAUCUUCCACCUUUACACCACAUUUCAAUAUUUUCUACACUUUCUAUACUAUCUACAUUUCAAUAUUUUCUACACUUUAAGAGAAAAAAAUGUCUUCGUGGAAGCUCAUUGAAGAUGUUACGUUGUGUGAAUGUUGAGUCUACACUUUCUUAUGUAUUUUUAUGUAUUUUCUUUCUUUUUUCUAGUAGAACUUUAUUUAAUUUCUUAUGUUUUUUCUUUUUUUAGGUUUGAACUUUAUUUAAUUUCUUAUGUAUUUUUUAUGUAUUUUCUUUCUUUUUUCUUUUGAACUUUAUUUAAUUUCUUAUGUAAUUUCUUAUGUUUUUUCUUUUUUUAGGUUUGAACUUUAUUUAAUUUCUUAUGCAAUUUUAAUGUAAUUAUUUAUUUAUUUAUUUAUUUUUAAAAUUUUAUUUCUUUUGUACUUUAUUUAAACACAUGAAAUAAGAUUACAUAAACUCACCAAAUAAAUUUAAAAACAAAACACAUUACAUAGAAUUACAUAAACUCACCAAAUAAACUUAAAAACAAAACACACGAAGAGAGGAACAUGUUAUCGAAAUCUUGGCUAAAUUAUUGUAAAACGGAAGUGACACGUGGCGUGUCGGGAUUUGUUGAAAAUCUUAGCGGAAAUCUAUUCACAAAAUAGUACGUUCAGAUAAUGACACGUGGCGUGACGAGAUUGGUUAAAAAUCCUAUCCGAAAUUAAAACUAUUUUAUUUUUUUAUUCUUUUAGAAAAAAUUUAAAAAUAUUUUAAAUGGACUGGGUGCCAGCGCAUUUUGUAGGGAUGAAGAUCGUUUGUGCCAGCGCAUUUUUUCACUAGGUGCCAGCGCAUUUUUUUAGGGGUGGAGAUGCCUUGGCCUAUUACUGUUCAUUGGAGUCUGUUACUGUUCAUUUGAGUGGAUAAAUGCGCUGGGUGCUGGCGCAAAGUCCUUAGGGGUGGACUUGCUCUUAGAGCAAGCAAGUCUGCAGGUAUCUAUUUUGUUUUGAUUCGGGCACCUUCAACCAGACUGUAUAGGACAUAAAAAAUGAUUUGAUUGCGCUGUAUGUAUUUCUUUCUUUUUUAAUUUUUAUGGCGGUAUCAUUUUCUCAACAAAAUAGAAAUCACUUAAAUAAAUAAACCACUCAAGCAAUGAAUCUUCAAUAAGAACUUAAUAUCUUCUCAGGUUGGACAAACCAGCAGGUGUUUUCUUCACAAAAUUUACUUGCCCAUCUCUUAGAUGGACAUAAAGAACAUCAAUUGUGUGUCUCUUACUUUUUUUGGUUUAGCUUUAAGUUAUAUUUACUCACUCUGUUGGCUAAUUCUUUUACUAAGAAUUUGUUUUUACUCACUAUGUUGGUUCUUCAUAUAAGUACAUAGAAAGUGCAUCAAAGACUAAUUAAAAUUAGUUAGCUUAUGGGUGUGUUAACAUGUUUAAGUAGUAGUACUUAAACUCAAAAGAUGUUGGAGUGUUUCUUUUAUUGAUAAUUUGUAUUGAACUCAGCAUUUCAUAAGAGUCGAACCUGAGAGCUUUGUGGAAAGGAAUAAAACUAGAUCGUACCAUUUUAUGUAUGUUUGAUUACAUUGCUUAUAAUUAGUAAUAAUUACAUUUUAUGGACAUUGUAGCUUUCAUGGAGUCCCCUACUCAAACAUGUGUGAAGCUGAAUGACAAUAGACUACAGAUAUCAAACAAUGUGGCUAACAGAAUUAAGCAGGAGAUUUAGGAUGGUCAGUUAGUUGUUACAUCCAUUUUAAUUUUCAAAUUAAUUUAGUAAUUGUUUGUGAAAACUCACAUUUCUGAUUUUUUUAAUUCAUUGGACUAUUAAAUUGUCUUUUCACUUUGCUUUGUUUUACAUAUGUAUUCAGUUGACAAUGCAAUAACUUUUUUACAGUAUCACUAACAACUCCCUUUCAUGAAACCAAGGAUGUAAAUAGAAUUAGUAUUUAUGAUGUAAUAUAUAUAUUUUUAGGAGUAUUACUUAAUUGAAUUUGGCACUGCAAAAAGCAAUGUUGCUGCAAUUGUUAUUUACAUCCAUGCCAUUGGUUUAUAAGAAUGGGCUUUGUGUGUUUGGGCUCCUUGAGUUUGUUUGGUUGCUAUGAAUUGUUUGUGACGGACAAAUUUACCAUUUUGAUAUGAUCCUUUAUAUAUAUAUAUAAAUUUAUGAAAUUGCUUUGUGGUUAGUUUUUUAUUAUACAUUUUUGGUUGCUAUCAAUUUACUUGAGUCACAGACAGAGAGCAUAGCUGACCUGCUGAGAUGGCAUAGAGAAGACCAGGGCUGACCUGCAGGGAUGGCAGAGAGAAGAGGAGAGAGGGAAGAGUCGUGUGGUUUGGAAACAAGGGGUGGGAUGAUCAAAUCAAUGGUUAGGGGUGCCUGAAAGCUUGAUUGCGUUUUUGUCGGAAACGGGUGCACAGAGAGAUGGCUAGGCAGGGAGGGAGGGCGAGGGUAGGGUUGCUUUCAGUAAUUUUGUUCCAGCUGGAAGUCAUUUCCACAAGAAUUGAUGAAGGUCAUUUCCACAACAAUUGAUGAGGUGUUCUCCCCAGCUGUCAGUUUCAUUUGGUUCAAAAGAUAAGUCUCAGUUUCGAACCAAUUUUUUCUUCUUUGGCUGCUUAUGGUUUGAUCCUAAUUGAAAAGGCAUUUUUUUUUCCUUCUGGUUUGUUCACUGUUCAGUUGUGGUUCAGUUCUCCACCUUUUGGUUGGAGUACAACAAAUGCUUUUAAAUUAUUAAAUUAGAAGAGCUAAGAAGAUAUUUUGUGCUAAUUGCUAUUUGAUAACUUUGGUUUUCAUUUUUGGCUACCACCUUGCUCUCCAUUUCUCUUUUUCCUCUUGCUCUGCUGGUUUUUCAGUGUUACAACCUCUCUGCAAAAACCACAUUGUAUGUGUUUUGCAUAUUUUUGUUCAUGCUUCUAUUGUUUGUUGUUGUGGUGGUGACCCUGUGAAUGGAAUUCUCAAUUAUCUAUUCCUCUAGAAUACGUGAUGCAUCUGAUUUUUGUUCAUUGACAAAUGAUGCCACAUGCCUGACAUUUUUACGCCAUCACUCUUGGUUCUUUUGUGAUUGUUAUUGUUUGUUUUAAAAUGUGUAUGCUGUGUGUGAUGCACAGGUUAGAGCAUAGGUUUCUACAUGUGGCUUUAAAUUGAGCAGAGGCCAUAAUUUUUUUUUAUCAAAGGUCACAGAUUGAGGUAUUUUUCCUAUUGUCCGUUUAUUUGCGCUUUGAAUUCUUACUCAGAACCUCAUUGAUUUUUUGCAGUUUAGAUCGAACUAUCAUCGCAACAUCGUGAUCUACUCUUGCUGCUGCCUUUGAUCUAGGGGUCCACAGCGAUUGCACUUGAAUCAAGGAUCUGGUAGUGAACUUUCUCAUUCUUCCCGAAGUGCUUUAAUAUGUGUUGUUGAUAACUGCACUCUCUCAACGAACCAGAAAUAUUUUUAGACAAAUCGCAACUUCCAUAUUUAAGAAAAUGAGUGGCUUUUUAACAAUGCAUGAAUGUAGCUUACAUGUUCACCAAAAUUCAUGGAUAUUUACAUUCAACCCACAAGUAUCAUUAACUCAUAAAAUAUUAAGUUUAAUUCAUGGAUGUUUAUAUUGAACCCGCAAGAAUCAUUAACUCAUAAAAAAUUAUGUUUUGUAUUUUCUUUAUUGACUAUUGCUUCAAAUUUUUAUCUAAAACAUUGUCUAAAUGCUUAUUGGUUGCGUUUUUUUGCCACUCUGUUCAUUCAUGAUUGUGUUGAAUUUAUUCAGGUCCCGCCGCAACGCGUGGGCCUAUUUUCUAGUAACCCUCUAAAUUCGAGGUACAUAUAUUAAAGGUAGGAGAUAAUAUUAUUUUUAGGAGACUAGAAUAGGAUCAGAAAUAAGGAAAAGUUUUUCUUUCUAAUCCUAUCAUUUUGGGAGGGUUGAAAUUGGUAAUUUAUUUCGGGAAUUGUUAUUAACACUAAAAAAAUCUCAUUUGGCACUUCAAACUUUCUAUAAUUAGAAGGAAAAAUACACUCGUGCAGAAUGUAUAAAGAGUUUUUUGGAGUGCUAAUAACAAUUUCCUUUUAACUUUCAUACAAUUUUGUAGGUCAAGAUGGGUCAGAUCAAUACCUAACCUGUAAGCUAACCCAUCAUGGUUGGGCCAUGAUUCGACGAAACCUUACCCCGACUCACCCAACCCAACUAGUUUCGGUUUGGGUUGGACGAGUUUGAGAGUUGAAUACAGACUACGAGUUUCGAAAAUCUUGAGAUUCUUAGAGCCGAAAUGGUUGACGAUGUAAUUAGAAACUUUGAUGAGAUUAGCCGUGGAUUGAUUCAAUGAUAUGGACAACUGAUAACUCAUUCCUCCCUCAAGUAUCUUGGAAAUUUUAUAUUACACUAUGAAAUAUUGUAAAUUUGUAAUAUAUAAUUUUAAUAAUUGAAUAACAAAUAGUAUUAACCGUAUUUCUUAGAAAGGUUAUGUUGUUUAGGUGCAUUCCCUUACUAAAUGACGACGUAUAUACUUAUUGAUGAAAAGUUACAUCUCUUUAAUAAGUAGUAAUUGAGUUUCUAUAUAAACCCAUGAAACCAUUGGUAUUAUAUGAUAGAAAAUUAGAGUUAAUAUUUACUCUUGAGCGGGAAUGAACCCAUUUUCAUACGUGAUGACAGAGCAUAAGUACAGUACAAUAAGAUAGGAUGAUAAUUAUACCAUUGAUAGUAAUCGUCUACACCAAGAUUUGCCAAUAAUCCUCGUCGGUGUGAAAACUCUGCUACUAGAACUUGGAGGGGAGAAAAAACAAGGGUGAGUGAGUCUUUUCGUUUUAUAGUAUAUAUAUAUAUAUAUAUGAUUGAUAUUUUCCACAAAUGCUUUUGAAUUAAUUUAUGCAUAUCAUGCCAUGGUUAAAUAUUGUUAUUAGAAAUGUUGUACUAUGGUGAAACACUCAAUAAUCUUACGGGAUGCGCAGGUAAGUUUAUUGACAAGUUAUAUUGAUGAUUGAAAUGGUUGAAUCAUUAUGGCAUGCUUAAAUAUAGUCUGCUCAUCAUUGCUACACCCCAGGUGAGUGCUCAGCCCGAGGCCAGGCCAGCCUUCACGUGUAUGUUAACCUCCUAACACCGCACGCUCGCCUUAGAUCUAAGUAGGUGCUAGCUUGUCGUACAGACUACAAUAGGCAGUUCUGACUCAUAGGUGACUGCACAUAGUGCAAGCUUGAUGUGAUUGUAGCACUAGAGCGUUUAUUAUUACACCUAGCCUGUCAUACAGGUCACAUUAGGUGACUCCGACUCAUGUGUUAGCAUAGGCUGAUGAGCGAUAGGUGCAGUUGUACAUGUCACAUUAGGUGACUCCGACUGACAUGCUAGCAUAGAUUACAGCACAUGAUCAUAUCUAUGUUACUGUUGAGCUAUUUUGCUGUGGCAUAUUUCUGGACUUACAAUUAGGAUGCAUUUGAUUUCCAUACUUAUAUGUAGUAUGAUUUUCUGGAAACUAUACAGGUUUUACAGCAAGGGGUUAUAACGCUUUCAAAAGGUUUUUAUUAAAACUUUAUUUGCAGGCCCACUCACCCUUGUUUUUUCGCCCCUUCAUGUUCUAGUAGCAGAGUUUUCACACCGACGAGGAUUAUUGGCAAAUCUUGGUGUAGACGAUUACCAUCGAUGGUAUAAUUCUCACCCGAUCUUACAGUAUUGUACUUAUGCUCUGUCAUCACGUGUGAAAUGAGUUCAUUCCCGCUCACCGCGCACUCUUGUAUUUAGGCACUUUUAGGUUUAAAUUCAUUCACAUUUUCCACAUCACUACACUUUAUGGCUUUGUCACCUCCCAGGUGUCGGCCAGCAUAGCUUGGAUUCAGAAUUCUAGUGGACAUCUCGAGUCAGAGUGUGUCAGAACUACAAACACAAGAGUAUGGACGAAAUUUUGUCUUUAGGACAUUGCAUUUAUGCAAGUCUCAAUCUCCAAGUUUGUCAGUAUUUCUAACUUUAUCUCUUGUUGUUUAUAUUAAUCUCAUACAUAAGUGAUGUGAAUUUCUUUAUAAUUGUUAUUAUUGGAAUUCUUGUGUUAUUUUCAUAUUUCUUUAAUAUUCCUCAAACAAUCUAAAGACGGAAAUUUAUUAUGCAAUAUUAGAAAGUAUAUAGGGUUUUUGUGCGUCAGUGCGACGGUGGGGGAUGGCUAUGUUCGUCACUGGCAUUGAGACUUUUCUUCGGCUUUUUCAUUCCAAGUUCCAACUCACCUAACAAGAUGGGUUGGAGGUGGAGAUUAGUGAUACGGCUACGGAAAGGUUGCGAUGUCCCAAAUUUUUCCUCGUUGGUAAAGUGUUAUCGCGGAAGGCGAUAAGAGCUAACCUUGUGAUGGCAGUCUUCAAAGACUUGUGGAGUUCUAAGGCAGACGUGGAGGCUAUGGUGAUAGGAGAUAAUCGUAUUCUGCUUUGUUUUAAUUUAGAGGCUGAAGUGCAGUGUGUGCUGCGAGGUAGUCUGUGGUACUUUGGCAAAACCCUAUUGGUUUUAGCUGAGGUUAAGGGUUUUGAUGUGCAUGUGGAGGUUCCUCUACGUGAGCAAGAGUUUUGGGUGUGAGUACAUGGACUUCCACCGUCCCUUAUGUUGAAGAGAAUAGGGGAAGAACUUGGGGCAGCUAAGCGGGGAUUAGUGUCGGUGGAUUGCGACAAGGAAGGUAUGUGCAUUGGCCAGUUUAUGCGCAUUAAGGUGGGCAUUGAGGUUUUCCAACCGCUAUGAAGGGGAAUGCAAGUAAGACUACCGGUUUCUGAGGGGGUGCUCUGAUUGGUCUCCUACUACAGUAUGAACGACUGUCGAAAUACUGUUAUUUGUGUGGUAAGAUGGAUCAUAAAGGUGUGCACUGCCAUCAAUACCCUGUGGGCCAUAACGAUGAGGUUAAGUCGUCUUUAGGGUAUGGUUGAUGGCUGGGUAGGAUGGUCUGGGAUCCGAUGAUGGUACGCAUUGUAGUUUUGGUGAGAUGAAAGAGGAAGAUCGUGGUUGGAAGGUUCAGGCGCCAAAGUUUGCGAUGGAGUUUGCAGCAAAAGGGGAUGCACCUCCGGCAGGGAUGGAUGCGGGGUAGGAGUUGGGCGUUGACCCACUGGAUCCAAAUAUGGACAAGGAAAUUUUAUUUGAACCCAUCUAACCUAUUUUUACACUCAACUUACUCUUUGCACCCAUUUGAUUUUUAAUUAAACCUAAAUUUACUACCUAAAAUGUCAUCUCAAACUCAAUUCAAUAUGUAAAUUUAUCUGUACACCCAUUUAAUUUUUAACUCUUUUAAUGAUAGUAAAUCAUAUUGGAGUGGUUCAUCCUCAAGUUUCCUCAAGUCUCAAAGCUUAAUUUUCUUCUCUUUCCCAAAUUUCAUCAUGAGAUGGCCAUUAUGGUGGAAUGCGAUUGCAAAGACGGGUCACUUGUGACACAUAGUAUAGGAACAGAGCUUAUAAGCUCCAUAUGAAAACUGUACCAAGUAAUUGACUCAAAGCAACAACACCAUUAUAGGGGUUCACCUACAAUGCACAUUAAUACAGCCUAUGGCUGUCCUUUAACUACCUACCAUUUCACCCAUUGUCACAUCCUGAUAAUGAAAUUGCCCAGAAAUUUGGGAGGGAGGAGGGAGGAGGGAGGAGGGAAGAGAUGGCAGCAGCAAAGAAAAACAAUAGAAAUAUAAUAUAAAAUGCAUGAAAUUUGACCCAAAGAAAAAGCAAAUGGAAUCGAAAGUCCUUGGAAUGUUUGCAAGUCCUUUUAGUGUUUUUGGGUGUAGAGAGAGACCAGGAGAGUAUUUGCAACAAUUUAGAAAGUUUAACAAACUAUGCGGGAUUGAUGAAAAAUAAAUUGAAACCCAAAUACUCAUCUUCUAAACUCUAAAAAAAUUGAAAUCAAACGAACAAAAAAUCCAUAAAUCGAGUCAUACUUUAGUUGGAUGAUUUAAAACUUCAAAAUCACCAUCCAUCAAUAAAAAAAAGGGUAAAUUACAUAGUAGCCCCUCAGGUUUGAGCUUUAUUGCAAUCUCAUACAACAUCUUUAAAACAUUUCACUUUCAUACCUCAAGUACUAUUUUAUUUCAAUUUCAUACAACCGUUAGAUUUUUCAUCCAUGGAUCUGUUAAAUGCUGACGUGGCUGCCACAUAUAUGACACAUGGCUGCCAAAUGUCUGCCACGUGGAAAAUAAAAAUACUUUUUUAAUUUUUUUUAAAAAAACCUGAAAUUGGAAGAAAAAAAAAAGGUCUGAACCCAGAAGAAGAAGAAAGAGAAAGAGAAGAAGAAGAAGAAAGAGGAGGGAGGAGAAAGAAGAAGAAGAAGAAGAAGAAAAAAAGAAAAAAGAAAGGGGUCCGAACCCAGAAGAAGGAGGAAGAAGAAGAAAGAGGAGGAGGAGGAGGAGGAAGAAGAAGAAGAAGAAGAAGAAGAGGAAGAAGAAAAAAAAAAAAGGGACCGAACCCAGAAAAAGGAGGAAGAAGAAGAAGAGAAGAAGAAAGAGGAGGAGGAGGGAGAAGAAGAAGAAGAAGAAGAAAAAAAAAAAAAGAAGGUCCGAACCCAGAAGAAGAAGAAAGAGAAAAAAAAAAAAGGACCGAACCCAGAAGAAGAAGGAGGAAGAAGAAGAAGAGAAGAAGAAAGAGGAGGAGGAGGGAGAAGAAGAAGAAGAAGAAGAAAAAAAAAAAAAGAAGGUCCGAACCCAGAAGAAGAAGAAAGAGAAAGAGAAGAAGAAAGAGAAAGAGAAGAAGAAGAAAGAGAAAAAAAAAAAAAAAAGGGACUGAACCCAGAAGAAGGAGGAAGAAGAAGAAGAGAAGAAGAAAAAGGAGGAGGGAGAAGAAGAAGAAAAAAAAAAAAAAAGGUCCGAACCCAGAAGAAGAAGAAAGAGAGAGAAGAAGAAGAAGAAAGAGGAAAAAAAAUGGCAAAUAUGUUUUUUUUUUUUUUUAAAUUAUUUUAUUUGCCACGUGGCAGACAUUUGGCAGCCACGUGUCAUAUAUAUGGCAGCCACGUCAGCAUUUAACAGAUCAAUGGAUGGAAAAUCUAACGGCUGUAUGAAAUUGAAAUAAAAUAGUACUUGAGGUAUGAAAGUGAAAUGUUUUAAAGAUGUUGUAUGAGAUUGCAAUAAAGCUCAAACCUGAGGGGCUACUAUGUAAUUUACCCUAAAAAAAAUGUUUUUUUUUCUUUUCUAUAAUAGCUAUUAAGGUUUUAGCCUGAAUGAAACUAGGAUAAACAAGAAAUGAUGGUAUGGUCUAAUUAUAAUUUGGGUUUAUUCAUAAAUUUGAGUUUUAUUAUUAAUUUCAUUUAUACUUAAUAGUAAUUGUGUAAUAGGGUAAAAAAGAUAAUUAACAUUUAAAAUUUAAGUUGAGUGUAAAAAGAUGUUACAUGUGUUUAAAUAAAAUUUUCCAUAUGAAAAUUGAGAGAGCAAUGGAGGAAUAUGGAUGUUAGUGUGGGCGUGAUUAAUGGGGGGGGGGCGGAUUCUCAAAUUAGAUCACAUUGUGAUUUUUUGAAUUCACCAAUCACUUUUCGAGCGGGAAAUCAGGUUGUGGGAAGAAGGGCUUUGGAUGUGGGGAGCGUGGCCCACUCUUGCUUUUGGGUGGACAUUUCCCUAUUCCUGACGAGCCCUCACUUGAAAUUGGGCCCAUGACUAUGUUGGGGUUCGAUUCUUUUGGUCUAAAUCCUUUUAUUAUGGGUCUGCCUCUGUGCCCUCGCAAUGGGUGUCCUAAAAAAUGAAUCUGCGACACGUGUUGCAUUGUGAUUGGCUUCUGAUGUCGACACGUAUUGCACUGUGAUUGGCCUCCUGGUUGGAGGGAAAUUCUUAUGGGUCAUUGACUGUAUAAUGUUAACCAGUGUUCAGUAGUUUCGGGAUUGGUCAAGUAUGGUACAAACAGUGCUCCCCUAAGUUCCUGAGUGAAGGAAGCUCAUCGGUUGGGGACUUGCAAGAUCCAAGCCGUUGAGUAAUCAUGAAACUUCUAAGUACCGAAGUGUGUUAUCGUCUUCACUUGCCUUAUCUGUCUCAUAGGUAGAUGUGGCAUCUUCUCUGGAAGUACUCUUCCUCCAUCCAAAUGUGGUAUCUUUAACCGGUGGAGAUGCAUAAGGUAAUGUAUCAAUUUCACUUGAAGCUUACUUGUAGUUUUAGGCUUAGUCAAGCAUGAUACAAACCAUGCAGUAGGAGUCCCCCAAGUCGCCGAGCUAGGAGAUCUGCCGAAAAAUGUGACAGACAAGGUAAGCAAUCAGAGCUCCAAGCAAUCAGUCCCAGAUCAGAAGUUUGAUUUCGAGUUCCGGCUGAUUGUUCUCAUUCUCCCUAUCUUGUAGGCAGCAUGAAGGAUACAAAGAAGAAAAAUGAGAAGAGAUGAUAUGAGAUAUUUUUGCUACUUUUGCUUUUGAAGAAGUAACUUACCACAUGUUUAUUCUUGAACUGGGCUGGAGGGUAUUCUGGUUUCUUCCAGAGUAUAAGGCUGACUCAAGAAUUUAAGGGUCAAAACAAGUCCAUCAAAUCUAGAGUACGUUCGACCCUGAUGAUAUGAGAUCAAUCAAUCUUAUCUGUUCAUCAUACAUUUUGCAGUUAAAAAGUAUUUUAAAUUUUUUAUUUAAAAUUAAACAUAAAUAAUAUCUAAAUAAAACUCUAAAUAAAACUGGCCCCUAAAUAAAAGUGCCACUACCAUUCACUUGACUUGUGACUAGUCAGCUAGCUUGAAUAAAAGGUAUGAACUGAUGAUGUUGUUCCCUCAACAUGUCUUUCUUCAUGUGUGAACCCGUUGAAUUUUUGUUUGCGGAAGGUAAAGGUGCUUGAGUUGGGGCAUUUUCCUUUCUUCUCUUUGAUGAUUUUCUAAGAAAGUCUGAGCACCAUAAAUUUUUUUAUAACUUAAUCAAUCUCAUUCAUCUCAAAUAUCCCGUUCUCUUUCUUUUGAUAUAUUAUCAACCGCUCGCUUCUUUCUCUUCUUUUUUAUUCGCAAGUUAUCUAUUGUUAGUUCUUUAAGAGAAACACAAACAGGAGUGUAUCAUGACUAUCUUGAAGAAAUGAUAUUAUCUAUAUUAAAGGAUUAAAGGAUUAAAGGAUGAAAAAGUGGGUUAAGUUUCAUAAUGGGCAUAAAAAUCGUAGAACCGCGAAACCGAAUCGAACUACGACAAAAUAAAGUUGCAUGGUUCAUCUAUUGAGAUAAGGCACAUAUUGAGAAUUUCUCAAUUAGCUUAAAUAUGUCUCACAAUGGGAGCAUUUCUCAAUUAGGUCUUUCACUUGCAUGGUUCAUCUAUUGAGAUAAGGCACAUAUUGAGAAAGAAAAAAAGGCACAUAUUGAGAAAUUCUCAAUAGCUUAAAUAUGUCUCACAAUGGGAGCAUUUCUCAAUUAGGUCUUUCACUUGCAUGGUUCAUCUAUUAAGAUAAGGCACAUAUUGAGGAAGAAAAAAAAAAGUUCAUUUUCUAUCCUAGGUCUCCAAAUUUGACAUUCAGAUUUCAAUUUCAUAUUUUUCUUGAAUAGAAUGAUCUUAAGGUGAGUUGCAUCCUGUUUUUUUUUUCUUUCCCUUUUUCCUGGGCAUUUUCAAUUAAUUUGGCAAAAUGUUGUUUUGCCUUAACAAUUAUUUUUUCUCUCAUUUAAUCACUAUAAAAAAAAAUAGUAGUUUUUUAUUUUUAGCAAACGAUAUUAUCUACACUAAGAGGGUUGAGGUGGGUUAAGCCUCAUAAUGGGCUAGCAAUAAUAUGAUUCAAAUUCGCCUUCGGCGAGAAUCGAAUCUAAGACCUCUCACUUACAAGUGAAAGAGGAAUACCACUAGACCGUGGUACUAAAUGGCGUAAUAUUCUUCUCUACUUGUAGGUGCUUAAGUGCGUAAUUUUAUGACCGACUUUGAAAGAUAGUGAAUUUGAUACUAAUUUAUUGUAGCCGAUUGAGUGAUUUGCUCAAAUUUCCUCACCAUAAUGCAGUUGUCUUAAAAAACCCAAUAAUUUACAUUGCUUCAGUCCACAAAAUUGUGAAGAAUUCUUUUAUUUUUUAUUUUUAAAGAAUUUAUUAUUAUUAAGAGGAGGGAGAAGGAUUCAAAAUUAUUCCAAUAAUUUAAGAAAUGGGGGAUUCAAACCCAGGAUGCAUGGGUUAAACCAUCACCUUCUUCAAACACUGCAUGAAUGAUACACAAAAUACAGAGUGCUUAUUAUCGAAAUAAUAUAUAUAUAUAUAUAUAUUAUAAAUUACUCUGUAAAUCUUAUUUCUAAAAACAAAAAGUAAGCUAUGAAUUCUAUUGCUGGCUACUGGCCCAUUUUGGUGAUUAUUGAAUUUGUAGAGAUACUAAGGCUGUACGUAUCGAUUAUGAGAAGAAAAAAAAACAAACAAACAAAGUCGUGUGUAUGAUGUAUGGAAAAUAAUUUCGUGGUUUGUUGCAAGUUUUGGUGAUUGAUUGUUGCGUCCUGGCACCUUGUCAUUAGUGUUGGUGAUUGUUUGUUGCAAGUUGGAGCAUGAAGCUGCUAUAUAAUUUCUCAAUACAAAUUGAAUGAUAUGAUGCCCAUCCAUGUUACAUCAACCCAUCGUGGCAUCCUGGACUAAUAGCGCACCAAAGUCACCCAAAUGCUACGGUAGUCCUUGUUGAGAUCAGAUUACAUUGGAUGCUCUGCUGAUGAAAAGAUGAAAUCAAGCAACAAAGUUUGUACAUAAAGCACGUAAGGCCGGGAAGGGGGGGCCUAUUGGCUUACCGUGUGUUUGCCACUAUCAUGCACUGUGACUUGUGAGUAGUCAGCUAGCUUUACAAAAAGGUAUGAACUGAUGAUGAUGUUCCCUUACUAUGUCUUUAUUCAUGCGUGAACACGUUGAAGCUUUGUACGCGGAAGGUAAAGGUGCUUUAGUUGGGGUUCUUCUUUUUCCUCUCUUCGAUGAUUUUCUGGGAAAGCCUGAGCACCAUAAAAUUUUCAAUAACUUAAUAAAUCUCAUUCAUCUCAAAUAUCCCCUUCUCUUUCUUCGAUAUAUUAUCAAGCGCUCGCAGCUUUCACUUCUUUUUUACUCGCAAGUUACAAGUCUAUUGUUAGUUCCUUGAGAGAAACACAAACAGAUGGAGUGCAUCAUGACUAUCUUGCAGAUUUGCUGCAGAUCGUUAACAUUUUCUUCUCCUUCAUCUGCUGCACCUGCUGCUGCUGGUGACGAUGAUCAUGAUGGUAUUGAAUCGUUAACUUUUUCUCCGUCAUCUGCUGCGGCUGCUGGUGGUGGUGGUGAUGAUCAUGAUGGUAUUGAAGCUAAUAUCCCCCCUCGUCGGGAAAAUUAUGAUGUGUUUAUCAAUUUCCGAGGUGAGGACACCCGCCUUGGUAUUACCAGCCAUCUUCAUGCUGCCUUACUUCAGAAAAAAAUUGAAACCUACAUAGAUUACAGACUUCAGAAGGGAGAAGAAAUCGGACCUGCCCUUCUAGAGGCAAUCGAGAAAUCCACGCUUUCGGUGAUCAUUUUCUCACAAAACUAUGCUUCUUCCACAUGGUGUUUGGAUGAGCUUGUGCAUAUACUCGAAUGCAAGGUAAGAUAUGGCCAGAUGGCUAUACCUGUAUUCUACGACAUCAAUCCAUCUGAUGUACGAAAACAACACGGGAGUUAUGCGGUUGCAUUUGCUCAACUUGAAAACCGUUUCAAGGACAAUAUUGAUAAGGUGCGCAAGUGGAGGGAUGCUUUGACGACUGCAGGCAAUCUAUCUGGGUUUGAUUAUUCAAACAAACCCGGGUAAGUAACUCAUUCCUUAACUAGUAUAGAAUUAUAAAUUUUCUUUGAUUUGUGCUAAGAUUUGGUAAAGCGUUACUCUAUUUUAAACUUGGGGAGGGGUGCCACUGUAGCUUUGCUACAAUGCAAUUGGGGGAGAUUUUGGCUUUAACAAGACUUCAUGUCUGCCCGUUGCUGCGGGUCGAAAAAUUUGUCAUGUAAUUAAAAUCAAAUCAUAAAGAAGAGUGAAAUUUUUCUUGUAAUUUAGAGAACAACAUCACAUCAAAGUAAUAUGUAAUGUAAAUAAUGGAACAAAAUAGAACAUUUUAAUAGACGGUGCAAUCACAAAAUAUAAUGUCUUUGCAUAAGAAACAGAUGUAGAAUGCAGUUCAAUUAGCUUUUCGAACUUAUUACAACAACUCUAUUUACACAUAUUUACAACAACUCUAUCUGCACAUAUAUGUACAAUCAUAUUUACUAUUAUUUUUACACAUAUACUAAUCAGCUUUUUCGAACUUGAUCAACAUAGAGAAUUUUUUUUUUGACCUCAUAUGUAUGCUUCCAUGUUACAAAUUAAAAAAUAGAAGUUGUUAAUGUAAAUCAAAGAUAUUUUAGCUAAGAUGAUGGAACAAAAGUGUAAUUAUUGAAGAGAGACUCUUAAUUGCUAAAAACAAUUGAAUACUCAAGUGCAUUUAAUAUAUAAUAUACUUUAAAAGCAAAUAUAUGUUGAUGUACGAAUUUAAGUGUACCGGGAGGAGAAAAAUAAAAUUUCUUUUGCUCAUGAAUAAUUAAAAUUGACAUAUGCUAAAGCGUACAUAUGAAAAGAAGGUGGACUUUUGGAAUUGUUCAUAUCACAUUUUCUAUUAAGCUAACCACAAUAAACUUUUCUAUCACAAUUAUCUGCAUCCAAGUAUGAAUAAAAGUUAACUAAUGUGAUUAUUUUCAUCCUAUUGUAAAUGGAAAUAUAAACUUUUAUUUUUUGCUGAAUUGUAAACUGGGAGAAAAAUAUGCAUAAAUGUUGAAAAAGAUUUAUAAGAUCUUAAAAAAAUCUAGAAAAUGAGUAGCAAUUACCCUUCCAACUCAACUUGUAAACGGAAAGGAGGAAAAAGUAAACCAAUGACUGGGUUUUCAUUUUUUGUGUCACUGCUCUUAUCAUAUUUGAAGCAAGCAACCAUAAAACAUAUAAUAAUUCCAAUUUCGAUCCACCCAUCACAAUCCACUGACCUGAAACUAAUUACAACUCUGGAGUAUGUACUUCCUAAAGAAUAUGAACUAAUAUAUAUAUAUAUAUAUAUAUAUAUAUAUAUAUAUAUAUUAUCACGCCUCGAUCUCGACAUACGUUCAGGAUCGACACAUGACAUAGAGACAUAACGGACAUCUUAACAUACAUACAAGGUACAAAAUGAAAUACUAGAACUAAUACCUCAAAAUAAACAUGCUAUUGGACUCUCCCCCACAAAAUAUAUACAAAUCUAUACACUCAAAAUGCACAACCCUCAUUAGGGCCAAGACAUGACCAUAGGCACUCAAAAUUUAAGUUCCAAAAGAAAUAAUACACAGAAAGAUAAAAGGGGCAACCUAAUCACUUCAAAUCUCUGAUCUUUGCACUGCUACCCCCACCGACUCCUUGUAAACCUACUCAGGCUUGUCAUUUGUACAAUUAGUGCAUGGAGUUUGCGCUAACACACCAUAGCAAGUCCGAAAAGAUGUCUUCGCUAUGUCUUCAUCUCGGAUCCUCAAUUGAUGAUAAUCAAUCCGCAAAUCUAGCUUACUAAAAUACUGAGCACCUUGAAGUUAGUUAAACAAGUCAUUAAUCCUCGGUUGAGGGUACUUAUUUCGCACUGUCACUCAAAAUCCUUAUUAAGCUCAUGAUAAUCGAUGCGCAAACACAUGAUAUGUCUUUUUUCUUCACAAAGAGAAUGGGAGCACCCCAAGGUGAAACACUGGGUCGAAUUAAACCUUUAUCCAAUAAUUUAUGUAAUUGCGCUUUGAGCUUUCUAAGUUCCAAAGGCGCCAUAUGAUACAGAGCCUUAGAAAUAGGUGUUGUCUCUGGCAUAAGGUCAAGAGUGAACUCAAUCUCCCUUACUGGAGGCAAGCCAUGUAACUCUGUAGGAAAUACGUUAGGGAAUUCUCUAACUAUUGGGAUGGCAUUAAUCUCACUAUUUCCUUACUCAACAAUUAUGACAUGAGCCAAAUAACCCUGACGUCCGUGUCUCAUGAGUCAUUUAGCCUUAGCAACUAAUACCAUUAUUGGUGGUGGAACAGGUUUAUGAACUCCAACAAACUGAAACUGAGGUAUGUCAAGUUGUCGAAAGGUUACCACUUUCUAAAAACAAUCGAAAUUCGUGCGAUAUAUAGAUAGGUAAGCCAUGCCUAUAAUGACAUCUAGAUCUUGCAUCGGAAUAAUCAUCAAAUAUGUUGUCAUUUCACCUUGAUCCACCUGAGCCUCACAAGAUCAAACUACUUGGUCAACAAUAUAAGGCCUCGAAAAAAAAGAGGAAAUAGAAUAUGUCACAUCCAUCGUCUCAAUGGGUUUACCCAAAGACUAAACAAAACUACUUGAUAUAAAGGAAUUCUCGGCUCCAGGAUAAAAAAAUUGCCUAGCAGGGAGCGAAUCAAGAUGAAUAAUACAUGUGAUUGUGUUAGGCUCAGCCUCGGCCUCCAAAGUGGAUAGUGCACAAACCUUGCCAACUCGCUAAGAACCCACUUGAGACGUCCCAACUCCACUACUCUGAGCCCCAACUCGCUGAGAACCUCUUCCAAGCUGUCUGCCACUUUGUUGUCUGGUCAUUUAAUGCCCAAUCCCCAGCUGGACCGAGCCUGAAAGUGCUCCAAAAUGCAUACUCUACGCGCGAAGGUGUUACUGAGCCUCGAACACUAGCAGCGGGUCUACCAGCUCCGUUAGCAGUAGUCUGUGGGCAAUCUCGAAAUAGUGACCGAUCUCGCCAUACUGGUACAAGUCUUAGAACCAUCUCUACAUGCGUCAUAGUGUCGGCGUCCGCAGUGAAUGCAAAUCCAUAGAAGUGCCUUAUGUGGCUGGUCUCGGGAUCCUCUUAAAUAACUCUUUGAACACCUUUCAGAAGAAGUCUGGCUUUGCGUUAUCAGUACCUCAUCGAAAACGACUCUGAGGACUUGCGUCAGUAAAAUGCUGAAAACUUCCUCUAGAAGUAGCCUGGAAAUCUCCACAAGAAGUACUUUGAUGUCCUCCAUGUGACAAUCCUUAAGAACCACCAGACAAGAAUCUCUGGCAACUUCGAGAUCCACCCGAAAACGCAUCAGACUACUGGCCCUCUGACCGGGGCUUCUUCCUUUGCUCUUCACUCACUCGUGCCUCAAUUCCUUCUUAAGCUUUGAUGUGCGUGCACGAUCGAUCGCCUGAGAAAAUGAAGGCAAUCCCUAAACAGAUAACAGAUUCCUUAUACUAGGCUUGAAUCCCCUAAUAAGUUUCUUUGUUUUCUUUUCCUUAGGGAGGUGUUGAGAGAAACAGUAAAGUCGAAUAAAACGGGCCACAUAAUCAACAACUGUGUCGGUGCCCUGCUCAAUAGUGGCAAAAUCUGCCUCCAACUCAUCCCGAAAUGACUCUAGAAAAUACUGCUCAAAGAAUGCAGUUUGAAAUCGCUCCCAAGUUAAGGGUCUUCCAGCUACCAAAAAAGGACGAGUGAUUUGCCACCACUCAUAAGCCUGUUUAUUAACAUACACACCGCAAAUGUCUACCUGCUCCUCAGGUAAGCAUCGCAUAACGGUGAAAAAUCUUGAGAUCUAAUUGGUCCAAGACUCAACCGCCCACGGAUCAGUACUACCAUCGAAUAAAGGUGGCUUAUGAUUAUGAAACUCUAUAUAUAGAGACUUCUCCUUACUAGAAGUCACACAUACGUGAGCUUGCAUCAACUGUGUCAAGUUCUCAAUGGCCUGAAAAACAUCAUUGGGUCUAUCAUAAUCGUGGCUAGCCUCUUAAUCAAUAGCAGAAGUGCCCUCGUCGGGGACAUCCUCCCCAAGCAACCAAACAACACCAUGUGGGGUCGUCAUAAUAUAUAUGGUGCAUAGAAGAAUUCAAUGUAAGCAUUUACAAGAAAUUUGAGAAACGAAUCCACAUGACCUAAUUAAGGUCCAGUACCCAACCUACUUAAGGUUUCCUCACUCUAAGGUUAAGGUAUGGGAACCUAAACCUAAGCUUUGAUACCACCAAAGGUUGUCACACCCGAUCUCGACAUAUGUUCAGGAUCGACACAUGACACAGGUACGUAGGGGACAACUUAACAUACGUAAAAGAUACGAAAUGAAAUAUUAGAACUAAUACCUUAAAAUAAACAUAAUAGUGGGCUCUCCCCCACAAAAUAUAUACAAAUAUGUACUCUCAAAAUACACAACCCUCACUAGUGCCAAGACAUGCCCAUAGACGCUCAAAAUAUAAAUCACAAAAGAAAUAAUACAAGGAAGGAUAAAGGGGAAACCUAAUCCCUCCAAGUCUCUGAUAUUUGCACUUUUACCCCCACCGGUUCCUCGUAAUACAAGGAAGGAUAAAGAGGAAACCUAAUCCCUCCAAGUCUCUGAUCUUUGCACUUUUACCCCCACCGGUUCCUCGUAAUCUAUUCAAGUCUAUCACAUGUACAAUUAGUGCCUAGAGUCCAUGUUAGCACACCUUAGCACGAAUAUCAAGACGUCACGUACUAUCGUCGCCUGGGCCGAGGUCCAAUUUGGCCGAAAAGUGGCCUGAAAUCACCCUAGACCAUCAGAACUCAAAAAUGAGUGUUCUUCGAACCCCGACACCCCAACCAGUGCUUGGGCCUUGUUUCUAGGUUCAAGGACAAUCUAUUGGUGGCGUUGGUCGAAGGAACAAGCUUCAGAAACAGUCGAUCGUCGUCAAAUACUCAUGGACCAGUUAGUGAAAUAAUUCACGAAACAGAGGCCUAAUCUCGUCGUGUUUGUGUGGAGAUUGAAGGGAAAGUGGCGUGGUGAUGUUUGGUGGUGGUGGAAGGUUGAGAAAAGCUAAAAAAAUCGACAAAAAUCAUGUCAAAAAUUGCAAAGGGUUCGGGUCAAGAGCCGAUUCACGAAGGGGGAAUGGGUCGUGUUGAGUUCUCUCCUCUCUUCUCUGAUUGGUCACCUCACUAUCACUCUCUCUCCCCUCCCUCGAAUUAAUGGGAGCUUUUAGUUAUAUAUUAAACAUUUUUUUUCCUUAAUCGAACUUCUAACGUCCAUAACUUCUUCGUUAUCACUCCAAUUCGUGAACGUCUUUCGCCCACGCGCUCAUGGAAUUGAGUUUGAUUCGAAAACACUAAUUGUGACCUCGAAAGGUCUACAAAUUUUGAAAGAUUAAUUACUAAAAUUCAUACCUUGUAAUUAUUCAAUUCAAACUCUAAUAUUGACGGAAUUAGAAUAAAAUAAAAAUAAUAUAAAUACGAAAUACGGAAUUAAAUAAUUUAAUACAUAAUUAAUAAUGAAAUUUUGGGGACGGAAUUUUACAUGUACAAUAAAGCAGCAUGUUUGGUGAAAUUUAUGAUCGUUUAAUUGAACACCCAAAACAUUCGAUCUUAUACAAAUGAGUACUGUUGCAACCUAAACUAAUGAAAAGGUGAACACAACCCACUCAUCCCUCUCUAUUUCUCUCUCUACAAUCCCUACAGCUCUCUCUCUCUCUCUCUCUCUCCCACUUACUGAAUCGCAAAUCUCAUAGGAACAGGUCAUACUUGGCUCUGUUCACGCCUCCUCUCCUUCGGAUUUGGAUCCUCUCCUGAGCUAAUGGAGAGGAUCCUCCUGACCAGUUAUCAUGUGUCGUUAGAUAACUAUAAUUAUUAUAAUUUUAAAAGGAUUCCCUGUUUGUAACCGUUGGAUAAAAAUUCAACGAUCCAUGAUAACUGAUCAGGAGAAUCCUCUCCAUUAGCGCAGGAGAGGAUCCAGAUCCCUCUCCUUCUCUCUCUGUAACACUUUCCUCACCAAACCUAAACACCUGUCCCUCCAUCUCACCGACUGCAACCGCACCUCUCCCUAGUCUAAAAUGAUAAUUGCCUACCCACCUUUUACCUCAGGCCGUUGGAUCUAAAAUCUGGAUGGGCAUUACGGUCAUUUGCACAUUGAAUCAGGCCUUCCUCGUUAACCACCCAGAACAAUGCCCACGUUAGGCCCAAACGCACCAAUCACCCCCCUCCCCCCCCCCCCGCGAACAGGAAUUUUUUUUUUAAAGGAUGGAAAUUCUGUAAAUAAAUCAAAAUUCCCAAUUGAAAUUGCCCUAUAGCUUAGAUAGGAAACUUUAACGAAAAGCUUUCGGUACUGUUCAUUUUAACGAAAAACCACAUUUUUACACUAAAAAGUCAAUAUUGGUACUAUUCACUUUACCUUUUAUUUUGUCCUUAUCGUUAAAACUUAAAGUUUUCAAACAUUUUUCAUUAGUUUUCCUUAUAUAAUACAAUGCCACCCCUCCCAACUUUAGACUAGGGUAAUUACGAAAUUGCCAUUUUCUGGUGGGUUCGGGGAGGGAUGGCCCUGUUCCUUGGCUAUUCAUGUAAUUAGUUGUAGCUCAUUUAAACGUAUUUAAUUUCUCUUUAGGGUUAACGAUUUCAUUAGUGGGACAAGUUCAUUUUCUUCAAAAAGAUAGUGGGUUGAAUGCCAUAAUAUGCAAGCUUACUUAGUUGUAUUGUUGUUUGCCUGAAAACAAAUGUAUUUCUAUUUUAAUAUUGCUUUAAUUUUAUUUUGAGGAGAGAAUACAUAAGAUUUCUUUUCUUGCACAACUAUACGAUGUUAAAACUUUUAGCAUAUUUCUUUAUUUACAUGACAACUUUUUGACCGGUGUGUGUGUGUAUAUAUAUAUAUAUAUAUAUAUAUGCCAGGACGGAAGCAGAUCUAAUUAAGAAUGUUGUCGAUCAUAUUUGGAGAAACUUGAAUUGUGAAUCAUCAUGUGGUUUAGAGGGCCUGGUUGGAAUUGAAAGUUGCAUUCAGCAAAUUGAAUCGCGACUGGGCAUUUACUCAAAGGACGCUUGCAUCACUGUUGGUAUUUGGGGCAUGGGUGGUAUUGGCAAGACCACCCUUGCUGAAACUAUAUUUCACAGACUCUCUUCUAAAUUCGAAGCUUCUUGUUUCCUUAAAAAUGUCAGGGAGAAAUCAGAACGAUCAGAUGGACAAGAUCGCUUGCAAAAGCAACUUCUAAGUGAGAUAUUCAAGGAAGAAGGUAUAUCCAUAGAAUCACCUGCUAUUCGAAAUAGGCUCAGCCUCACAAAGGUCUUCAUUGUUCUUGAUGAUAUGAGUAGUCCAAUGCAAAUGCAACGUUUAGCUGGUGAUCGUCUUAGGUAUGGCACUGGAAGUAGAAUCAUUAUCACAAGUAGAGAUAGGGACACACUUACACACACUGUUAAAGAGGAUAAUAUCUAUGAGGUUAAGGUAUUAAAACCAGAUUACGCUCUUCAGCUCUUCUGUUCGCAUGCUUUCAAGAAUAACACUACUCGUAGAACAGAUUAUGAGGAGUUGGCGAAAAAGAUUGUGGAUUAUGCCGGAGGCGUUCCUUUAGCUCUUACAGUUCUGGGGUCCUUGUUCUUCAAUUGCAAGAGUAAAGAAGACUGGGAAGAUGAAUUCAAUAAAUUGAAACGAUUUCCUAGACCAGAUAUCCAGAAAGUGUUGAGAAUAAGUUAUAAUAGAUUGGAAGAAAAUGAGAAGGACAUAUUUCUGGAUAUAGCAUGUUUUCAUAGAGGGAAGGAAGUGAAUGAGGUAAAACGAAUGUUAGAUGUUCGUGGAUUCUUUGCGACAUCCGGAAUUAGAAUUCUCCGUGAUAGGUCUCUCAUAUCAAUUGAUUCAAAAAGACAGGUAGGGAAAGUCAUAGAGAUGCACGAUUUGCUACAAGAAAUGGGAAGGACAAUUAUUCAUGAACAAUGUAUUAAAGAUCCCAGUAAACGGAAUAGGUUGCUCACGAAAGAGGAUAUCUAUCAUGUACUGAAAAGUGACAAGGUAAGAGCCAAAUGCAUUCAAUUUUUUCUUUUCUUUUGUAAGAAAAAAAUAAAUAGCACACUUUAGAUGAUAACACAAUAAAAGUAACACUUAUUUAUAAAAAGAAAAAUUCUUAAAUUAUUAGUUUUAUUGAAUUUUAUUGCAAAAAUGCUAUUCUUAAUAUUUAUUUAUACUAUUAUUUGUACUGUCUCUCUAAUAGAGAUGAGACCCCAUGCAAUGACUGACCCUACCUCUAUUAGAAAGAUGGUACAAAUAAUAGUACAAAUAAGUGAUAAGCAUAACACUACUAUUUUUAUUGUGCUAGGAAGUCUAUGUAGUUUUUGUUAUUUUAUUAUAAUUAUCUUGGAUAUUUUAGUAGAAACUUGUACAUCAUUACCAUCGCAAAUACUCUAGAUUAUUCUAUAACUUUGUUGAAUUCUUUUUCCAUAUAAGCAUUACAUCUUAACAUGUUGAAAAUAAUUACAUUUAAACUUUGUUCUUAUUCUUUGUUCUUAUUGUCAGGAAACUCCAAACGUUGAAGCCAUAUUUAUUGAAUGGAAUAAGAGUGAAAAGCAACCACUGGAACGCGCAGACUUCAAAUUGAUGCCAAACCUAAUAAUGCUAAGUGUGGAUAAUUCUCAAAUAUUUGACCGCAAAUCCACCGCUUCUAUAGACCUUCCCGAUUCUCUUCGUUACCUCUACUGGGGGGGAUAUCCACUGGAAUCUUUACCGUCAAAAUUUUCGCCGGAAAAUCUAGUUGAGCUUCAUGUGCCACAAGGCCGAGUUAAAAAGCUCUACAAAGAAGACCAGGUAUAUUAUAUGCCUAUUCGAAUUCUUGUAUAAAAUUUAAGUGUAGAAAUUAUAUUUAUUCUUGAUAUUUCUCUCUACUCUUGUUACAGAGACUUGUCAACUUACAAGUGAUCGAUCUCUCUUGGUGUGUACGUUUGGUUGAAAUUCCUUGGUAUUUUCAAGAUCUUGACAAGCUUACUUAUCUUGAUCUUCAUGGCUGCACAAGUCUUAAGUAUCUUCCAGAGAUGCCAAGAAAUAUUAAAUACUUGGAUUUAUCUAUGAGUAGUAUAAAGGAAUUGCCCCAAUCAAUUUGGUCAAACGAAAAAAUUUCUUACUUGAAUAUAAAUGAUUGCGGAGACCUUGAGAAACUUCCAAGCAACAUGUGUAAGCUGAAAAUCUCUGGUUCUUUUAAUCUAGAUUGGUGCAAAUCUCUUGCCAAGUUUUCUGAGCCUCCUAGGCAUAUAAGUAAAUUAUCAUUGAUUGGUUGCAAGAGACUUGUGAGUCUACCUACCAACAUUUGUAAGUUGAAAUAUCUCGAGGAACUCGAUCUCUCCGACUGCUUUAAACUUGAAUACUUCCCAAAGAUCUUGGAGCCGAUGGAACAUUUGAAGUCCUUAAAUUUAAGUAGAACAUGGGUUCAAGAGCUACACUCAUCAAUCGAGUUUCUCCCUGCUCUCGAAAUACUAGAACUAUGUGGUUGCAAAAGGCUUUCAAGUAUCCCAAAGAGCAUUUGUAAGUUGAAGUAUCUCAAGAAACUCGAUCUCUCUUGGUGCUCGAAACUUGAAAACUUCCCAGAGAUCUUGGAGCCAAUGGAACAUUUGAAGUCUUUAAAUCUAAGUCAAACGGCGGUUUCAAGCAUCCCAAAGAGCAUUUGUAAGUUGAAAUAUCUCGAGAAACUCAAUCUCUCCAGCUGCUUUGAACUUGAAAACUUCCCAGAGAUCUUGGAGCCAAUGGAACAUUUGAAGUCUUUAAAUUUAAGUCAAACGGCGGUUCAAGAGCUACACUCAUCAAUCGAGUUUCUCCCUGCUCUCAAAAUACUAGAACUAGAUGAUUGCAAAAGGCUUUCAAGUAUCCCAAAGAGCAUUUGUAAGUUGAAAUAUCUCGAGAAACUCAAGCUCUCUAGGUGCUCCAAACUUGAAAACUUCCCAGAGAUCUUGGAGCCAAUGGAACAUUUGGAGUGUUUAAAUUUAUGUAAAACAGGGGUUCAAAAACCCUCACCAGGCGAGUUUCUCCCUGCGCUCCAAUGGAAAUCAGUGUUCUACGACUCCGACUCAUCAGACCCUUGAAUUUUGGUAAGUGGAACAUCGGUUAAAAAGCCGUUUUUAAAACCACUGACAGAUGUAAACAAGAUCAUAAAGAGUAGGGGAACUUAUAGCUUCCGGAGAGUUAUGUUCGUGGUCAUACAAUAUAGGCGCAUAACUGUAACCAUGGACAGUGUUCAUGCCUGCACAAUCAGCUCGAAAUGUCAUAUGCAACAACGACAUGUUCUCUUUCAAGAUAAUGUGGCAUGAUGGAUGGGUGGUCAUUCUAUCAAUCAAGAUUGCACAUUCAGACAUGACUCAAUUUAAUUGUAUUUAUGGACGUUUGUAUGUCAAUUGGCCAGCAAAAAAUUACUCCCAAUUACAAAUAAAAUUUUAUUCUAGCUGCAGCCGGGCCAUAUAAUGCUGCCUUCACCAUUUCUGGCGUAAGUUCUCUUACUUUGCGCCAAAGUGACAAUUCUAAGGGCAUUGUCAAACUCUGCACGUGCCCAAAUCUGCCAAUAAAUAUAAGCAACCAAUAUAAUCUAGAACAGAUCCUCGUCCAAAACAAAAACUAGAACAUAUCCAAACUUCUGUGACAAAAAGAGACUGAGAACAUUUGAUUUGGAAAUUCCUUCAGCAAAACAAAUAUACAGCUCCAAUAACCUAUUUGUCGAUGUGGUCAUGACCCAAGAACAUUUCCCUUGUAAUGUAAUAAACAAUUCUUGGGUCAUAUGACACAUUUCUAAAGUCUGCAUUAUACUCCGAUCGGGAGGGGCUAAUUCAAACCCCUCGGGUAAAAUAACAAACAGCCCCGACACGAAACAAAAAUCUCAGCUUAGAUCAGCGAAUUACAACAUCCCGAGCUCACAUUAACCACUUCAACUACGGGGCGUGUAUUCAAUUAGGAUUUUGAGGGAUUUUAAUUCUUUUAAUGAAUCUACGGGCAUUCAAUCAGGAAUUCAAGUGAUUCUCUAAAAUUCAAUGUGUAUUCAAUCAGGAUUUUAAGAUAGUUUAUGAAAAUCCUUAGAAAUCCGGAUGUAUUCAAUUAGAAUUUUAAAGAAGUUUAUAACAUUCCAGGUGUAUUCAAUUAGAAUUUGAUUUUAAAGAAUUUGAGAAAGUUGGGGAAUUAGAGGGAAUUGGAGAGAUUUCGUAAUGUAUUUUGAGCAUCCACAAAUCUCACAUCCCAAGAGAUUUUGAGGGAAUUGAAUCAAAAUUUUACAUGGGGGGUGUAUUCAAUUGAGAAUGUGAGAGAUUUUA
rnacentral:lncRNA from 1 species